rnacentral:lncRNA from 1 species
GGCUUUUGGGUACCCAAAAUCAGCCCUUUAUAUACUGUUGACGAGGCUCCUCUACCAAGCUCUUCCUUGAAAUUAUUAGUCAUCUCUUCUAGCUCUUCAUAAGCAUAUCGUCGCGGAGCCACACUCUCAUUCAAUUCAAGGUCACCAUUCACAGCACUCAUUCUUUUAUAUGCCCAGACAUUGUGUUUCCACAACACAAUCACGGAAAUCAACAACAAAAUGGAUCCAAAAGCAGUAAAUGAAAGACCAAUAAUCAGGAUGUCAGUUCUACCUUUUUUCUUGCUUCCUGGUUGAACGAUUCUAGGAUCUGUAUGUGGUUUUGUAGGUACACCUACCUUGAUGAGAGCUCUGUCUGAAGUUCCAGUGUUUCUUCUACCAUAUCUCAAAGGAAGCCUCUGCUUUCUGCAGUUUGUACCGUCAAAAAGCGCAGCUUCACAGUUACAAUCCUCCAGACAGACUUGUAUGCAAUCGUCUUUGUCGGAUAAUCUCAAACUCAUAUACGAAACAUCUUCCCAUGUUGUGCUUUCCAGCUCUUCCAUGGUGUAAGUGAAAUUCUCAUUCCUGUUUUUGCAUGCAUCCGCAACAAAAUUUCUCUGGCACCCGGAUGUCUGAUUUCCCUGGUUGACAGAUUCGAAUCUCGGAAGACAUCUACAGUCCGGCUCUAGAUCAAUUAAGACACAAUAGCUAUUCAAUCCGCACAGGCCUUUAGGAACACACUUAUCCUUGGAAGACUCCCACUCAACUGACCAAAUUGCAUUCUUUGUCAAAUCAUGUGAAUACAAACGAAAUAUCCCAUUUGCAUCAAUUCUCAUAAGAUAAAGUUUUCCUUCAUCAGUAGGAAGACCUCCAUCUGUUAUAUUCAAAAUAUUCGAACCAGUCCCGUUGAGCAAGUAGAGACGGCCAUCAGCACCCAAAUUAAGUGUCAAGUUCUCUCCCGCUCCAUAAGUUGAAGAUGCAUAAAAAGCGUAAGGACUGGUGUCUGGAGUAUCUACAGGGUACUGAACAAGGUUUCCAUCCUUUUGCAUUUUGAGACGGAAAAUCCCCGUUGAGUGAUCAGCUUCUGAUUUCGCCGAGAAAAGUUCGUUUCCUGAUAAAAGGCGUUGACCGGGCAAAAGGGUGUCGGUUGGAUGAUCAAAGCUCUGCCAUACUAUUUUCCGACCAGAGUUGUACAGCACGAAAUUACCCGAAUUGAGCAUGGAAGCAUAAGAAGCAGAGCCAGAAGAUUUUACCAAGUAAUUUUGGCCUUCUGCUGUUGUCAAGGCAAGGCCGUCACCUGUGAAGAGCAAGGUGGCAUUGUUGGAGACUGGUGGAUCAUCUCGAUUUGCUGUCCACACGACUGUCUUUUCGGGAAUUCCAGCAAGAAAUAUCCCAACAGCAUAGCCAUUGCCUUGCCUGUAAAAUCCAAAGGCAUAUAGACCAGAACGUGACAGCCAUGUGGAGUUGGUGGUUGGUUUUAAAGAAGAGCCUUGGCUUAUAUUCGACUGCAUCUGUUGUGCUUCAGCAGCAACAAAUGCCAAGGCAAGAAGAAGGCAUGCCAUGAAAGCCAUCGAAAAAUGAUCUCAGUGUAAUUAUUUGUCUUCCUUUUCCUCUGUUUUUUAUUUUCCCUUCUGCAGCACUCCAGAAAAUUGGUUCCAAUGCAGUAUGAAGUUCUAAUUCUGAAUUUCUAUUUAAUUUAAGGUGGAUGGUGUAAAUUGGUUCCAAAAGAUGCACCAAAUUUUCCAUUAAAUUUUUUGUUCAAAUUGUUAAAAUGUAAACUGCCUAGCUAAUUUCUGAUUAGUUAGUAAUCACUUAGUCAGUUUAUAUUCAGUCCAUUUAAGUCAUCUGUUAGCUGAGCACCUUCAGCUCAUAUGCCAAGUGUAAGGCUUAGGAUUGUCUCUCUUAUUUCAGCGGUUCUAAAGCCUUGUAAUGCCAUGUGUCAUAUUCACAUUGGCUUACCCUUCACAACGGUUAGAUUGUAAUUGCUGAUGUAAGAACACAUUUUGGGUAUGAAUAGAGCUUUCUCUGCUGCAACGGUUAAGCAGAGGAGUAGUGGUCAUAACCAUUUUGAUUCCUUCUUGCUCAAGCUCUCUCUCAGUCUUUUGCUCUUUAGCUCCCUUGACAAUCCAAAUCUCAACACAAAUUGUUUAUUAACUUUAUCGUCAUAUUGUUUACUAUCUCCUAAAUUUGUCCCUAAUAGUACGUCCCAGAAUUUGUGAACUUGACUUUGUAGACUUUUCUAAUCACAUGUAAGGAAAACUAGUUAAGUCGCUUUCUUCUCUGUAGGCAAUGAGUCGGUCCAAAUCAAACCCUUCAUAUGCAUUUUUCUUCUUUGAUUUUAUGAAGAGGAUGCAGACGGACGAGGCACUUUGGACUUGUUCUCCAAUACCAUUAACCCCGUAAUUUUCUUGGAAGAAGGUCACACUACAACAUAAAAACCCUUCUAUGACGUCUGAUUUGCGUCAUGGAAGGCAUUUAAUGAUGCGGAUCAGGCGUCGUAACCCAUGUCGUCAAAAGGAGGGGAUCAUGGAAACUUUUUCCAAGCACGAUGUCUGUUCCGCGUCAAAGAAUGGGGUUUCAAUGACGCGGAUAGCGUGUCGUGGAAACCUUUUCAGAGCACGACAUCUAUUCAACGUCAUGGAAUGGGGUUUCAAUGAAGCGUGUAGCGUGUCAUGGAAACUUUUUCAAAGCACGACGUCUAUGCUGAGACGUCAUUGAAAUAUUUUUCAUGACACGGUUUAGACGUUGUUGAAAUUCUUUAAUUUUUUUUUUAAUAAAAAUUCUUAAUCUAUAUAUAUAUAUCCCAUCAUUUUAAUUAUGCGAAAAAAAAAUUAAUAUAUAAAAGCAAAAAUAUAAACACAAAGACAAAGACUCUGAAUUAUAUUUCUAUUAUUCAAAAUGAUCUAGUACAUUAAAAUUGUCUUUAACGAAUCCCACUAAACCAUUUCCCUUUCAAGAAGUUAAAAAUAUGAAGAAUGAAGCUUACAGGACCUUGAUUAAAAAAAUAAAAAAAAUUAAUUUAAAAAAAAUAAAAAAAAGCUUACAGGACAAAACAAAAACCACAAGGCGUUUUGGUAUUUUUAUCCAAGCCCAUAAUUAUCUUCUUAAUCUCUCCAGCAUGAGAAAAAAGCUCAUAAACUUGCUGUUCUGUUGUGUAGAAUGACAUAUUCCCAAUAUAAACAGUCAUUGAUGCCAGGAUUGCUUGUUCAAAUUCCUCAUGUGAUCUAGUAAAUCUUCUACCCUGAUAUUGUGAAAGCUUCCAUUGAUCCUAAUGAAAAAAGAAAAUGAUGAAAGAUAGGGUAAUUGCAGAGAGGAAUAACACAGUUAUAAAAUGCGUGCUGGAUCACAGAGGAUAAGCUGUAUUUUCAUCUGUAUUUCAAAGUGAGACUUGAAGAAGCAUACAAUAAUUUGGAAAUGCACAAAUGUACAAUCUGGCCCCUGGAGUUCCCUUUUCUUUCUAUAACAGAAACGGUUAUGAAAAUAGAGUAAAAUGAAUCUAAGAAAUCGUAAUGAAUAAAUCCCACUCAGUUCUAAAAAAAAUUCACAGCACGUGAAUAGCACAGGGUUCUUGAACAAGAAAUCUGGUUAAGUAAUUACUAUGAACAAAUCUUUUUAAACAUUUUUCAGAACUUCUCUAGCAUCCACACAUUUGAUUGAUUUGAACCAAAUCGAAAACCACAUCUUUUAUAUGACAACAUCGAAAAGAAAAAGCCUGUUGAAUGACCGUUUAUACAAUAAUUGUUCAGAUUCACAAUAUACGUCCUGGCAGUGUGCCCCUACUCUACACAGCUUCUCCAGAAACUCCAAAACAAUUGUACUUAAAGUAUUUAUAAAAAUAAAUAAAUAAAAUGGAAACUACGACAUAUUUGACUCGACAACAACGAAAGAGAAGAUAGAACUUAAACAUUCCCUUUUGCACAUUGCAUUGUCUAGUUCUCAAACAGAAGAAAAUAAAAGGGGUGGGGGCUUAACUUCUAAUUUCCAUCUCUCACCCACCAUGAGUUUCUUUCAUUUUCUUCUCUUCUCUUCUUGUAAUAUUAUCUCAUGCCCUCAUAUUACCAAAAUGGAAUAUUAUACACCUCUGAGGCCUGUGAGGAUUGUGGCUCGAGUUGACUUGGUGUCUCCGAGGCCUGCGAGGAAUGCAGCUCGGUUAAUUUUGUGUUUCUGAGGCCUGCGAGGAUGGAAUUGACAGAUUGCUACUAGAAUUGACGGAAAAAUGUUGGAAUUGACGGAUCAGGAAUGGGGGUACGCCUAGGUGAAGAAUAUUUGGGUUUUUAAGAGGUUUAAACAAAAAUUGAGGAUUUUAUGUUGGUAUUUAUGAGCAAAGGUUUUAAGUAAAAGAGGAAAAUAUAUGUUUCAGUUAAGCUAUUGUUAUUGACAUUAAGAUUUCACAUGAUCAAUGUUAUUGUUAAUAAUUUUCUCGUUUUCCUACUUAUCUGUAACAAGUUAAUUAUAAAUCUUUAUAUAUAGAUAUAUGUGUAUAUAUAAUAAUAAUAAUCUAAGCCAGUAAUACAUAAAUUGAUUUAGGAAUUAGAGGAAGUCCAGUGAGUGGACUUUUGUUUUAUAAAUGAAUUUUAUAGUUUUAUUGAUUGAGUUUGAAUGAUUUAUUUAUGGUUAUUACUUUCCAAACAUGAUUAUUUGAUUUUGAAUACUUGUAUUAUAUUCUGGUUAUAUUUAAAUUGAGAAUGGCUUGGAAAGUAGGAAGGAUAAUGGCAACAUGAUUUAAGGAUGGAUGAUAAAUAGUUUUAUAAUUUUCCAGGAAAUGUUUUAAACCACCAUAGGUGCCCUGUGUUGCCUUCGGAUUAUUGUUUCCUUCGGUUAUGUCAGCGCGUUUGACAGUUGCAUCACGAGUCUUAGGGAUAUCCGGACCGUGCAGAGCGAGGAAAUGCAGAUCAGGUUGACUAAAUGUCCCCUGAGUCUUGCGAGGAUUGCGGGUCGGGUCGACUUUGUGUUACAGAGACCUGCGAGGACGUGUCACAAAUUGUGACACGAGGAAUUGAUGGAAAUUAAGGAAUUCACGAUUAUAUAAUGGGUACACCUAGGUGGAAGUGAAAUAUUGAUUUUUCAAUGCUUUAACUGAUUUAAUGAUUUAUGUAAACGUGUGAAAUAUUAUAUAAAUAUAAAUAUGCCUGUUCGAUUUCUGUAUGAGUAUAGCAUGUGAAUGUUAUUUAGCAUGUCGCUAACAUGAGAACUUGGAUUGAUUUGCAAUCACAAUGGACAAUAACAAUUGACAAGAUACAUAAGUGCAGUAUAAAAAUGGAAGGAACUACGUAUGGCUUGAUCCCUUGUUAAGGGUACGUAAGCAACCUAGAGUUACUAGAUGCAGCCAUGAGACCAAGUGAUUAUUGUAAAGCUAUUCAGUCAAGUUAAUUUGAAAUCUAUUAGCGUACUUGUGUGUUUUAAAGGUUGGGAUCAAUUUCAAUUGGCAGAACGAUUUAUCUGAUUUAAGAGGCCUGAUGUCAUGAUAGGAUUGCAAAGUUCAUUUCAUGCCAUUGAGAUUCUGAAGUUUAUAUGUUUAUUAUUUCAAGAUUUAUAUUAGAAGCUGAGGUCUUUCCUUUAUGCUCGAAAUCUUGUUGAGGUUGUUAGUAAUUGAGAAGUUUCAAUAUUUGAGGAAAGUUUAUAAAUUCUUUAUUAUCAUUCUCACUUGUGAGCCUAAUCUGAUAUUAUUUGCAUUAAGUGGCAGUUAUGGUGUAUAACUCAACUAGCUUAUUUGUACAUAUUCUUUUCUGCUUAGCCUGUCAUGAAUAUAUCAUGUCAGUAUCUUUGGACUUUGAUGUGUGACGUAUGUUUGGUUGUAUGAAUUCCAUUUUUGGUACAUGCUGAACGAAUGGAGAUAUUUAGAUUGUUUGUUACAGGUGAAAAUUUUGGGAAACGAGUAUUUAUAGGGGAGACACUGUUAAAUUUUCGACAUAAGUCAAACUUGAGGUUAAUUUUGGUUUCUGCUAGAAGGGCAAUUUGGUCAAUUGUGCCCGGCACCUGCCAGGUGUCGAACACGCACAGGGUUCGGCUCAGAUUCCAAAGUGAAAUUUGGGUUGGGUCUUGUCAUCAUGUCCUACCCAUUGUGUAUGCCAUAAAUCCUUUGAAGCCAAACACUUAACCUUUUCUUUCAUCACCCACAAUAUUCCCUUACCCUUUUCACCCUAUUUUUAGCCAUACCCUAUAACUUGGGAUAUGCCAUGGCACAUGAAGACAAGGAUGAAGGUUAAGCUCUACAUCAACAAAAGAGGUAGCGUGUACUGAGGAAAUAUGUGCUCAUAGUUCAAGAAAAAGAAAAUAGAAGGGGGAAAAAAGAGAGAAAUAUAUUCCCAAAAAAAUAAAUAAAUAAACAAUAAAGCAUAUCAAAAAUCCUGGAUGCCUUGGUGAAGUAAAUUUGAAGAGCCAAACCAUAUAACACGAAAAAUGCAUUGUUAUGUCUCAAGUUCUAAUAUUCCAUAUCCUUUCUUUCAUAACCCAUAACCUAGCCCUACAUUACAACCAUAGUAAAAGACCUAAUGGAUCUGUGGGGACUUCUUACUCGGAAGUGGAGGUAUGUACUUCAUCUAUGGUUCUUAGUAUUUGAUUUCCUUUCCAUGAGAUCUAUUCCUAGAAAUUGCCUUUUAUUCAUUUUGGAUGCAUGUGUCUUAUAUUUUGAUUUCUUCACCUAACUCCAUUCAUAUAUGCGGGGUAAGAGUGCAACCCUAGGUUUUGUGAGAAAAUUGAGAGUUAUCCAAUGAGGCAUAGAGUCAAGGCGAAUUUGUACACACGCUGAGUGUGAUUAUCUUUAAGUUCGAGUGCUUGGAGUAUUGGUUUCACACUUUAUGACAGGACCCGAUCCAAAUUCCGCUUUGAAAUUCGAACCAGACCCUGUGCGUGUCCGACACCUGGUGAAUGUCGGGCACAAAUGACCUAUUUGCCUCUCAACACAAAACAUGAUAAAAUAACAAGGUUGACUUCUACCGAAAAUUCGGCAGAGUUUCCCUUGUAACUGGCUCAAUACCAAAAUAUUUUCACCUGCCAAACAAGUAUACAUAUAUACAACCAACUGCCAGCAUACGUAUAUAUACAUUCCAACAGUUCAAUUCAAAGUCUAGGGCAAAAUAUCAGAGCGACUACUAAGAAUUUACAAAGGAGUGAAUCCUUUUACAAAACAAAAAUCCUACAUCAAAGAAAGGCGCGGAAAAUGGGAAGUGGCCCGGUGGUGAAUUUCUGUGCACAUCUACUGCCUGGGGGCGCAAAACAAUAAUAAAGGUGAGUGGACCCAAAAACAAAGUUUAGAAAAUAGUAUAUGAACAUACUAACCCCACUGUAAAAACAGUUAUACAAACUCACUUAUUUUCUUUAUUUCUGAAAUCAAUGCAUGUAGAUAAUUAUAUACAUUUGAAAACAGUUUAAAACUAUCACCUAGGUGUACCCUUAUUUCCGUCAAUUCCUUAUAUCCGUCAAUUCCUUGCAUCACCAUGGGUGACACAUACUCGCAAGUCUCAGUGACACGAAGUCAGUCCGAGCCGCAACUCGCAGGAUGCAGGGGACCGUAGUUCACCUGAUCCGCAUUACUCGCUCCACACGAGUUCGAGUACCAAGGAACUCGUGGGGAAACUGUCAAGCAUGCUGACUAAACCGAAGGCAACAAAUAUAGUCCGAAGGCAACAGUUAAUAUCUGGGUACAAGGUGGUUUAAGAAAAUAUAAAGUUUCUGAAGCAAAACUGUUGAAUAAUUAACUUUCUGUAACCUUUAAAAUUCUGCUGCCAUUUAUCUGAUAAUUAACGAGAAUAUCUUUUUCUAUAUUCUUUAAAGGAGAUUUCACUCGGCAGCAUGCAACAUAAAAUAUGUAACAGAAUAAAACAGCUGAUAACUGAAACUGAACUGCUUAAAUUCAUUUAUUAAAACAAAGAGUCCACUCACUGAUAGUCCGAGUUCGCUGGACCUCUUGAAGGUCCUUCCUGCGGGUCAACUGGUACCCGGGUGCCUGAUUCAAUGACCAUAUUAUUCUAUUAAUACAAUAUAGUAUUAAAGUAAAAACCCUACCCCCGGCUCCUAAAAGUACGUGCAGCAAUUUAAAGUGAUCCCUAUGCCCAUAACAGCUUUCCUUCCACAUGGGAUAGUUUAGCGGUAUCUUGGGACUCAAAAAGUGCUAAAAUCCAAAAAGUCAAUCUGGAACCCCACGGGUCCAUAACCUCACAAUAUGAUCCAGAUGCCGCUAGAAGGUCCAAUAUAUUUAGGACAUAUGUCCCGAGAGUAUUGGUGUCAAUCGGACGGUCGGAUUAAUCACGAUCGUGUAAUCGCAUAAUUUUUAAACCCUAGCCAUAGGGUUGGCGAUUUCAGAGUAUCCGGGACUCCGAUUCACGAUCCGUCGAAUCCUACACGUUUCUGAAAUUAUCUAGAGUAACAUAUCUAAAAUUUAUUACGAUCCAACGGCUUAACAAUAUUGAACCCGGUAAUCGCACAAUAUGGAAAAUCCGUUCGAGGCUCAAACGGUAUCCAAAUUGAGAUCCGCGAAUUCCUAUGCGCUCGUGACAACCUAAGGAUCGCAUCAAGACACAGUGCCACUGCACUACACUCGCCCACUCGCCGCCGCACGCGCCGGCAGCGAUGGGUGUCCAAAGCGAUUACGCAUCGCCAGAAAAUCUCAAAACAAAGGCUCCAAACUCCUACUCUAGGUAUAACACCAUAUUUGGAACCACUUUUGUUCUUGGACCUACCCCAAAAACAGACCGGAAUUGGCCGAACACGGAGGCCAAAAAUUGGCCGAAUUCCAAUUUGAAAACUGAGCUAGCUACGGUGAAAAUCAAUGCAAACCUACCCAACCAUCAGCUAGAGCACGGAAAAUAGGUAGAAAUCCAUACCUAACUCGACAAAUUUGGAGGAGAAUUGAAGGAGAACGAGCGGUUGCAAAACUGUGCAAAACAGGCUCGAUUUUCACAGUUUCCGGCGGCUGACUGCAGUGGCUGGCAGCGGGGCUGGGUCGGGUGUGGUGGCGGCGUGACGCCGGUCAUUUUGGCUCCGGUCUUGCGGCUUGGGGUGGCCGGUGGCGUGAGAUAUAGAAGUGUGGAGGGUGACAGACGGGAGAGAAAGAAAAACAGAGAGGGAGGAGGGCGCGGGGAGAGAGAAAGAGAGAGAGAGAGAGAGAGAGAGAGAGAGAGAGAGAGAGAGAGAGAAAUGAGGUUUUGUAAUAAAAAUCUGAUUUUUUUUCUAAUUUACCGUUUUGUCCUUCGUGAUAUUUUAAUCGUAUUUUCUUCGUUAAAACUCCGAUUCGAGCUCACUUCAUGUCUAUGAAUUCGUGUCGUCGUGCUCUACGCAACGGUAUAUGUGGAAUUGUCAAAUUCCUUUUUGGUCAAAAAGUCAACUUUUUGUUCAUAAUUUAGUCCAAGGGCAAAAUUGUCUUUCCUCAUAAUAAAUUACUAAUUAAAUAUGAAUUUUAGGUUUGGGUCAUUACACUUUACACUAUGGUGCAUUUUAUUUGUAUUGGCAUAACUUUAGUUUUUGAAUUGUGAUUGGCAUUCCUUGGUUAUUAUUAGUUUGUUAGAAGUAUUGCUUUAACAAAUUUGGUUUGCAAGGAGCGUUUAUGGGUGUCGUGACUAGUAAACCCUCAGGAGUCACAAUUCCUCUUACGAGGGACACCUAAAGGUUUAAAGGCUUGUGGCAUAUGCUAAGUGCCAUCGAGAUUACCUACGAAAGUGGUUAGUUUAGUUUGUUUGUUUUAAAUUAUUUUUUUAUUUUCAGUUUUGCUCGAGGACUAGCAAAAGAUAGGUUUGAGGGUAUUUGAUAAGCCUAUAUUAUAUAUAAAUAUAUAUAUUAUGACUCCUUUGCUUAUUUAUUUGUUAAUUUACUUGGAUUAAAUUGGUUGUUUUAAUUGGUUUUGUGAGAUAUGUGAAGGAAUUGUGAAAUUGGAGAAAGUGUGCUAAAAAUGGCAAGAAGAUGAAGAUUGGAGUUUAAUUAAAAAGAAGCUAAGUCAUUCCUUUUGUCGCAAGGAAUAUUGUCAAAUUUCCUAAUUCAAGAUGGUUCAAGUCUUACCAAGUCAAUCAAGGAGAAAUAAAGAAGACCCAAUAUGAGAAGGAAUCCUAUUUUUAUAACAAUUGUAAUUAUACUUUAGAUAGGUAGGAUUUCUAGGAGUAUUAUAAGCCUAAAUUUACUUAUUAUAAAUAGGGAGUUUCAGUCAUUGAUCCUGAAUCGAUCAUCCUCCAUCAUCUACCAUCAAAUUCCUAUAUAUUCAUACUCAUAGCCGAAACACCCAAAGGAGAAUACGAAGAGAGCUUGCGCAACCUAGGCGUUUUACUUGGAGAAUUCGGUGCCUUCCAUGUCUUCACCAACCAGCAUGAUUCUCAAUAAGUCCAUCAUGAACUAAUUUCUUUUACUAGGGCUUCGAUGUAGCCUAGCUAUGAAUACUCAAAUUCUUUGAUAUUGUUGAUUUUAUUUAUCUAUACAUGUUGAGUGCUUGUUACCAUUCUUAAUGCUUUCAAUUAAUUGGCCACUAAUUGCAUGAUUGGAAGAAUUAGGUUGAGACCGGAAGGAGAUUCCUAGUAAAUAGCUUCUUGUAACAAGUACCAUAAAUUACAUUGCCGACUCGGAAGAUUAGGUUAUGGUUUGUGUAAUCUUCAAUGUUUUUCACAAAUUUUAAUGGGUUUUUAGCUAUCUAAAUCAAUAACUAGGAAUAGAGUGGGUCGAUGAUAAGGAAUACAACUAAUAUAACUCGGAACAGAGUUUUGGGUAGGUAAGGGAAAAUGAUUAUCAACAUGUUAGGUAAUUAGGAUAACAAGCUAGAAGGAUUUGGGUGGGAUUAGCUAAGUGAAAUUGGUGCCUUAGUGCUUUAUCAUCUUUAUUUUCAUCUUUUAUAUUAUUUACUUGAUCUCAAUUUAUUUUACUUGCUUAAUUAGAUUUUAAUCGUCAUAAUUCUCUUAUCGUUUAAUUCAAAUAUAAUUAGAAAUAAAUCAUUCUAGUAUUUAAUAGAUUAACUUGAUUCCUGUUGGAACAAUACUCCAUUUAGUAUUAUACUAGUCUGAGCGAUAUUGUCCACUUGUAAUUAAUCAGAUCAAUGGUGUAAAUGAAUUCGUACGUGUUUCUUCUCUCUGUGGAGCAGUUCACCACCCAUAUAUAAUUUACUCUACCAUAAGAAGAUUCAAAGGAGAGAUACAAUAAGUGCCAGUCCGGUCAAAAGUGAUGGAAUACUUGUCAUGCGUUGACGUUGACGGAGACUUUUGAGUCCAUGUAAUUAACUAGACACAGACUGAGAUUUCGUUGUCAACAUGAAUUUUCAGAACUGACAUUAUAAUCUGAAGAAUUAGUUUUAUAAUUAAGUGAGCAAAUUGACCUCACUUACAUGUCCAAAAGAUGCACCAAAUUUUCCAUUAAUUUUUUUGUUCAAAUUGUUUAUUAACUUUAUCGUCAGAUUGUUUACUAUCUCCUAAAUUUGUCCCUAAUAGUACGUCCCAGAAUUUGUGAACUUGACUUUGUAGACUUUUCUAAUCACAUGUAAGGAAAACUAGUUAAGUCGCUUUCUUCUCUGUAGGCAAUGAGUCCGUCCAAAUCAAACCCUUCAUGUGCAUUUUUCUUCUUUGAUUUUAUGAAGAGGAUGCAGACGGACGAGGGACUUUGGACUUGUUCUCCAAUACCCUUAACUCCGUAAUUUCAUGGAAGAAGAUCAGCAAAGGCAUCAUCCCAAAAGAAACUUUACAAUCUCAUUCAAACAUCCAGUUAUUGACCAGUAUAGCCUUUAGAAGUCCUUGCUUCGUACCGAUGGCUUCUAGUUCCAAAACCGUCGCAUACGUUACGCUAAUGGAACCUGCUACUCAAUCAUUCCUCGAGUUGUUACAAAUAACAAAUCAGUACCAGCCUGACCGGAUUACAGACAUACCUCAACAUUUAGUUUAAAGCAAUCUAGACUAGGUGGUUUCCGUACACUUCUCGGACAAGAAGGAUGUUAUCUUUUUAAGCACCAGUUCAACUAUUUUUCCAAAAAUCACAUAAAAGUUAAUGAUUUAUAAUCAUAACUUCAACUGCAUCAGGUAGUAUUCCGAAAAAUAGAACAAUUACGUGUCACCAAAUUUUCCAUCAGACACUAAAAUAUUUUUACAAAUGAAAGGGAGCUAAAGAGGACCAACAAGAACCAAUCCCAUGUACUUAUUUAUAUUAACUAAGGUGGGGGACGUAAUUAGGUACAAUCACGAAAAGUUAGGAGAGACUUUAUGGAUCUGUAAUACCGAGGGAAGACCCGGAAUAGAAUAAUGACGCGCAAAUGUGCCCGAUUGUUAACUUUGUUUGGAAGGAAUGACGAUGCAAAAUCUAGAUUUUAUCAUUUCAGGAGGAAACUGCAUUCACGCUUGUUUAAGAGAUGAAGGAAAAUAUAGAACAUCCGUUACAAGGGCAAGAAAUAUAUUAUGAACACAACUCAUUAUUGUGGUAUAAGUGUAUCAAAAGAUGCAUUUAUAAACAAGUAGUCAUUCGUGUGUAGACAGGGCAAACUGCCAGUUUUGAAGUACUAGAAACGUGAACAAGACAAUUUCCAAAAACACAAGCGACUCGGUUAGCUGCUACAGUACAAUCAAGCCUCACGUCUCAUUCAAGGAUCAAACUCAUCUCUCUCUAUUAGGUGGACUUCGAAGCUUUGUGUAGGAUGUCAAAAACACUUCGUAGAGUCAUCUCCUCCACAAUAACAACCUUGUCUCUUGAUUUAGAGCCAGAACCAAUAGAAACCUGCCUUCUUUUUACCCCUAAAACCUGUAAUUUGGAAAGAAUAAAAAUUUGAAGUUUCCAAGCAUAAACAUUAAUGGUUGAGCAGACCAAAUAAACUGAGCGGUUAAAACGUCAAAAGAAAAUUGACAAAUUUGGUGCAUGCAACUCAAAACCAUUUGGCAAUGGGUGUAGACAGAGGCUUUAGGAUUUCUAUGGUAAGAUGCACGGCUUAGAAUGCCCAAUAUGAAACUUUAUAUUCUUGCUAAAAAAUUAUUAGAAAACUAUGCUACAUUUCACUCAUAAUAAUACAAAUUAGACCCUCAAAAGUAUAGGCCUCAUUCUGUACCCAUCAUUUAAAGUGAAAUUAAUCUUCCCUUCGAACUUUCUCGAGAAUCUGUUCUGUCACAAAUCCCUUGCCAACCCUGCCACAAAGCUACCGAGCCACCUUAUCUUGCCAACUUAUAAACAAAUGAUGGGUAGAGAAGUAUAUUUUCAUGUAUAUGUGUGUGCACGACUUUAGAAUGUAUUUGAAUGUAGAAGUUCAACAUACUUGUAGUCAUAGACGAAUAACUGAAAAAUGAUAACAAAAAUAUAUCUCUAGAAACAACACCAGCUGAAGCAUAUAAUCUACCCAAAAUGCAAAUCAGUGUUUGACCAAAUAAUCUAUAAAAGCUAUUCUUUCUUACUAGCUAACUGCGGUGUAGAUAGGAUGGACAGGUGGUAUGAAGUGGUCCAGGAAUAGACAUUUUAUGCUUGGGGGAGAAAGAAGAAAUCCACCCUUCACACUCUGCACUGUGGCUAUUCUUGGCCACACCACACAUCAUCUUGAAAAGAAUAAAUUAGACUUGAGGAAACCUUAGAAGAGCUCACAUCCAACCCUUGUGCCUUUCCACAAGCUUAUCCCAUGAGUAAGUUUGUUUCACCAUUUCAGAUCACCACUUCACCUCACUUUUCUCUAGUUUAGCUCAAUAUUUCUCUCCUUUGCAAGACCAAAUCACUUCACAAUCAAAGGUCCGUUAAAAGCACGACAAUCUCAACCAAAAAGAUACAAACAAAACAUCACUUCCCCAACAAAGCUCGGUUAGAGCAACAGCACUAGACCAACAAAUUACAAAUUAAAGCAUCACUUCCCCAAUUGAAGUUAACGUAAGCAAUCACAAUGAAUGUUAGGAUCUUUCAAGAACCACACAAUCUUCUUAAGACACAGCACACUAAUCACAAAAACCCGAAACAAGUAAAUGCAACUCCAAGUCUCCAACCCACUAAUAAUAAUAGGAUGAUGCACCAAUGAACCUAAGAAUUCUCAAAUCAAACUUUAAUUUGGCAUUCCAUAUAAAAAAGCUCAAAAAACCAUUAAAAAAAGACAAAAAAGGUUGAAAAGGGAUAACCCAAUAAGAAACAAGACCAACCGAGCUGAUGUAGUCAAGUAGCGCUGCAUUAGCUUCCCCGUCCUUUGCAGACGCGUUUAUUUGUACCCCCAACGCCUCAUCACUGAAAUCUUCAUUUCAAAAAAUAGAAAAUUAUAUUCUAUAAAUACACAGACCUAUACAUAUAAAAAUAGAGAGAGAAAGAGAAGGACCAGUGAUGGAGGCGAUUUUGGAACCAGGCUUUGCGUGGAUGGUGAUGGCGACUGAGGACGGAGGUAUGUACCGAAUAGAGGUUGGGAAAUUGUUGUUGGGGUUUACGGGCUGAGUUGACUCGGCCGGGUUGGCCUUAGUCUUGGCCUUGGCCUUCUUGGCUGGUGCCAUUUGUUUGUUUUUUGGUUUUGUUUUUGUUUUUCUUCUCUCUCUUCCCGCUUCAGAAGAAAGACUUCAUCGGCAGGGUUGGCCUCGGCGGCCUUAGUCUCAGGGUUCUUGGUUGGAGAGUUAAAGGCCCACUAAUAACUUUGGAUAUUUAAGGCCCAUUAAUAACUUUGGAGACAUAUGAGGAAAUUUUUUGGUGUUGAUUUAUGAACAAAUGGAGUAUUUUUAGAAUUUGUGAUGAUUUUUAGGUAGCAUUUGAUCUCGAUUGAUUAAUAUUACAAAUUUGACCUUCGGACAUAACUAUGGGGAAAUUAUCAAAAUGUCCUUAAAAUACAAGAUGCUUCUAAACCCAUCCUGCAUGCUUCCAAAUAAACAGACUUGCAAGUUGUGCUCCUUUCACUCCACCGAAGAUAAUGCAUUUUUAUAGUGUGUAUAUGAAUUUGCUUGGUUGUUUGUGUGUAUAUGAAUUUGCUUGAUUGUUUGUGUGCAUGUGAUGUGUAAGUGGUGUGCAUGUGAUGUGAUGUGCAUAUAAUGUGUAAGUAGAAGUGUCGAAAGGGAAACAUUUGGGUGAGGGUCUACUCCCUGCCUAGGGUUAGAAUUUUUCUCCUAAUUUUCUUUUAGGUUUUCUUGGUGGCUACUUGUUUGCUGUUUGGGCGGAUUUUGAAACUGGUUAUCUAUGAUGGAAAACAUGGAUUUUAUGGCUGAGAAGGAAGAUGUGGAGGAAGUGGUAUGUUCUUUUGAUAAGGUAUUGUCGUUAACUAAUGAAGAACAAGAUUGCCUUCAAAUCGAACCAGAUAAUAUGACAACGAUGAACGAGUGACUCCAUCUCUCUUUGGUAGGGACGGUAUUUACUGAUCAAGGUUUCAACCGUGAGGCUUUCAAACAAACCAUGUUGAGGGCCUAGGAUAAGAUGCGAGAGGUGGGUGUGAAGGACCUACAAGACAAUCUUUUCUUAUUCACGUUCACAACUAUGCGUGAUAAGGAGAUGGUGAUACGAGGGGGACCUUGGAAUUUUGAUAAAAACCUAGUCUUACUAGAAACACCAGAUAGUAAUAGAGCACCGAACAUAAUGGUUCUUCAGAAUGCUGAUUUUUGGGUUCAAGCGCAGCAUCUGCUGUUAAAUAAAAUGAUUGUUGUGAAUUUUAGACAACCUGAAAAAUGGAUAUUAUAAAGACUAAUCUAAACACAAAUUAUACUUGAAAGUGUACAAGGUCAAUCGUAAUAUAGUAUGGCAAAUACGAGGUCAUUCCCACGAGGAUUGAGCUCAACUUCCAAUUAGUCUAACCUAAUUUACUUCACAAAAUACAUUAACUACUCUAAUUAUAUAAACAAGAAAUUAACACAUAGCAUUCUCACGUAAACACAAAAGGGGUUUUUGAAAAAAUGAUUUAAUUAACAGCGAAAUUAAAGACAAAACAAGUAGAAAGUCACGAAACACAAGGAUGAGAAAUUCAAAUUGAUAAAAGCACUAGGACAAUGAAUUCACCACUAGCAAUCUGAUCCAGCCUCUUAUUCAACUACCUAUUAACUAACCAUUUGAUGUCACCGCUUAGUUUUCCUUUUUUAUGAAUUACCUAUGGUAUUCAGGCUAACUCGUAUAUUCCUACAUGUAAUCCGCCUAUGGUAUUUAGGUCAAAUAUCAACGCAUAGAAACUCAUUAAGAUCAAUGAAAACCUCUAACAAGCAUGUAAACCCUAGGAACCCUAGACGAAUUACAAAUCCUAAUCACAAGAAGCAAGCCUCAAAUUAAGUAUGGUAUUUACUCUAAUUUGCAUCCAAUUAACUCAAUUAAAAGUCUAGAUAGUGAUCAAGCAUCAAGAUUAUCAACCAAAUUAUUAAGCACAAUGAUUAAGAAUCUGACAGGACCCACCCCGGAAUUUUCUUGAAAUCGGAGCGGACCCCGUCUUUUUACUGACAUCACCCCAAAGCCGGGCCCACUUACUAAAGACCUCGAGACUCUCUACCAAAAUUUUGGCAGAAUCUCCCCUAUAAAUUGAACAACCCAACAAAAUUCAACCUGCAUAAAACACAUAACAAGAUCCCAACCAGCAACAUGCUUUAAAGCGAAUAAACAGUUUACAACAAAGGCCUCUGGCCUCAUAAAUCAAACCCUAACAAGGGCGAUAACAGAGCAUGUCUAAGGAAUUUCAGUUACAACAAAAACAAAGUUCAACUGGAAUAGAAAGAUGAAAGAGUUCCUACGAAGGCUCAAGGCUCGGAAGCACAUGAUCUGGCUCGGUUGAGGAGCUCAGUCAACUAGUGGCUGGGGGGCGCAAAACAGAAAAAUGUGAGUGGACAAAAAUAAAAUUCAGUUCAGUGUAAACCAACGUAAUAUAAACCCAACGUUUAGAAAACCAUGCAAGAAAUCCAAAUGCAUCCCAAAACCAGCAUAAUCAAGUAUAUAUAUAUAUCAAAACCAAACCAAUAUCGGAUGCCAAGUCCGAAAUCCAAAAGAACACUUUACAAACCCACCAAUCAAAUAUUAUAAGUCCCAAACUAAACUCUUGAAAGCGUACCCAUUGGCACGACCGGCAAGGAAGUAUCCUCACCGAAAAACAAGAAUGAAUGAAUAGUUAUAUAUAUGUAAAUAUAUAAUAUAAGAGAUAUAUAUAUAUAAUAUAUAUAUAUAUGACCAUCACCUAGUUGCACCGGAAAAACAAUCCAACUAGGGGAUUAUUUGACUAGUCACCAUGGCAGAGUCCCAAUAAAUAAAUUCCUUAAUACACCAUGUGACUAGGGAACGAGCCGUCCAACUAGGGGACCAACUCUCAGCCAGCACAUACCAUUGAUAGCCUCAAAAUCCGUACGUCUGUACCAGUCCUACGCGCGCAAACUACCCAAUCAAGGGUCCACAGCAACAUCCUGUCAAGGAUGCCUUGGGUUCCGACAAGUCCAAGUAUCUCAAGUUUUCGUAUCUAAGUUCCAAAUCCGGGAAGGUACAUAGGGUAGUGCUUAUAGCACUCCAAACUGACAUUCUAUACUCAUCACUUCCCACAAUCUCAUCUCAACAACCCAAGUACCCCAUACAUAGCCAAACAUAUAUAGAAAUUCUCAAAAUCCAUAUAUUCAUACUCAAGAUACUCAAAUAUGUCAAAACCCAAAAUAUAUUUCCAAUGCAUCAUAAAAAUAUCACUUUCAACACUUGAAUAAAUAAUAUAUCCAAAAUACCAUUUAAAAUAUCAUGCAUAAUAUUUCCCAUCAUAAAAGCAUGCAUAAGAUUUGAAAACAAAUGUCCACUCACAAGUAGUCCCACGCUGCUUGACCCUGAGAGGGUCCUGCCUGCGGCAUACGCGUGGUCGGAGUACCUAUUUCUGAAUACGAAUACGAGAUUAAUACAAGCGUUUCGAACGAGAACUUUGAAUUAAAAUCCUAGUUUCCUGGGUGUCUAGUGAGUGUAUGAGGAACGAGACGUUCUAAGGUCCAACUACCCAAUUCAGACGUUGGAACAUUUUCGGGAGACAUUCGGUCAACUGGCAGUCAAACUUCCCAAUUCAGGUCAAUCGGGCCCAUGAGACCCACGACCUCCGUUUUACUAUCCGAGAGUGCCUAUAGGUUCUACAAGGUCUAGGAUACCCGUCUCGCAAGUUUGGUCCGAAACGGACGGUUAGAUCGCUUACGAUCGCACGAUCGGACAGUUAUCGUAAAACGUAAACUUUAAGUUAUUGAAUUGGAACAUCCAGGACUCCGAUUAACGAUCCGUGAAUUCCUACACGAUCCUAGGAAGGUCUAGAGUAACAUAUAUUGGAAUGGAGUCGAUCCAACGGUCUGAACAUAUUGAACCCAGAUAACUCCUAAUAUGUGAGAUUCGUUCGGGGUUCAAACGUCAACCAAGUUGGAAUCAGAGCAUACCUAUGCGCUCGUGACAUCAAGGGGAUCGCAUUGGGAUAAAAAUGCCCCUAUGCUACAGUGCCCAAGAGCCGCCACACCUCCCGGCAGCGCGUGGGUGUCCAAAGCGAUUACUUUUCGCAGAAAAAUCUCCAAAUUACAAGACAUUCUCCCGGCUACAGGUUCUACUCGACAAGUGGAACACUUUAUUCAACUACAGCCAAGUCCAAUUCGGACGGCAAGUGGCCGGAAUCGGCGCCGGACACUCACGGUUUAACCCGAAACUUCACGGCUUCGAUCCGACGACCAUCGUCACCAUUGUUGUCACACAAUCUAGGAAAUAGCUAAAAGGAGAGGAGGGCUACCUGUUCCAAGAGACGGCGCAGCUCGCGGUGGCCGGAAACGUCGCCGGUGACGUUGGUAGUGUUGGCCGAUUUUUCACGUCGUUGCCACCUCCGUUUGUCGGGUUUUCAAUCGGAGAAAAGGGGUGGGCUGGGUAGAGGAGGAAGAGGGGAAGCUUUUGCAAGAAACGCCACUUGAAAUGGAGGUCUGACGGCGAAGUUCUUGCCGUCUGAAAUUCCGGCGAAAAAAUGUGUCUGGGAUGGGGGAUUUCAGCCACGGGGAGAGAGAGAGAGCGAGAGAGAGAGAGAGAGAGAGAGAGAGAGAGAGAGAGAUUUAAAAAAUCAUAUUUUUAUCCAAACUCUUUUCGAAAUAUUUACAAGUUUGCCACUGAACUACUUUUGGUCGCCAAACCUUCGUUACAACUCCGAUUCAAGCCUACCACGUGUCUACGGAUUCGUCUCAGUAGAACCUACCCAAAAAUACUAGUCACUACCCCAAACUCUUUCCGAGUAAGAAAAUGACCAAAAUACCCCUACCCCCAAGGGUAAAUUCAAAAUUUCACUUAAAUAAUUUAAAUAAGGGAUUAAAUUUUGAGUCGGGGUGUUACAGAAUCCAACAUCAAACGGCAAUCAAUAGAUAGGUAAAAUAAGAAAACUAGAUUAUCAUUCUAGAGCUACAUCAUUCCCUAGCAAAAGAAAAUUAGUUGCACAUAAUCAUAGAAUUCGACAUAAGCAAAAACAUAAGGAAGAAACAAUAAAACUUAGCCAAUUGCAAUACUCUUUUGGCGUCUCCAAUUUCUCCUAGUCUUUACAUGUGUAACCCCCAAAGGAGUUGUAUCUCAUGCUUAAAUAAAACACCACACACUACUACAAAAAUCAAAAUAGAUGACGGGAAACCACCGUCGUCUAGAAGGUUUUCAAACCAUCGUGAAAUUGACCGCCAUCUUUUGUACAUAAAACAACGACGGUUAUUAACCGACGUCGUUAACACAUUCAACGUCCAAAACUAUUACGAACCAACGUAUAAUUACUAUAUAUUUAGCCUAAAAUGAAAUCUUUGACAACAUUAGACGAUGAUUUUAUGAAAACUGAGACGUCUAAAGACUGUUACAUGUCAAGAUCAAAAGAAGAACCAACGUAAAGAUAAUUAUCCAUGUCCCUAAUUGAAGGAAAAAAGACAUGGAUAACCUAGAAACCGUUGUGGUUAAUUUAUACUACGUUAAACAAAUAAAGACACCGACGUCUAAAAUAUAAAAGACGACGCGCACACAAACCAAUAGACGUUUAAAGAGUAUUACAUGUCAGUUGUCUCUCAGUAAUCGCCGUAAAAUGCCUUAACCAAGUCUCGUACCUAGCAGAACCAUCUCUUAUGUGAUUAUCCACGUCGCAGAGUAGGAGAACAACGACAUUUUAACAUUAUUCCAUGUCUGUUUCUUGCGAGAAUCGUAGUUUAAAUUAUACAAAGAAGCCCCUUUGACAAAGUUAGAAGUCACUUUUUCUGAAUAACUGACGUCUAAAAGAUUUAAAAUGACACAAUAUUACUUAAUACCGACGUAACAAAUCAUACCCACGACGACUGUUGUCAAAGGCGGACGUUAUAAAUAAUAUUGAAGGCGUGGAUAGGAAAAAAAUCAACGUGGAUUAUAUAUUCAAUGUCGGUGGCGUUAAAAUAAAGGACGUGGUUAAUUUUUUCACUACGUCAUGAGAUCCAACUGCUUGACAUUGUAAUUGCUUACCACGUUGAUUUUAAAUACAUGAUGACGUGGUUGUCCUUUUAAAAGUUGAUUGUUUAACCUUCCUUCACGUGUGUAUUCUCUGAGACGUCAGUUAUUUUAGACUAGCCGACAUGCAGAACAUCUAUCACGACAGUUAAUGAAAAUGAACGGCCUUUAUUUCUGACUUUAGACGACGGUUUCUUUUAAGCUGUGUUUAACAAACCGACGUGAUUUCAGUUUCAUAUGGCGGUUUUUUUGGUUUACGGUCUUUUGCAUUUUUAAAACCCGACGUUGGUUUUAUUUUAGACGUCUGUUUUUCCAAUUUUUUUUACUGGACCGUCAUAUUUUACACCUUUAACCCAGUUUUUAUAAUUUUUGAUUUGUUGUGCCCAAAGCCUGCAUAAUGAAAAUGUGAUCAGAAUUAAAAUGAUGUACAUAGUUAUUAAUUAAUGUCAUAUAAUUAAUUGAAUAACUAAUGUCAUACAUUACAACAAUCAAUCAAUCCAUAUAUCUUCACAUCUUUCAUUCCCAAACUCACCCACUAGGUCAUCAAAUGUGUCAACAUUUGGUAUCCCUCUAGUAAAUGGCUCACACUCAAUUCUAAUAUCACCUAGCACAUCAUCACCAAUAACAUCAUUAUAUUCUCUAUUAGGCAUUGAUAACACUACUGACCAACCAUGAUGCAUUGGGUCGUCAACAUAAAAUACUUGUUUGACUUGAGAAGACAUAACAAAUUGGUCAUUCCUAUGUCUAAUUUUACUCAGAUCUACAAGGGUAAAUCCAAGUUCGUCGACUACAAGACCCGAAGUGUUAUUUAUCUAAUCACACCUCAAGACUGGGAUUUUAAACUUUUGGUAGUCAAGGUCUCAAAUUUCUUGAAUAACACCAUAAAAACCCAUAUUGGAGACAAUAGAGUUUUUAUCAUUGGCACUAGCAACUUGCAUAGUAUGUGCAAGUAAAUAAACUCCACUAUUUUGGACAGUUCACACAUCAUCUUGUGCCUUGGUGUUACAUUUAACACCAUUAGUAAGAUAGCACCUAUAUGAUGGCACUGCCAUGCUUGGACCAGCUGCUAGCCACCUCAAAUUUUCUGAUACGCCAUUAUGCUCUUCCCCAUUAAGUUCACUUUGAACCUGCAAAUUAAUCAUGUAUAUCUUAAUUCAAUCUAACAUAUAGAAAGGAAGAAAAUUAAAAGUUGAAUAUAUCAUUCAAUAACAUAUAUAUAUAUAUAUAUAUAUACGUUAAAGUGGAGCCAUUGAAUGAAAGUGUGAUUGUACUUAUCUUGCAGCCGCUUUGUUCUCUUUCUAAAUUUUGGAUAAGUGGUUUUGAUGUGGAUCAUAUGUUCCCUACAUUGACAUGAAAAAAUCAAGCAUUACGGUCCCUUGUAUAUAAGAUAAACAUAAGGAAUAAUAAUAUUUAAAAUGGCUUCAUUUGAAAAAUAAAACUCAUACAUACUCGAUAUAAGGUAGGACUUCCUCCAUAUUCUCCAAGACAUAUAGAUGUACCUGGUUCAACAAGUCUUGAUCAACUAAGCUUACUGUGCAACCUGAUAAUGGUUUCGAAACUCCCAUCUUCUGGCUUGAAGGCACUCUAACUGUACUAACAUCAGAUAAAUGCUCGAUGCAAAACUCUACAGCUUCUUCAGCUAUAUACCGCUCAGCAAUGCAACCUUCCGGACGAGUACGGUUCUGAACAUACCCCUUUAGCACUUUCAUAUAUCUUUCAAACGGAUACAUCCAUCUAAAAUAUACUGGGUCACAUAGACGAACUUCUCUGACAAGAUGUACUACUAGAUGAACCAUGAUAUCAAAGAAUGAAGGGGGAAAGUACUUCUCAAGCAAACACAAAGUAACUACUACAUCUUCUUCCAACUUAUCUAGCUUGGAAACAUCUACCGUCUUUGCACAUAUAGCAUUGAAGAAGAAGCACAAUCGAGUUAUUGCAUACCUUGCAGGCUUCUCCAAAACAGAACGAAUUGCCACAGGGAGCAAUUGUUGCAUCAAGGUAUGACAAUCAUGAGAUUUAAGUCCAAGAAGUCUUUAAUCUUUUAAAGAUACAAGAUUUUUUAUAUUUGAAGAAUAACCUUCAUACCAUAGAAAGAAUUGCAAACCGCUCUCUUCUCUACUCUUGACAAAUUCCAAGGCCCUGGAGGCAAGCGAGUAUGCCUUUUUUCAUACUCGGGUUGCAAAUCAGUUUUGACCCCCAUGUUGAAUAAAUCUAAUCGAGCAGCAAUCCCAUCUUUAUUUUUUCCAGGGAUCUCCAGCAAUGUACCAAUGAUACUAUCGCAAACAUUCUUCUCAAUAUGCAUAACAUCUAGGUGCCUCACAAGAAGGUAUUUCCAAUACUCGAGAUCAAAGAAUUUUUAUUUCUUCCAACAAACUCUGUCACCAUCAUUCUCACCAACACUUCCCCCAUUUUUCGAGCCCCAUAUGUAAUUAAUAUCUUCAACCAUGUACAACACUUCUUCUCCAUUUAAUGGCUCGAGAGGCGUGCUAUAUUCAGAUUUCCCAUUAAAAGCUGCACACUGCCUCCGAUAUGGAUGAUUGAGUGGUAACCAUUUUCUAUGCUCAAUGUAACAAAUUUUGUGGCCAUUUUUCAACCUGUGACUAGGUGUAUCAUCGCGUCAUAUUGGACAAGCUUUAUAUCCUUUAACGACACAACCAGAUAAGUUCCCAUAGGUAGGAAAAUCAUUAAUUGUCCAUAGUAAUACACCUCUGAGUGUAAAGUAUUCUCCUAUAUGUGCAUCAUACACUCCUCUAAUCUCAUCCCACAUAUAUUUUAAAUCAUCAAUCAAAGGCUCUAAGUAGACAUCUAUAUCAUUUCCGGGCUGUUUAGGACCGAAAAUCAAUAAGGUCAACAUCAUGAACUUCUGUUUCAUGCACAGCCAUGGUGGGAGAUUAUAUGUAACUAAGAUAACUGACCAACAACUGUAUAUGCUACUUAAAGAACUGUGGGGAUUGAAUCCAUCAGAUGAGAGAGCCAAUCUCAAGUUUCUCGCUCUUUACCAAACUCAGGCCAUUUAUCAUCAACAAGUUUCCUAGACGGGGAAUCCGCUAGAUGAGACAUAUGACCGUCAACUGAUUUUCUAGCAGCAUGCCAAGUCAAACUCUAAGUUGUCUUAUGUGAUUGAAAUAUCCUUUUAAACCUUGGACUUGGAGGAAAAUACCACACAAACCUUCGUUGGCACAUGCCUUCCUUCCACCUUGAGAUACCAUAAGUAGGACAAUUAGUUGAAUCUUCAUAAUCCUUCCUAUACAAGAUGCAGUCAUUGGAACAUGCGUAGAUUUUCUCAUAACUCUUCCCUAAAGCAGACAAUAUCUUUUUUGCCUCGUACAUAGAGGAAGAUAGUGUAUUUCCUUCUGGAAGCAAAUCUCCUUGAAGUAUCAAUAAUUCUAUAAAACAAACAUCACUCAUCCCAUGUUUUGCUUUCAAAUUAUAUAACUUCACCAAAGUCGACAACUUCGUGUACUUACCGCAACCAGGGUACAAGGGUUGAUCUCCAUCCUCAAUCACAUUGGCAAACUCAAAAGGGUCAAAUCCAAUAUUGCCUAAAUCAUUAUCAUCCAUCCCUAAUUCUUCAGAAACAAAACUAAACCUACUUUGCUCAUCUUCUUCCACAUUUCUACUAGCAUUAGUAGUCCAUUCCCAAGAUUCUCCGUGCCAUGUCCAAAUCUUAUAGCUUUGGUCAAUGCCAUUAAAGUAUAAGUGGUCCCUUAUAAUUCCAACCCCAAACAAUCGAAUAUUCUCACAUUUAACACAUGGACAACGAAUAUCAGUUGUAUUUCCAAGAUUUUCUAUAGCAAAAUUCAAAAAUUCUUCCACCCCUAACUCAUAUGCCUUCAAUCUUCUGUCCGCAUGCAUCCAUGACUUAUCCAUCUCACACACUAUAAAAUCAUAUAUAUAAUAAAGUAAAAAGACCAGCAAUGAAACAAUACUAUAUUCACAAAGCAGAGAACAAAUUGGAAAAAAAAAAAAACAAGAAUCAGAUGACGGUUUUUUCAAAAUAAUCAUAGUGUAACAUAAAGUCAGACGACGGCAUAUCUAUUUACUGUCGUCUUUAAGCUACCCAAAACCAGAUAUUUGUAUUCUUUUUGAAGAACCAGGUUUGGGUUCUGGUAGCCUAAUGACGACGACGGUAGUAAAUAAAAAACCGACGUAUAAUAAAAAUUUAGAUGACGGUUUGUUCCACCAACCGUCAUCAUGGUUUACAAAAAACUGAAGCCUAAAUCUUCCAUCCCCAUUCCUUUUCAAAGAACCCUUAACAGAAUGCGAACACCAAAACAUAAAAGAACCCAUAGCUCCCAAAACAUAUAUUAAGAAACCAAAGCUAAGAGAAUAUACAAACUAAGAGAAUUUGAGAGAGAGCUGAGAGAAAAUAACAAGUGCUUGAGAGAAAGCUCAGAGAAUAUACCCAAUGCUUUGAGAGAGAGCGAAAACUUUAAGACAAAUUUACGUUGAAGAGAGAGAAGGAAAUAUUUUAGAGUUAAAGGGAAAUUCUGAAAAUUUUAGAUCUCGGUCAAAAAUUUUAAAGGACUGUGUUUAUCAAAGACGACAGUAAAUACAACCCAGUCGUCGUUUAAUUUCACAUUUAUGACGAGGGUUAUGGUAAAUUGCCGCCGUUGUAAAGCAUUGUUACGUCGCCUCUAUAAAAAUUGAUGUCUAAAAUAUUAAACAAUUAGAUUUGGUUUGCGUUUCCUGGGAUUCGAACGUGCGUAAUUGACCAAAAAGAGUGAGAGAAAACCAGCGUCAUUUCAAUAAAACCUAAACCCUAAAUUUUACAAUAAUUAUAAAAAAAAAUACACAAGUAUGAGAAAAAUGAACCAAAAAUUGCUACGGACUCCUUACAACAAUGCCUUCUAUAUUAGUAGGCUAAAAUCCAUAUUAAAUAAUUUUGAAUUUUUUGACCACCAAUGGAUCACAUAAACCUUAAGGUUAUGUUAUGGAAAGUAUAAUGACUAUUGUGCUUUGUCUCUAAAUCUUUUUGACUUUUGUUAUCACUUGUAAUUUUGAAAUCUAAAAUUAAAAUUUUCAGGCAUUGAGGGGGGAGAUAUUGUCUCAAUGAGUGCAUAGAAUUUAUCAUUUUAUUUUUUGAAUUUUUUAAAAAUAUAUUAUGAAUAUUAGUAAUUAAAUACAAAUUAAUUUUUUUUUAAAGAUUUAGGGGAGAGACAAUCUUUCAAUGGGGGUGCAUGGUAGUUGUCAGUUUAUUUUUUGAAAUUUAUUUUGAAUAUUAGGAAUUAAAUCAAAUAUAAAAGUCAUAUAAAAAUUAAAUGACAAAUGUACAUAACUGACGUUGCAUCCAUUUACAACGAUGUUAAAUAACACAUGACGUCGUCCUAGAAUACAUUAGACGUCGCAAUGUACCCACUGAUGUGGUUAGUGGGUUACAACGUCCUCUGGUUCUUAAUAACCGACGUGGGUAGCAUUUACAAUGUCGAUUAUUAUGUUAAUGCCGUCGUUGUUUAGAUAUACAACGUCACAUUUGGUCAGGUAACCGACGUUGUGUGUCUUUAACACGUCUUGCUUGUUGUACUAACGGACGUAGUAUAUCUAUACAAAUUUUUUUCGUAGAUUUCAGUUUUAUAUAUAAACUGUCGUGUUUAGCCUCCUUACAUGUCGUUUUUAAGAAAUGUCGUCGAUGUUUUAUUUCCUACUAUAAUAAGAUGACGAUUGUUUAUAGAUAUGAGACGUGUAAACUAGAAUGAGACGUCGGUUUUUGGGAAUGAAUUUAAGUUUUUAUGAUUUAUUGUCAUUUUAUUUCAUUUAAUGACAUAAAUAUCCUAUACAAAAAAAAAUAUUUAAAAAUUUGAUUUUUUGAUGAUUGUUCAAUUAAUUACCAAAAAUAUAUUUAUGUACAUUGUCAAUAAAUUAAAAUAAACCUAAACAUUGUUAAAAUAAAUUAUAUCACUUAUAAUUCUGUAAUUGCUUGUUCACGAAUUCUUCCCAUUCCAGCCUGACUUCGUCAAUAUGUUCUUGUACAUACUGAACUGGUUCCUUUUUCUUGUCAAAUUGCAAAUAAAGAACAAAAACUAACGUGUUAUAAUUAUUAAAACGACGGUUUUUAAAGAAAAAGUCGUGGUAUUAAAAUAAAGAAAUUAUAUCUUAAAUUUUACCUUCUCAAUGCUAGGGUUGGAUCAUGAAUUAUAGCUCUCAUGAAACGCAUCACGUAAUAGCCACACUCUACAUUUGUUGGUUGUUGAGGAGUGCCAUGUAGAUUUUUCCAUAUGGCUGAUUUACAUGAUGAUUGUUUGCCUGUGUGAGAGUUAUACAUUUUGAUUGAACUGUUUCAAGAAAACAAAAAGUGUUAAUGACAAAACUAAAAAUCAGCAUAAAAAAAUAUUAACCGUCGUGGUAAAUAAGUGAAGAUGAAGGUUUUGUAAAACAAGUGACGUCAUAUUUAAUUCCAAACGUCGGUAAAUAAAAACCGUUGUUGUGUAGCAUUCUAAAGUCGGCGACGAUGAAAAAUGACGUAUAAACAAAAGUUGUUUGUAAAUGAAAGUUGAACAAAAAAAAAUUAAAACGUCCUAAAAUAAAAAACUCAAACAACGUGGUAUUUCAAUUAAGACGACGGUUUACAGAAAAUACUGACGUUGUAAAUGAUUUCAAACGUCGGUUAUAAUUUACCGUCGUUGUGUUUUGAUUACAACGUCGGUAUUAAAAAAAGUCAUCGUAUCAUUCAAAUGCAGAAAUAAAAAAUCUUAGAUUUUUAUAAAUAAACUUACGUAUUCACUAUAUUUCUCAUGUCCUGGUCAUCAGAGCGGUUUGGCAAUGAAUCCAUGUCAUAAACAGUCUCCUUAGCUGGUCUCAUAAUUAUUAACACCCAAUGACCCCUACACAUAAUGAUCCAUAUAGAUUAAAUAUACUACAAAAACAAAAUAUAUUACAAGGCACCAAGUAUAGUUAAGGGACUAACCCUGGAUUAUAAGGCACCAAGUAAAAUUGAUCCCCAUCUGCGUUUUUUAGGCUCCCUGAAGCUUGAAGAAGUAAUUCAAGCUCUUCAAUCAUAUGCUAAACUAGAUGAUAUAACUGAAAGCUCUCAAGGCCUUUAUGCCGAAGGCAAGGAGAGGGGCCGGGAAAAGACAAAGGAAGAGAAAAUAGACAACAGAGGUAGGUCAAAAUCCAAGAAGAAAAAGGAAAAGAAGGAAGGCUGUUUCGAAUGUGGUUCAGCCUGUCAUUGGAAGAGGAACUGCAAGAUUUGGAAAGAGAAGAAAGCCAAGAAGGAAGGAAGCUCAGGUUUAGCUAGUGCAGUCACCGAGCAUGAGAGUGACGGGGAGCUUCUUUCAGUAACAUCAGGCUCCAAGGCUUUCACAAAUUGGAUUUUGGAUACCAGAUUCACUUUUCAUAUGUGUGCAGUAAGAGAAUGGUUCGAUACUUACAAAGAAGUCAGCAGCGGGGAAGUUUUAAUGGGGGACGAUUCUUCAUGUCCUGUAAAAGGAAUCGGCACUGUUCGAAUCAUAAUGUUUGAUGGAAUGAUACGAGUUUUGGGGAACGAUAGAUAUGUCCCUAGACUAAGAAAGAAUUUGAUUUCCUUGGGUACUUUAGAUGAGGCAGGCUAUGGAUAUGAGUCUAAAAAGGGAAGACUCAGGGUAACAAAAGGAUCACUGGUGGCAAUGCAGGAUGACCUACAACCCAAUAAGCUGUAUAAGUUAAUUGGGACCACUACAGUCAAGGGAGCAGCUGUUUUUGUAAAUCAAGGUAUAGAAGACAAGACUGAACUUUGGCAUCAUAGGCUCAGGCACAUAAGCCAGAAAGGGUUGCAAGAAUUACACAAGCAAAGCCUGUUGGAAGGCGUGUCAUCUUGCAAAUUGGACUUUUGUGAAUAUUGUGUUAUUAGAAAGCAAAGGAAGGUAUCAUUCACGAGUAGCAGUGCAGAUAACCGAAGCAAGGAGCAACUCAGCUAUAUUCACUCAGAUGUUUGGGGCCCUGCACCAACCAAAUCAAAUGGUGAAGCCAAGUAUUUUGUUACUUUCAUGGAUAUUUUUUCUAGGAAGGUUUGGAUUUAUUACAUGAAGUAGAAAUCCGAGGUUUUUGCAAAGUUCAAGGAAUGGAAAACAGAAACUGAGAAUCAAAUUGGAAGAAAGAUCAAGUACAUGAGAAGUGACAAUGGAGUGAAUAUACAAGUAAUGAGUUUACCGAUUACUACAAGCAAGAAGGCAUCAUAAGGCACUUCACAAUUAAGAAGAAUCCCCAACAAAAUGGAGCUGCUGAGAGGAUGAACCGAAUUCUCAUGGAGAGACAGAGAGAGAGAGAGAGAGAGAGAGAGAGAGAAAGAGAGGAGCAUGCCAUUUUAUGCAGGAUUGCCUGAUAGUUUUUGGGUAGAAGCUGUUAAUCAUGCAAGUUAUUUGAUUAAUAGAUCACCAUUUACAAUUCUCGUUUUAAGAGUGCAGAAGAGGUAUGGUCUGAGAAGCCGGUGGACUAUUCCAAGCUCAGGGUAUUCGACUGUAGUGCUUACGCACAUAUUCCAAGUGAUGAAAGGUCAAAGCUCAAACCAAAGUCUACGCAUUGCAUAUUCUUUGGUUUCGAGAAAAGAGUGAAGGGUUUCAAGCUGUGGGAUAUCAACAACAGGAAAAAGGUUGUUAGCCGAGAUGUUGUCUUUGAUGAGACAACCAUGCCUCUGAAUAAAGUCGAGAGCAAUAGGGAGAAGAGAGACGAUGCUGAAAUUGAAGCAACAAAGAUUCCGUUAAUUAGUUCAUACGAAGAAGAAGCUCAAGUGGAGCAAAUGGAGCAAGAUGCUGAAUCUGAUGGUUUUGAGGAAGAAGAAGAGCAUCAGCAUCGUUCACCAGUUACGAAUCAGGUGGAACAAGAAAUAAGGCAUAUUGAAGGCACUCUAAUUCGCCAGACAUCCCAAAGGGUUUGAACUCCAACCAACAAUCCACCUGCAUUCCAGAGAUGCAUAGCACUGGACAAACCUAAUCGGAAUAAGAAGAAACCUGACAGGUUUGGGUUUAACCAAGACGAAGUUAAUUAUGCUCUCAACAUUAGUCAAGGAGAUCCAACUACUUAUCAAGAAGCUAUAGCAAGUGAUGAGCGAGAUAGUUGGAUAAGUUCUAUGACAGAAGAAAUGGAGUCUCUUUACAAGAACUCUGUUUGGGAGUUGAUUCCUAAACCCAAAGACAGAAAGCUAGUUGGAUGCAAGUGGUUAUUUAGGAAAAAGGAAGGACUACAUGAACAAGAUGUCGUGAGAUUCAAAGCAAGGCUCGUGGCUAAAGGGUACUCACAAAAGGAAGGGGUGGAUUAUGAUGAGAUCUUUUCACCUGUAGUCAAGCAUACUUCUAUCAGAUUGUUUUUAGCAAUGGCAACUCAGAGAGAUAGGACCGCUGGAAGGAUCUGGAUAUCACAAGCCAAGUAUAUUUAGAAGGUUCUUGAGAAGUUCAACAUGCAAGAAGCGAAGGUACUUUCAACUCCUUUGGCAUCUCACUUCAAGUUAAAUGGGCACCAGUGUCCUAAGUCUGAGGAAGAGUAGCAAGUAAUGGAGAAGGUGCCUUAUGCUAAUGUCUUGGGCUGCCUUAUGUAUGCAAUGGUAUGCACACGUCCCGACAUAGCUCAAGCAAUUAGUGUCGUUUCCAGAUACAUGGCAAAUCCAAGAAAGCAACAUUGGGAUGCAGUCAAGUGGAUUUUACGUUAUUUGAAGACUUCUUGGCGACAAAGGAUUAUGUUUGAGAAGCAAAAAGAAAAUGCAGGGGUGUUGGGAUAUGUGGAUGCCAAUUAUACAGGGGACUUGGACAAGAAAAGGUCAACUUUUGGUUAUGUAAACAUGCACAGGGGGACCGAUCAGUUGGAGGGCACUACUGCAACCAAUUACAGCUUUGUCGACCACAAAGGCAGAGUAUAUUGCAUUGGCCGAAGCUGGAAAGGAAGCAAUUUGGCUUAGUAGCUUGGUAAGUCAAAUGGGAAUCACUCAAGAUUGUGUGAAGCUGAAAUGUGAUAGUCAAAGUGCCAUUCACUUGGCAAAAAAUCAAGUUUUUUUCUGGAAGAUCAAAGCACAGUGAAGUAAGAUAUCACAGAAUCAGAAAUUGGGUAGAGUCUAAGGAGAUUUGGAUUGAAAAGAUUCAUACGGAUGACAAUGCCGCAGAUUUCCUUACAAAGAUAGUGUCGACCAAGAAGUUCAAGCAUUGCUUGAACUUGAUCAAUCUCGUUGAUUGAUUAAAGUGGAGCACCUCUUCACUUGAGGUGCAAUGAGGCAAGAAGAAGAUUGCCAAGGUAAAGACUCUUGAAGAUUUCCAGAGCUGCUUCAAGGAGGUUCAAAGAUACUCUGGAGUGCAACGAUCAAGACUUGGUUUGACUCACCAAGGUGGAGAUUGUUAGGAUUUUGGCUCGUCAAAUAUGUCCUAGUUGGUUUAGGAUUGUUUUAGGAAAAUUAGAGGUAUACCAAUUCUUGUCCUAGAGGGAUUAGGAAAGAAUUUCAGUUUUCCUUAUUCAAUUUAGAUUUGGAUUUCUAGAAGUCUAUUAGGAUUUGGAUAAGUGUAAUUUCCUAAUCUACAUAGAAAUAGGAAUUCAAUCAGCCUUAGGACAUGUAAGCCAACUCUAUAUCUAUAAAUAAGGUGCGGCAAGGCUUAUUUUAAGGGGAAAAAACAGCCAGAGACAGCCGAGAGUUUUGAAAUUAGUUCUAGGGUUGCAAAAGUUCUGUAAUCUCUAUUAUUAAUCAAAGGAGCGGUGAUUUCUCUACCUAGAGAAAUCACAACUGGACAUAGGCAAAAGUUCUGCCGAACCAGUAUAAUUCUUGUGUGUUUCUAAGUUUUCUAAUAUUUGCUAGUUUAGUCUAUUGCCGUUGGUUACAUUAAAGAACAAGAUCUAGUGUGCGGGUUAUUUAACAACUAUACGGAAACGAACGAAGUUGGCAUGACGAAUCACAGUUAUAGGAGGCUCUUUUGCGGAUUUGUUUGCUUUGGCGGCUGAGAAGUUGACGCUAGUUGAGUUAGAGACGUUUGCCUGUGGAGCUUGGCAUUUCGGAAGCUUCGCAAUGAUCUAUUGCAUGGGAAGAGUGAACAACAUAUGAAUGUGAUCGUGGAAAGCACUCUGGAGAUGCAUGCUCUGUUCAAAGCCAAUGUUGAGAGGCCGCAAAAAUCGGCUGCUUCUUUAGCUGUGCAAUGGAUUAAGCCACCGCUCCAAACUCUCAUUCUCAACUAUGAUGGUGCUAUUAGCAGGGAUGGAAGUGGUCGGGGAGGGGGUUGUUGCUGUGAUUACACUGUAAAUUUUCUAUGUGGGUUCACGGCUAGUGGGCCUCCGGGGUUGGAUGUGCUAGGUACGAAGCUGGAGGUGUUACGUGAAGGCCUUCUGAUGAUGGGAUUUAAAAGUUUAACCUGUUUUGUUGUGGCUUCAGACUCAAAAGAAGCAAUGUCUAGGCUCAAAGGUUAGUUGGAUUGGUGGGGUAACAUUGGUAGAGUGGUGGAGGAUAUUUGACGUUUGCUUGUUGACAAGGAAGUAAUAGAUGUGGUGCAUCAACCUAAAUUGGGCAAUAGAAUGGCCCAUGCACUUGCUCAGUUUGGGUUAAAGGAAAGCACAAGGUUCUUUUGGGAAGACGUUGCUCCACCUUGACUGGUGGCAAGAUUGCGACAUGAUUUAGAAUUGGCUUAGUCUGUUAUUUGUUUAUUAUGGAAGGCCGUUGUACUCUUUUUUCUUGACCGCAUUUUCCCUUUGGGGUUUUGAUGACAAGGUUUUAACGAGACCACAUUUUUGCCCUUCGGUCUUUCAAAGUUUGGUGCAUUGUAAGUUUUUCCCCAAUUGAAUGAAGUUACUUGUUUUGAUCCCAAAAAAAAAAAAAAAGUCUUCCUCUAGCCUACCUUGAUUGAUUGGUAAAAGUCUUCCUCAAGUCUUAUAAACACCCACCUUUGUCCCACUCCUCAUAACAAAGGAAGAGGACAUGUAUUUUCCUUUUUAAUUUAUGAGCACAUGUAUCUCCUUUUCUGAUAAGUCUUCCUCUAGAAUUUUCUUCGUCAUUUAAUGUGAAAAUUACAUAAAGAAAGAACGGAAAUUCCAUACAUUAUUUCAUUGACUGAUUUGUCUUCCUUUUUGUUUGUUCCCCAAUACACGAUAUGAACUCAUACACAUCAAUAACUUCAGACAUAAUAGAAAAUUGACAGACUAAGGAAAGGCAAUGCGCAUAUGAAGUGAGAAAUGUAAAAAUUUCCACAUGAAAAAGAACUAACUGUUAGCGUUUGUUUCAUUGAAUGAAAUAGGAUCCUUAAAUAAAAUAAACACCUAAGAAGAACUAAGCUUGCAAAAUCAAUAUUACGUAUUAAUACCUCUUUUAACUAAUGCUUUUGGUCUUGAGCAUCCAAGAAGAGGAGCAACAAAAGUAGAACUCGAGCAAUCUCACUUUCAUAGGAGGAUUUCUAUAAUAUCAUGAACAUGCCCUUUAUGGAACCAAAUGACUCAAGAUAUUACAAUCAAGGCAGACUUUCUGAAAUUCAAUUCUAACUUCUAAGCUCAGAGUUACUACGAAAACAGUUCUCUAAAAUGCAAAAAUGCACCUUUCAAGGCCAAACAAAAGGAAUGAGCCUAAAGACAUCACGAUCCAUGGAAAAGUGAUGGAGCUUGAAGAUCUUGACGUUCCCAGUCAGUAAACCUCUUCUAACACAAUUUUUCUUUUUGGAACUUGAUCUCAACUGGUGCCUUGUCGCCUUUUGGGAAUCAAACUCAUCAGUAAAAGCACUUUCUAUAUAGAUUCCAAACUGCAUCUGAGUUCCGAUAAUUGUUUUUACAUCUCAACUCUUCUCAAAAACCUUGAAAAACCUAUGCGAAUAAAAUUCAUGGAAAGACAGGCGGUGAACUGCAAUAAUGCAUCAAUCAGUCAGGGGCUUCCUCAUAAAGACAGAGGACCAAGAGCCUCGACCAGAUUGGGAUCCUACAUGGUUAUACCAUGCUUUUAACCCAUGUACCAGAAUCUUCUACGGUUUGGAUUGUGCCAUAUCUGCAAUGUUUAAGUUUAUUUUCGGUUAAGACUACAAUGACAUUUGCACUGUCUCACAGCCCUUAUCCUCUUCUUUCAUGCUCCUCCUUGACCUUGAAGAGAACACUCAGCCUCCCAUAUUGUUUCCCUACAACUAUAACAGAGAAAAAUCACCUAAAUUCAUGGUCCCUAUGGCUAGAACCAUCAAACCAAUGUCUCACCAACAUUUUUAGGUUACAUUACAUCUCCAUGAAAACCACAAUACCGAAUGAAUAAAACUUCAACUUUAUGCUCACAUAGACAAUAAACUGAAAUUGGGAAGCGCAGAUACAAAAAUCUCAUCUAUAUUGAUUUUCUUUAAUCAAAAUUCAAAUCACUCAAUUAUCCUCAACAUGCAAGAGCAAGGUAUUGAACCUGAUAUGUAAGACUCAAUAAAAUUUUACUAAUGAAACUUCAAACAAUGAAAACCUUUUACGAAUUCUACUUGUAUACCCUAAAAUUUCACUCAUCUUCAACGUGCAACUGUUCUUCUAGAUGGCUAAUGAGGAAAGCUUUAGUUUGAAUCUAAAUGCAGUGAAUUCCAUGACAGUUUUUCGUUAUGUAGUUAUUUAGGCACAUCAGGUAUCUUCUGUUUUCAAUCUAUCGGCUCUUCUUAACAUUAACAGUUUAGAGUCAAACAAAAAAAAAAAUUUGAAUGGCUCAACAAUUGAAAUAGGGUUUCGAUGUGGGAAAUUUGGGUGUCGGACAGAUUGAGUUUUUUUAUUUAUAAUAAUUUUGUUUUCCUUGUACGAAGUCAAAAUUAGAGGUUAUUCACCCUUACAUGCAUUCAGAGAAUUGAUUUGUAGAGGUAAUGGGAUUUGAUCUUAGCUCUAGGUAUCAGCAGGGUUGAAAGACUGAGCGCUUGGAGAAGAUGCAUAAACUCCUUAAAGAAUAGAACAAUUAAUACCCUGGUAUAACCAGAUAAAAUCCCAACCUGGUAGAGAAUCCUGGUCCUAACAGAUAAGCAAUAUAUAGCUAGUUUUGGUGAAGGGUACAAUAAGAAUAUAAGAAAUUGAGGAAGGUAUAAUGCUAGACCUGGAUUUCGAGACAACAGUUUUGAACAUAUAUCAACAGAGUCUGGAUGCAACCGAGAAAGGAUGAGUUGGUCAAAAGGGAGACAUGUAGAUGACUUGAUGUUCUUAAGCACCUGGAAAGUAAAAAAUCUAUCACUAUUUGAGCGAGCAUGUUUAAAGGAGUUUGUAUGGCAAAAAGUAGUACGUUGAUACCUGAACAUUAGUCCUACCAGGAAAAGGAGGGCAACCAUUAAGAAGCUCAAAAAGAAUUACACCAACACUCCACAUGUCCACCUAUGAAAAUCAAAACCUUUAUUUCUGUUCAUCCUGAUUGAAAAGGGAAAAUGGCAUGAGCUCUGGACAAGAUCAUACCUUUCCAUCAUAUCUUUCAAACUGAAGAACUUCAGGUGCCAUGUAUAAUGGGGAUCCACAAACUGUCUCCGCAUAAUCACCUGGAUGUAAACUUCUGUCCAUAGUAGAAAAGAAAAGGCAAAAAAUGAAACUUCCAAAUUUAAUUGCUUUAAAUCAUAGUAAAUAAUAUAUAAUAAAAAGGGUUACAGGAUGAAUUUCCACAUAUGUCCCUCUAUGAUAGAGGUUACCUUGAGAGACCGAAAUCAGCUACCUUUAGCACUGCAUCAUCGUCACUGCGAGAGAGUAGAAUGUUCUAGUCCAACAAAACAAAAGAAUUCAGGAAAUUUUAGAAUUAUGAUGUUGCGCAAACCAUAGGAAAAACACUGCAUUUGCAGGUACUAUGUAGAAAACCAGAAAACAAAUUGCAACUUUUUUACUCUACUUUAGAAAAUUACAGCAUUGUCAGAACAACAAUUAGUUGUCAUGUAAAAUUCUGAAGUAGCAUUUUAUGCGACAAGACAUCACUAAGACUAGAAAUUUCAAAAAGCUUCAAGAAAAAAAGACAUGGAAGUUUCCAAUUUGAAGACUCCAAACCCAAAAGAAUCUGUUAAUAUUUAGAAGUAAUUUUUGGUAAUUUUUUUUUUUCAAAUCCUAGUUGUUGAGUGGAAACCAUUGGUGAAGUUUAAAAACAGGGUCACUCCAAUCUACUAAUGCAAUUUACACGUAAGGGGGCAAUGAAUUAGGUAAGGAUCAAAGUUCAACCAAUAUAGAUUCAAUUCAUAAAAUCCGAUCCUAUAAUGUAGAUUUAUAUAUGAGUUUAAAAUUCAAUAAAAUCAUGUUCAAAUAAGAUUCAUAAUCGUGAAUAUCAAAAUCAGAUUAAGAAUGUCCUCUUGGGUUCUUGCUUCUCCAGCAUUGUGAGACAAACACCCGGGUGCGAACUGAAAGUUGAUCUUCUGUGGAUAUUCAACCAUAGGGCCCAUAUAACCCAUAACUUCCCCGGCAAAAGAAAAUAAUGGCUACAAAUAGGAAAAUUUACUUUUGUUGCCAUUGUCCUAUAAAAUCCUGUUUUUACCUCUGGUUUUAAGUCUCUAUGCAUGAUGUGGUGAGAAUGUAGUAUUUCCAAACCAGCCCCUGUACAACAAGAAUUUGAUUAGAUGCAGACUGUAGAAGCAGUGUAAAGCCUUAUUACAAAUUAAAAUGAAAAUAAGAAGCUACCAAGCUGCUGCAUAAAUUUCCUAGCGAUCUGUUCAUGAACUCUCCCAUGUUGCCGAAUAUAGGCUGCCAAAUUUCCCCCAUUGCAGAAUUCCAGGACCAGGAAUAUGCAACCUUCAUUCUGGGUUGAAGACAUGAAUAACUCACUAAAUAAUAGCCAAAUAACACGCUGGUUUCCAACAGUUAAAAGGUUUGGUGCCUGGAUAUCUUCAUUUAUAUAAUCUCACUCUCUUCUGCUUCCUUUUCCCUAUCUACAGAAUUCCGUUAUGGCAUGUUUACUUAUCAGGAAUGGGUAUUGGAACAAUUCCAAUUCAUGACUUACCCGGCGUUUACUAACACAUAAGGAAUAAAAAAAUUUGCGUUCCUUGUUAAAAUCUGUAAUCAAAUACCCUCAAAACUAGGAAUUGGAUCAACUACAGUCCUUACACAUAAAAUAUAUUGUGAAACUAGUUUGAUGUUUAGAGAACAAUCCCAUGUUCACUUCCAAACUUCUAUGAAAAUUCAAAAAGAUAGAGAUUGAGAAUUUGGGGUUCUAAAUGGUUGAGUUGUGAUUAUGGAAUUCCUCAAGAACAACCCCUGCAUUCAAAAUCUGCUGUGAAAGUAGUUUAGUGUUUAGAGGAUGAUCUCAUGCCUACUUUUACGUUUGUAUGAAACAUGCUUAGUGAUAGAACUUGAGAGGUUUGGGCCAGUUACCGGUACAAUAUUCUUAAAUAAAUUACUCAUGCCUGGACAUGUUUAAAAGAUAAGUAAGUGAUUCAUGACAGUGAAGGCUGGAAAGAGUGUAUUGAGGAUCACUCAAAUCUACGUGAGGCAUUAUACUACUCAUGUAGACAACGACAAUAAUGGUGCAUAACAGUCCUAGAAUCAAGUAGGUUAGUAAGUCUAAGUCUAAUCAGUUGAAUCCUGACUCGACCCAUGUUUCUUGCUUAGGUCUUCUGCAUUAAAAGUUUGACUAAAAAAUUGAAUCAAAGAUCAAGAUGUCCUUGUAUGCAUCCAAACACGUGUAUAUCAGAAAGUACUCAUGUGAGAUGAGAAUUUUUGUUGUAUUUGUAAAAAACAAAUUAGUGUGCCAGUAUUUAGGAAUGUCAACAGAAACCUAUCCACCCCUCUAGGUUUCUUAUCCAUUAUAUUUGGAUCUUAAAUAGUGGUUUAGUGACAUGCCAAUGCUGUAUAUCUUUUAGAAGGUUCUGUAGAUAGACUGAAGAUUGCUGGGAUAAUAACCAAUUUCCAAGGAUUUCUUAGGAUAAUUCUAGCAAAGGUCCUUUGGGCUGUAAAGGAUAAUUUAACUAAAUAGAAUGAAGAGGUAUCUAACAAGAUGAAGAUCAAGAAACAGAAUGGUGGAAGGAGAUUAAGGGCCGGAGAGCCAGCAUAGAUGUGAAACUGGUGGAGUGGGGCAGGCAGCACUUAGGUUUGAGACUUCAAUCAUCCAUAGGCGAGAGAAAAAUAAAACCUACUUGGAGGGGGUAAAAUUCAAUCCAACAACCAACCAAAAAUUAAAAAAAACCUUAAUAUAUGGCAAAGGCUUCUCUGCAUUCACAAUGCAAGCGUAAUAAAUCCUUCAUACUCAAAAAUCACCACGGCUACUACCGGGUGGAUGGAGGAACCAAUUACUAAUAUUAUCCCUCAAUAUUUUAGGUAAAAACCUAUAAAUAACAUUGACCACUAAACCAAUCACCAGUCACAUAAAAAUCAAUCAAUCACCAAGAGAAAAAUCAAAAGACAGACGGCACAAGUUGAAGCGUGAUUAGCCAUUAAAAACUAGUUUCACUAAAAUAUGGAAAUUUAGAAACUCCAAAUUUCCUACAAUAUUGCUCUGAUUCAACCAAACUAAUGAAAUGGGUAUAUGGAAAAAAAAUUAAAAAUUAAAAAUAAUCGAAGAAAUUGAAAGAAAGGAGAUGAUCAAGUACCUGGAAAGCUUUGAGGAGACGAACGACGUUGGGGUGGCAAAUAGAGGACAAGAAUUUGAUCUCGCAAUCCAAGCAAUUCUUGAGGCGCCUGUUGAGCCGCGAGAGGAAGACCUUCUUCAGAGCCACCACCUCCCCACUUUCUCUGUGCACGGCUUUCCACACUCUGGAGAAAGAGCCUUCCCCAACCUCUGAUAUCAGAACGUAAUCUCCUAAUGCUGCUGUGCUGCUGAGUUCAGAGAGACUUGGCUUGCUUUCAGGUUCCAUAUUGAUGUUUUUGAGCUCUCAAGACUUUGCUUUGCUUGCCCUGUAAUGAAAGCGUUAUGGGUUUCCUUCAUAGCUAACUCUCUAUCAUAGCUAACUCACCGUCCCCUCAAAAAUUUGACACAUGUCUUUAACUAUAUCCAUGUUGUAAACUAAAGAGAUUAUGGAGAGAAUUAAGAUGGAGAGAGGGCAUAGAAGCCUGAUCUUUUCAUUGAAUGUUUUCUCUAUAUCUUUGCAGGCAAGAGGGUUGCCUAUUUAUAGGCAUGUUAAAUGGCACCCGUGAAUAAAAGAGAAGACAUAAUGAUGUUUCUACCCAAUUAUCACUGUUCACCUUUUGACUAUGUGGGCUUCACCCAUUCUACUUUACAACACUCCCUCUUGGAGACCACAUGUCCCUAGAUUGGUUGCCUCAUUAAAACCUUGCUUGUAAAAACCCAGUGGGAAAAAACCUAAGCGAAGGAAAAAGAGUACAACUUUAUUUGGGACAUAAAGGUAAUACGCUCAUGUUGCCUCGUUAAAACCUUGCUUGGAAAAAUUCGGUGGGGAAAAACCCUAGUCGAAGGAAAAAGAGUACAAUGCGCAUAUGUCCUGUGUUAGAGGACUCUUGAAUGCUCCCCCUGAUUUUGCAUGCUCCAACUUGAUUUCUUGCAGAGUUGUCGUAAGCCGAUGCCAUGCACUAACUUUUGGAAUGUACAUUUCGGCAAUGAUUUAGUGAAGAGAUCUGCCAGGUUAUCGCUUGAGCGGAUUUGUCUGACUUUGAUUUCUUGACUCUUCUGGAGCUCGUGUGUAUAGAAAAACUUUGGUGAUAUGUGCUUAGUCCUGUCACCCUUGAUAUGUGUAUAGAAAAACCUUGCCAGUAAAAACCCAGUGGGACAAAAAACUGGUCGAAGGAAAAAAGAGUACAUAACCAUGUGUAACAUAAAAUUCUGUGUAUAUUGACAUGCGUACGACACUGCCUCGUUAAAACAUUGCCAGGAAAAACCCAGUGGGAUAAAAACCUGGACGAAGGAAAAAGAGUACAGUGUGAAAAGGUCUUUAUUGACAGCACGCUCCCCCCCCCCGAUGAAUAUCUCCUCCUGAAAACUUCAUGACUAGCUUUUUCCAGUAAGCGACCAUAGAGAUUUUCAGAGUCCGCAUAUCUAAUAACACUUGGGCUAUUUAUAAGUUCACUCAAAAAUAUGCCCGUAUAUGGUGUUGUGCUUAGAUAGCAUCAAAUAUGCCUCACAUCAUCCCAAAAUGAUGGUGAUGGAGUUGAGCUCUAUCUGGAAAAUACGAUGUACAGUCCAAUAUACUUCCCUGAAAAUCCUGAAAGUGUCCAACGGAUAAUCCUCAUAAAAAUGCUUCAAUACUUUCUUAGUAUAAGCGAGAAUCUCGUUGGCAUAAUGCUCGAUCUUUAAGUCGAGACAAAUAUUUCUUGAACUCUUCAGAAGCUUUAAUGUGUUGCAAACACAUUAUAGUCCAUGUACUCACUGAGGCAAUUUAUGCAUAUUAGUAUUGAGUACUGAUUUUGUGCUUUAGGCAUAUGUCCUUUACAGACUUGCUUCAUGCAAUUUCAAUCCUUUCAAGGAUUUUGUUUAAAGGGAUUAAACUUUAUGACACAUUAUAUAGCUUUUACCCAGCUAUUUAUACAUCUUUAGGGAAUCGCUUCUGGCGAUAUGCUUCGUGCAUUUAAUAACCCUUAAAGAUAACAUGUUGGUCUCCGUAAAUGUGCAAUAAGGAGGCACAAUUGAAUCUGUAAAUAUGGAGAAGACCCAACAUUCCUUGUCUCUGCCAGAAACAUUGUGUCAUACAAAGUAGGUAUAUUCCCUUUUAUUCCGAACACCCAAGUAUAACUUUCAGUAUUAACAUCUUUUGGGGUUCGUACUGUGGGUUUGUUCUUUCACGUUCAUUCUCAUCUAUAAUGGAAUUACCUCAUUCCAUUUUGGCCAAUGAUAUUGUCGACAUUUAAUAAUUGAACGUGGUUCCAAUCAACACAGCCCAUUGAUGAUUUGAGUAGCUACUCCAAAACCAAAAAUUGUCAUUCAUCAAUUCAUGAUCCCACCAUUCUCAUUUGCAUGUGCAUGCAUCAAUUAUAAGCAUUUCUUUGCUUUUGGGUACCCAAGCCACUUCAGGGGGUUUUUAUUAUGUGAGAAUGUGGAUUAUAACCUUCAAUGGAGCGUUAUUUUACAUAGGGCGUGGAAAAUCUCCAUUUUGGGAGUUGGAACAUUCAGAACUCAUACAUCUGUCAUGCUGCAGGCAUGCCACAGAUUAAUACAUACAUGUCAAUUAAUUUAUGGGACUUUAACCCAUAUAAUUUGCUACGCAUUAGGCGUGCACAAUAUCAAUAUUGACAUGUUAAAGGAUUUUCCUUUCGGGACUUCAAUCCACAUCAUUUGCUACGCAACAAGCGUGUAUCAUAUUGAUCACUGCUAUACCCAUAUUCUGUUCUUAUGGGAUUUUAAUAUGUGCAGUGUAUUAUCAAUGUAUCCAACUUGCAAUCUGUAAAAUUUGUGUUAAUAAUUCAUGGAUACAUACAAGCCAUUCUUUUGGAACGGACUUAUCUCCCCAUUUGCUUACCUUUCAAGAUAAAAUAUCAAAUAAGUAUAUAAGUAUAAAAUAACACAAAUAUUGCUUACAUCCUUAGGUGGGAGAAACUUUUCUCAAGUAUCAUUCAAGCUCGUAUCGGCCCAGUAAAUAUAAUGUAGCGCUUGAUGAUCUAGUUAUAUCCUGCAAGAGCAAAAUCACAACUCUUUUCUCUGUCAAAAACAAAUAACCCUCAGAGUUAUGAUCACUUCAUGGAUUCUUUCUUCAGAUGUUCAUUCUAAAGAAAUAAAAUCUCUUAUGAACAGAGAGUUACAAAAAGAGAAAAAAUGCAAAAAAAUUGUGAUAUUGAUUGCAAGAUAAGGUAAGCAAUCAGGGAAGGAAGCUGGUGGGAGCAGACAAUAAGCUCUCAUUUCUCCUAGUCUAAAAGGACUUCCGGAGAUUAGAGCAUAAGAUCGCCUUCACAGUUUCCUGAUGUAGCGGAAACGUGAUCAGGGAUAGUCUCGCUUCCUGAAUGGAUGAUCAGAGAUAGUCUUGCUUCUCGGGCAUAUUGAGUGCUCACUGAUAAGAAAAAUAAGUAGAUAUCGCAUCACUAGGUAUGGAGAAAACUGGAUGUCUUCUGCAAAGAAAAUUUUGUUAGUAACACAUUUAUACACAAAUAAGAGGAAUAGAUAGAACCGGUGAAUUUCAAAUUAACCAUAGGAAAAUUGCGAGAUUCUUGGGGCACUUUUGAAAAAGUAGCUCCGUGAAAUCCGCAAAGCAAGAUCGGCUUUGACGAAAAUAAUACUUGGAAACGCCGAAAGUGCCAACAAAUAUUAAUGGAGGCCGCGUGAAGUUUUGGAAUCUGGAAAAGAAAAGGAGAAUAUGGGGAUCUGAGAUAAUAUUGGGAUCCUGAAAACUGUAGCCAUAUUUCCUCCUAUAGAUAUUGCCUUUGCAAGACUUGAUUGGAGCAACUGCGUUUCAACUCAACUUCCUUCAUUUUCUGAAACUUUAGUUUUUCUAAGACUUUCUUCGAAACCUUCUUAAAAUGGCUUCCUCUUCUUCCAGCCCAAAUUAUUUCAAUUUAAAUGAUGCUCCCACAACAACCAGUGACGCCAAAGUUUGGCGUCCCUCCUUUGUAUCCCAAAAUCGUCAUCUCAUAGUUAAUGAUUCUGUGAUGAUGAAUGAUGCUACUGCUGUCAUAGUAGCUAGGAAUUUCAUUACUCCAAUGGAUGAAAUACUGUUAACAGGGAGGUUUGAGGAAGAGGCUAUUGAUGACUCAAUGGCUUCUAGCAUUCAGAGUGCUGCUUCUGUUUCUAACAUGGCUGAUCGUUUGCGUGCUAGAGCAAACGAGGUUCAGAAGCUAACAACUGAAAAUUCGUCUCUUCAAAGGAUGCUUCAUGAGUCUCAACAGGAGGUUGAGAAACUUAAAGGAGAGAAUAAUUCCUUGUUGAAACUGGUGAGUUCGUACUCCGUUGAUACACUGAGAAGGCUAGACAUGCUGCAGGUCUCCAAUGAAAGAAUUUUGGAAGACCACGAGAGGCUUAUGGCUAAGCUUAAGAGGCGUCGUCCUCUUCCGUCAGAGGCUUCCAGAACAUGAUGUAAUUUUAUAGAUUUUACAGGGCCUGCACCUUCAUUGCAGGUGGAAAAAUCUAUCUGUUGUAUGCUCCUUUCCUGUUAUAAUAAUUGCACACAUUCUUAAAUUUGCACCUGUGGUUUUUAUGUCUUUUCAAAAUGACGGUUUGGAACCUUGUGCCUUAUAUGUUCAAAUAACCACAUCGACUCUCCCAAAUUUCCUAUUUCAACGUAUGGGAGCCCGAAACUUUUGCCCUGGGCUAAACACAAACUCAGAAUUUAUUCGCCCUUUUCAAAUGGACAUGAAAUAUGAAUUGAGUAAAAGCCACGAUAAUUUCGCAAUAUAGUAGUGAAGAGCAUUAACUACUAUAUACCCACAACCUCAAGUUCGGGAUUUCUCAUAUAUUUGAAUCCAUGUGCUUCCGGCCCAGAUAUAACAAAAUAUGUGGGGAGCCUCAAUUCAUCAUUUGAGGUUUAUAUUGAUAUUAUCCAUUUCACGGUGUAUUCUUAACAACCAGAAUUCACAAAAUAUAUUUCUUCCUUGAGGUGUCGAUUAUAACAUAAUCGAACUUUAUUAAAUUCAUCAUUUUCUUAUGCCAAAGAAAUAUGUGGUGUACCACAAUUUGUAAUAAUACCUCAAGGGUUGUCCAUUUAACUGUUGGAACUUUAGGUUCUCAACACUGUUAGAUUUUGAACUUCAUGCCAAAAUCACAUAUUCUCAUGGUAUGGACUUUCAAUCCCCUUAGAUUUUGAAUUUCGGGCUAAAAUCACAUAUUCUCAUGGUAUGGACAUUUUUACAAUUUUCUGUACAUAUUUCUGGACUUCAAGCCCUUACAUAAUUGUCCAUAUUUUGAGGAACUUCUGGCAUCUCAUUUAAUUGCUUAUCCAUGAGUUUAAGGAACUGCAGGUUCCCUUUUGUAUAGUGACGGUUUACCCAAAAUGGUUAAUAUUUAUGUAUACGUCACUAUUCAUGUAUCCGGUACUAUUCAUCAAGUCAUGAAUACGUAUCUAUUCAUGUGUACAGUACAUUUGCCAAUACAGUUAUUAUCCAUGUGUACGGCACUAUGAACCAAUACGGUACUGUUACAUCAUUAAGGAACCCCAGGUCCUUAUUUACAUGUCAGGGAUCAAGGACCGUCAAGUCCAAUCACAUGUUUACAAAUAUCAUCAUCAAGGAUCUUCAAGUCCUGAUGUAAUUGUAUGAUGAGGAUCAAGGAACUUCUGGUCCUGAUCUGCAUACUAUAAGAAAACUCAUCAUACAACACAAUUAAUCCAUAAAAUAAAUUGCUGGUAAAUAAAUUACUGGUAUGGACGAUAAACCCGCACCAUACUUUAAAUAAAUGUAAAUGUGCGGUAAAAUAAAUUCAUAAAUUAAAUUGCUUGUUGUAUGGACAUUAAUCCCGCACCAUACCUUAAAUAAAAUUAAAUGUGCAGUCAAGUAAAUUCAUAAAGUAUGAGGGUUAAUUCCACAUCAUACUUUAAGUAAAAAUAAAUUUACGAUAAAGUAAACGUGCUUGUAUGGGCACUAAUUCUGCUCCAUACAUUUAAAUAAAAGUAAAGGUGUGGACGAUAAACCCGCGCCACCCUUUUAAAUAGAUACUGUUGUAUGGGUAAUAAACCUACACCAUACAGUAAAUAAAAUAAAUGUAGAAAUAAAACCACCACUAAAAAUAUAAAAGAGUGAAACCGACAAUUAUUUGUGGGUUCUUAGCAACACCACGAUCAAAUAAUAUAUAUGCUGUCAACUUGAAUUGCCUCCCUUUUUUUUCGGUGGAAUUCCUCUCAAAACUAGAGGAAAUAGGAAACAAUAUAAUAUGAUUACAUUAAUAUAUGUAACUAGAAAAGUUGAGACAAACCAUAGUGCUAGUCUGCCUUCAUGUUUGUCUGCUCCAUAAUUUCGUAAAUAAAAUGGAUGAACAUGAACCUGCACAAGUUCCUCUUGUACACCUUUACUUGCUUUUUAUGAUCAAUAUAAUUAUAUAAUAUUAAAGAUAAAAUAGGAUAAAGAAAAACAGAGGACUUAUCUCUUUUCCUCAGACCCACUGGUUCCACUUGCCUGAUCUGACUUACAGAUCUUUGACAAAAACUAUGUUCCAGAAACUUGCUUGAAUACGGCAAUCUAGUAGCCUAGGUAACACCCACUGAGCUGGACUCUAGCUAUUAUGACUUCUCCAUAGACUCAGCUUCAAACCGGUUUUUCAUCCAAUUCCUCCAUGUCUGAGUGCUGCGCAGAAUGCCUUUGCUUGAUCGGUUUGUGGCCUUUUCUUCUUCCUCUAUGUUUGUAGACAUGUUUUAGAGAGGGCUAUACUCUCUGCUACAGUUGAUAGGUUGAUAGCUGGAAAUUUGAGAAAGAAAGGUAUUGAAGCAGAUGGAAUUCAUCCGAGAAUUCAACUGGUAUUUUUGAAAGCGAAUUCGUGCUGAUAACGUGUUGUAAACUAAAGAGAUUAUGGAGAGAAUUGAGAUGGAGAGAGGGCAUAGAAGCCUGAUCUUUUCAUUGAAUGUUUUCUCUAUAUCUUUGCAGGCAAGAGGGUUGCCUAUUUAUAGGCAUGUUAAAUGGCACCCGUGAAUAAAAGAGAAGACAUAAUGAUGUUUCUACCCAAUUAUCACUGUUCACCUUUUGACUAUGUGGGCUUUACCCAUUCUACUUUACAACAAUCCAUAACUAUUUUCAAUUUUUCAAAGCAUUUGAAAACAAAAAAUUAAGUCUAAUAAUAAUUUAUUUUUAUUUUUAUUUUUCAAAAAAUUGUCUCUUUCUCUUUCCUCCUUGCCGACCCAUCCUACCAUUGGGGAUCUAUUCUCCACAACCAUCCCAGCCACCGUUCACUCGUCCACCUUAUUCACCCUUCACCACGCUCCCCACCACAACAACCACCCACACCGAAACCCCAAAACCCUAGCCACCUCACCACGACAACACAAAAAAAUAUACAAAUAGAGAGAAAACAAGCUAUUUUAUUGGAUUCCUCUAUUUUUAGAGAAAGAGAUGGGAGAUGGGUUUGGAAUUUGGGGUUUGUUUAUUGAGAAGCUGCUGCUUCUUUUUUAUAGAGAGAGAGAGGAGUCCAGAGAGAGAGGGAGGGAAAUGAGUGGAAAGAGGGGAUGUGACGAGUUAAUAAGAAAUCGAAAUUGAUUCGGUCUCUCUGUUGAAGUUGGGUAUAUUUAAUUUAAUUUAUGCAUGUAAAGACGNNNNNNNNNNNNNNNNNNNNNNNNNNNNNNNNNNNNNNNNNNNNNNNNNNNNNNNNNNNNNNNNNNNNNNNNNNNNNNNNNNNNNNNNNNNNNNNNNNNNCUAAAUGACUUCGACCCACAAACAUUAUAGAUGUUCCACAAUCUUGGACUGCGUUUUUGGGGGGGGGGGGGGGUCUGGACUCUGGAGUUGCUACAGAGGAAUGGUGGCUAGGGUUUUUAAGGGCAGUGGCUAUAGAGAAUAAAGAGAGUUUUUUUACAAAUUUAUUUUAUUAUUAUUUGACUUUAUUUUUCUGUUUUCAAAUCCUUCAAAAAAUUGAAAAUAGAGAGUUAAUUAUAGUUAUAGUCAAGGAGUUUUAGUUUUAAAACACAAUAUAGUUUACUAAUUUGAGAUAUAGGAAUACAAUUUCAUCUAAUUAGCAUAAAGCCAAAACCAAAAUUUAGUAUCUAAUUUUACAAAAAUAUUAUUAAAAAAUAUCAAAAUUACACACAAUGCCACUCCUUCUAAAGUAAGCAUACUAUGCCACAUGUCAAUAUCAAGCCAACCACCAUCGCCGACCACCUGCCGCCGGUCCUUGCCGGCCUGCCAUCGUCUGUAGGGAACCAACUCCGUUGUCCUUUAUUCACCUUUAAAAAAAAAAAGAUUUUGUGUCCUUGAAUGGACUUGAACCUUGAUCUUCAAAGGAGGAAAGCUCAUUCACAAACCACUACACCAAACUUGAUUUUGUAAUAUUUAUUCAGUUAUACAAUAUAUAUAUAAAACAAUCAACAGUUUUUAAAACAAAAAACAAAAAAAUCAUUUCAACACUUAUUCACACAAAAACUACAAAUAAAAAUAGAAACUGCAAUAAAAAUACAAUGUAGAUAUCAAUUAUGUUUAAAAAAAAUGAAAACAGCUACAAAAACAAUUGUAAUUAAAUGAAAACUGAAAUGCAGUUUCCAAUUUCCAAAAGUCUGAUUUUGAGUUCCCUUACUCUUGGGUAGUUUUCUCUUCUCUUGCCUACCCAAUUCCUCAUCUGGGUAGCCUCUACUCUCCAAAUUGGUGAGGUUGACGGCCAAGGAAAGAACAAAAAUCAAAUUGUAAUCAAAUGAAAACUACAAUGCAGUUUCCAAAAGUCCAAUUUUGAGUUCCCUUUCUCUUAGGUAGUUUCACUCUUCUCUUGCCCACCCAAUUCCUCAUCUGGGUAGCCUCAACUCUUCAAAUUGGAGAGGUUGAAGGCCAAGGAAAGAGCCAAGAUCCAAUUGUAAUUACCAAAAUUGCAAUGCAGAACCUGUAUAAAAUUUUACCUACUGAAAAAUAAAGAAAUAUAAUGCUGCAAGCAUAAACGAAAGACAAAGACAUGGAGAAAAAUAAAUAAAUUUAACCCACAAGAUCAUACCCCAUACCAAAUAUUACGGACAAAUACAAUCAAUCAUACCCAAAUCAAAUAUAAAUCCAAAUAUUAUGUACAAAAAUCAUGUAGGAUCAUCUUCCACCAAAUUUUUUUGUUCUUAUUGUCAAGCAUCGUUCUUUUAAUCAAUAUCAAUGCAUAGUUGAUGGACCUGUCUUUCUCAACAUGCAAAUUGACAAAUAAUGACAAAUUUCAAAAUAUUGGAUUAUGAUAGUGAAGAUUGAUGAAGACAAGAUGAGAAACAGAGAAAUGGGUUAUUCAUCUUACAAAUUGGUAAAUUCUUUCCAAGAACGAAACCAAGAGUUAAGAAUCUCAAACUUUUCCAGUAAAUUCUGAUAUAUAUUCUAUAAUUUCAACGAAGAUAAAAGCUAUUUUUUGUAUAAUUACAUCCUGUCAAAUAACCAAAAUAAUGUGUGUAUAAGUACUAUCAACUUCGACCACUUUCCACCAACUCUCCAAAUUUUGUCAAGAUCCAAGGUUGACAGUUAUAACCUUCCAAAAAAAUUUAACGGAGAAUUCUGACCGAAGAAAGCUCAUGCCCAGACAAAAAAAAAGUGUUACACACUGAAAUUUCUGUUUAACUUGACUUUGGAAUUAUAUGACAGGGAAGACUGGAAUUAAUUGAACUUUGGUGGUUGUAAGUUAUAACCAAACCAAAGAAGCUAACGCAAGCAAUUUAUUGUAUGUAACAGAUGGCCCAAAAUUACAAAUGCCAGCCUAUAUGCAAUCUGACUGUAAUGGAGCAUAUCAAAUUAAAAUGUUGAAGAAACACGCAGGUCACCAAAUUUAAGGACAAACUAUAUCAAUUAACACAUAUAAUAACAGCAUAGGGGAGCUAAGCAAUCAUACUAGUAUAGGCUGUUUGACCCGAUCUUCAUGCUGAUUAUGGUGAACGACUAACAAAAUCAGGACUGCAAUCGAGAAGAGUCCAAAAGGAGCCCAGAUUCAAUACGAAAACCUCCUUUGAACCAGGCGCCGAUACUCGGCUCGCAACGAUGAUGAUCUCAUGUACGUGCUUCUCGCUCGCUGUGCGACAUCGCUUUGAAGAUCACCACCUAAAGGUCUGGCACUAGGUUGAUCGCUAUGGUUGCGAUGCCGAUGCUCGUCUAGUCCUUGCCGAUCGCUAAUUUUAAUAUCACGGUGGAAAAAAAAAAUCAAAAAAUUGCAAAAAUGUAAAUGUAACUCUUAUAUUAAUCAUGCUUUUAGCACGUGGGCUUACUAAUUGGUCUUUAACAGAAGGGUUAACUGCCGAAAACCUCCAUGAACUAUAUCGACUAUCGGAAUUUCCCUCAUGGAUUAUUAUUUUUUGCCAAUUUAGCCUUCAAAUUAAAAGAAAUAGCCAAUUUCACCCCUGCCGUUAGUUUUUCCCCAAUUCCAUCCAAAUGCCCGUUAAAAACACCACGUGAAAGGCACGUAAGCCGUCUGAUAAGGGUAAUAUCGUCAUUCUAUACCCUCAACCCUCAGCCCCCUUUAACUGAAUCGUUCGUAAGGGUCAAUUCCCAAAUCAGAGUUAGGGUUUUUGAAAAAGGGUGAGAGUGAAAGAGAGAAAGCGACUGAAAGAUUCGAAAAAGGGUGAGAAAGACAAACUACGACUGAGAGAUUCGAUUUUGAGAGAUAUUUUGUGACUUGAAGAUUCCAAACGAAGGUGCGACGGUAAAGGCAAAAUGAAAAUAAGAGAUGGUGGGGAAGCUCCCAUAUACAGUAAGUACGCUUAGUUUAUUUGUUUGAUUCAAUUGUUUGAGUUUUAAUGUCGAAUUUCAUUGCUGGACUUGAUGAAAAAGCAUAAUAAAAGGAAGAAAGUGGUCCCUAUGGUUGUUGUUUGUUGACUGAGACUUAGGUUGGGUUGUGAAUGUGGUCCCUAUGCAUGUUGUUUGUUUAUUGUUUGUCGGGUUCUUUGUCUGGGUUUGUAUUGUAAUGUAUUGUAUAGGAGAAUUAGUAAUGUACUGUAUAGGGUAGAUAGUAAAUGUAUAUUGUACUAUAUAGGGUAGAUAGUAAAUUAAUGAGAAAAUUUAUUGUUGUGCAGCUAAUCCUGACAUGUUCACACUUGAAGUACACCAUGGGGGCUAUUGUUUUGGCCUAAAUUUGGCACAUCCAGUCCAAAUAUCAAAAGCCCAUGUCAGCAAUCCCUAAAUAAAGGGCCAAAAUUACACACUCAGCCCAACACUGGAAACCCAGAAUAACGAAGCAAUCUCAGGACCCAAGCAGAUUAGGCUUUGCAUUGAAGUUGAAUUGAAAAGCCCAAAUCCAAGAAGGCCCAGCCCAGAAUCUGUCAUUUGGGCUUCAAAAAAAAAAAGGAAAAUCAGCCCACAGUUUCAAAAACUCAACCUGGGCUUAGCAUGAUUAAAAAGAGAAGAAAGGCCCAAAAUUGAAGGCAAACCCACGUGACUGCUUGAACUUUGAAAAGUCAGCAAUUUCAACUGGGAUUGAUAAGGAAUUAAUAAGGGCGGGUUUGAAAAAGACAUCUCUAAAAAUCUAUGCUACCAGAAGAUCAAAAUCCCUUUUUAUAUACUCAGAGAAAAAUCUGCUCCAAAGAAAGGCACCAUUUUUUAAGAGAUAAGAAAACUACGUUUGGGAGAUAAACAGAAAGCAGGAAGCAGGGAGUUGUUCAAAAUGGAAGAUCAAACUAACCAUCACAGUUUGAACUCUUAUAAGGGCAGUUGGAAUUAAAGAAGGGGUAGGUUUUCUUUCAAGAAAAACAGGGAAGUGAUUGCCUUAGGAACUGACUAUUGAGGGCUUAUCUGCCAGAAUUGAUAGAACCCCUUUUUCUUUACAUUUUAAAACGACAGAUCUUUUGAGAAUUUUUGCCGCCCAUUAUUAAAAAGUUAGAAACCAUACUUCAAAACAUUUCUUAUAAAUAUAAGAGAGGGUGAACAUAGCAGAGGAAAAUCAAUCAAACAACCAAAAAAUCAGUCGAAAGACAAAAACUCAAAAUGAUCACUUGAUUUCAAAGAAUCUCCAAACAAACUGAAGCAACCAAAAGCUCAUUGAGCCACAAGAAUGAAGCCAGCUACAAAUCAGUUUCAGAUUUAGAGAAAAGUCAUUUAAAACAAGAUUUCUCUCGUUGCAAAUUUGGUUCAGCAAAAGCCAAAACAAGCAGAGCCUGGGUUUUUACAAAUAUGAAAACCUCAACAAAUUUAUGGAGAGCCCUGAUCAAGCAGAACAGGCAUCACAGUGCAAUUCCAGCUCAAUAAUCCUUGAAUCUAGCCACUUCUGCCCCCUUCAGACUGAAGAGGCCGCAAUUCUGUCUUGUUCAAAAAGUCUUCUAAGGCUUGAAAUAGAUUAAAGCUAUGCCAAACUCGAACGUUGGUACGAUUUACAGCUGAAACUUGACAGUUGAAGUUGCUGACAGUCCAGUCCUGCAUAGGCAUACCCAGUCCAGUCCUGAUCAGAAGCAUCUAUCCAGGUAGAAAUGGAAGUCCAACCUUCUCUUUGUCUUUCUAGAGUUGGCUUUUCCCUUUUGAGUUUUGUAAAAGGGAGUUCUGCCUAAAAACAGUUCAUUUUCUCAUCAUUUAUUCUGGCAAGAACUACCAAUAUUGUACUGUGAAAAAUUGUGAAGUUCUCACCUGUCUGAGGCAAGAAAAGAACUUACUUAUGAGGUAUUCCUCACCCAAAUUCACAUUUGCUUGUUUAGAAAUCAGUAACUUGAGGCGCAAAUUAUCUAUUUUCGAAGUCUGCUAGGCUUUUUCAUUACUAGCAGUGGCAUGCUCGCACAAUAAAGAAAGUUGACUUGUUAACCAGACAAUGGUUUUCAAGGCAAUGGGGAACUUUACCUUACCAUCACAGGAACAAACACGAAACGGGUGAACAGCUACUUUGUUGAUGGUUUAUAUAUGGGAGGUAUUGUACAAUGGGUUGAUGGGCAAGAUAUAGAUGAGGUUUCAAUGCUUGAGUUCUUGAACUGGUUAAACACCAUGGUUAUGAUGAGCAGAACAUUCAAUACUAUUACAAGCAGAGGACAAAUGGCUGGGUUGAAAUUAUGACAGAUAAGGAUUAUUUUGGAGCAUUAAAGUUGGUGAAACCGAGCCAGCUGUUUGUGUUAUACAUAACUAACAAUCCAGCACCUAGGCCUCUAAAUAUUCAAUCCCCAGUAUUCUCUUCACAAGGUGAAAAUGCUGAACAUUAUGAAGACGAAGACACUGCUCAUGGAUAUGAUGGUGAUGAAGAAAAUGGGCAAUAUGAUUUCGUGGAUGUUGAGAUACAUGAAGAAUUUGGUGAGGCAGAGGAAGAAGUUGAGGUAGAAAGUGAUGAAGCUGAGCAAGGUGGGGAGGAUGAGGAAGAAGAUUGUGAUUUCAUAGAUAGUAAGUUUGAGCAAAGUGAUGAAGAGGACAACAUGAAUUUUCAUAGGUAUGUUGUAACUGAAGAGCAAGAUGAUGGACAUAAAGAACCAAGUGAGGGUGACAUUGAUGGUUAUAAUACAUCAGACUUAGAGAGUUUGCAUGAAGAUAGUGAAGAUAAAGAUGGGAAGAAGAGAGGUUUGAGGCAGCCAAAGUUCAAGCAGUACAAUAAACAUCAUGACCUUUUAGAUCCAAAUUCCACUUGAGUUUGGAGUUUCCUAAUAUGUAGGAAUGUAGAGAGGCCAUAAAGUACUAUGCAUGCAGGUGUGCUAGAAGACUAAGGUUUGUCAAGAAUGAGCCUAAUAUGGUGAGGCUGGUAUGUGAUGGUAAUAAGGAGGGUGAUAAGGCAAAGAGGCCUACUAAGGGUGAAAAAGCAAAGAGGCGUGCUAAGAGUGAUAAGGCAAAGAGUCAUAGUAAGAGUGAUAAGAGUAAGAGGCAUGGUAAGGGUGAAGAAGGUCAAGAGGAAGAAGAUCUGAAGAUAAACUUGAAGACUGUCCUUGGUUAUUGCAUGAUGCACAUUUUGAGAAAUGGUCUACUGUUAAAGUGAAGACAUACCAUCCAAUUCCUACAUGUGGCAGAUCUCAAAGAACUAGGUUUGCCACUUCACAAUUGUUGGCUAAAAGGUUUGAUGAGGAUCUCAGAACCAAUCCUAACAUGUCAGUUGCUGAGUUCAUGACAUUGGUGAGAAAACAUUAUAGUAUAAAUGUUACUAGGGACCAAUGCUACAAGGCAAAGAAUUUGGCAAAGGAGAGCAUUCAAGGAAGCAUUGAAGAACAAUAUUCAAAGCUGUGGGAUUAUUGUGAGAAGCUUAAGAGGCAAAACCCAGGAAGCACAGUUUUAGUAAAGACAUCAUUGAGGGGAGAUGAUCUAGUUUUUGAGAGGCUUUAUAUAUGUUUUGCUCAACUGAGGAAGGGGUUUAUUGAAGGAUGCAGAACCAUGGUUGGUUUUGAUGGGGCUUUCAUCAAAGGACAACAUCCAGGACAACUUUUAAGUGCUAUUAGGAUUGAUGCCAACAAUGGUAUGUUCCCAAUAGCUUUUGCUGUUAUGGAGACAGAAAGCAGAGACACUUGAUAUGGUUUUUAGAGAUUUUCUUCAAUGAUGUUGGGGUAAGAGGCACUGGAAAUGGGUGGGUUUUUAUCAUCGAAAAACAAAAAGGACUGGGGCAAGCAAUUGAGGCUUUAAAGUCAGAUGCUGAACAUAGGCAUUGUGUAAGGCAUCUGCACAAUAAUUUCAAACUUGCUGGGCAUGGUAGUUUGGCACUUAAAUAGAGGCUAUGGUCUGUUGCUAGAAGUACAACACUUCCUCAGUGGGAAGCUGAGAUGGAAAAUAUUAUGGAAAUGUCUACCCCAGCUCAUGCAUGGCUUCAGGAUAGGCCAGCAAUUCAUUGGAGCAUGCCACAUUUUACUACUGGGCCCAAGUGUGAUAUAUUGUUGAACAAUUUAUGUGAAUGCUUCAAUUCAGCAAUUUUGGAGGCAAGAGAUAAACCAAUAAUCACGAUGGUGGAAAGGAUAAGAACCUAUUUGAUGUUGAGAGUUACAAGAUAAAAAGAGGUGAAAUGGACUCAAAGAGUUAGGCCAAGGAUAUUUUAGAUUAUUGAGAAGAAUUUGAAAGAGAGUGGCUCAUGCAUUGCACAGAAUGCCGGUGGAAACAGGUUUCAAGUCACCCAUAUGCUUGGUAGGCAAUAUGCAGUUGAUCUAAAUACUCAUUCAUGCUCUUGUAGAAAAUUGGAUCUCUGUGGCAUCCUGUGUUGCCAUGUCAUGGCUGCUAUAUCAAGGCAACAGAGGAGCCCAAUGACUUAUGUGAAUGAGGUGUAUAAGAAAGAAGCUUAUGAUAGGGGUUAUAGCAAUUACAUUUCACCAAUGCCAAGCCAAUAAUUAUGGAGGAAAUCAAGGCAUAGGCCAAUUAAACCCCCACUGUCUCACAAACAAAGUGGUAGGCCAAAGAAGGCAAGGACUAGACCUGUUGAUGAGAUCCCAAAGGGUGCCACUAAGCUUAGGAGAUAUGGAAUUGUAAUCCAUUGCUCAGUCUGUGGAGGAGAAGGCCAUAAUGCUACUAAUUGUGGAAGGGCAGAUGGUAAUAUGGGAAGAGGCAGAGGGAGAGGGAGAGGGAGAGGGAGAGGAAGAGGAAGAGGAAAAGGAAGAGGAACUGGCUCAGUCCAUCAAUCUGAAGAGGAAUAGGUAAAUGAUGUGAAAUUAUGAUUCAUUUCAAUUGUUUUAAUUGUGAUUGAUUUCAUUCGUAGGCAAUUAGAGGUGGGUUGACAGGGACUGUAGCCACUGCAAGCCAAAUAGCUCCAACCAAUAUUGCUACCCAAUCAAGUGGAACCAAUAUUGCUUCACAACCAGCUCCUUGCAAUUUAGCUUCACAAGCAGGUCCAAGCAGUGUCACUCAAAACACUUCCAGGCCACAAGGGAAAAGAUUCAAAUCCCCUACAAAAAGGGCAAGGCCAUGGAGGUAAAAUACAUGAUGGAUUAGGAUGGAUUUUGGAAUGUAUAUUUUUAAUACAUGGGCUGGUAGAUGUGUGUAUUUUGAACAGAUGGCUUUUUUGGAUGGAUUUUGGAUGAUUAAGCAAGGUUGGAAUGUAUAUUUUGUAGUAGAAGUUCCCCCACUGUAUUUUGAGCAAGAUGGUAUAUGAGUAAGAAGACGGUUGGAGCGUUCACCUGCCGGAUGCUUUGUGGGCUUACUGCACCUCACCAAGAAGUCCUACAGGUUUUUUGCCUUAUUCACUUGUGUAUGGGUCUGAUGCUAUUUCACGUGUGGAAAUCACCAUUCCCACGCCCAGAGUAUCGGCUAUCAAUGAUCUUGAAUGGGAUGCAAAGUCAUGCUCGGAUUGGCAUUUGUUAGACCUCAAAGGUGUGGAUGAAAAAAGAAUGGAAGCCGAAAGAAAAAUGGCACUCUACCACAAAACUGUUUCCCAAGCAUAUAACAAGACCGUUAAGCCCCAAGCCUUCAAGCAAGGAGAUCUUCUGCUAAAAGUUGUCGAGCAUGUGAGAAGACAAGUGUCAGGACCUUCCAAGUUUGCUCCAUAAUGGGAAGGUCCAUAUGCAGUCAAAGAGGUGCAGCAGUGGCUAUUAUCGCUUGAUCUCCCUCACAGAAGGCAUGCUAACGGAUCCCAUUAAUGGAAAGUGGCUCAAGCCUUACUACUGCUAAGUAGGCAUUGUAUUUUAUCUUUAUGUUAUUGCAUUUCUUUUCUUUUUAAAUAUGGUCUCUUUUUAUAUUCUCGCUUUCUUGCUCUACGAAGCUUUUGUAAAAUGUACCAUCAUGGUAGCAUGGGAUUUGAAAUGAAAAUGAAGGAGUAUUUUGAAAGAAAAAAAAAAAGAUUGUCACUGGAAAUUGCCUUUUUGCGUCCCAAACCUUUGUAUAUAUAUAUACAUACAGUCCUGAUCUCUUGGACUACAGGGGUCCAAGAGAUUUGUGGUCACUCACCGUUGGAUGUAAAUUCAACGGUUCACUCACUCUUGCACUCCUUUUAAGAAAUUUUUUUGAACCAUUGGAUUAAUAUCCAACGGUAGGUGACCACAAUCUCUUGGACUCCUGUGGUCCAAGAGAUCGGAACUGUAUAUAUAUAUGUAUAUAUAUAGGGCAUAUAUUUUAAAAUAAAAUAAAAACGUUACUUAGCAGAAGACAUGCCAAGCAAAGCCACAUAUAUGGGAUCCUAAAUCAUUAAUAGAUUUCACGCUUUAGCAAGAUAAAAAGAAACACGCCAAGCUCAGCAUUUGCAAAAGAAACUACCGUGCUCACAACAUUCAGGAACCCUUCGAUAAAGAAAAUUGGUACUGAGAAGUUUUGAACAAGGAUCCUACCAAAAUUUUGGCAGCACUUACCUUGUUCUAAAAGGGUGCCCAACUUGUAAAAGGACCUCAAGCAAAGAAUUCCACCAACCAGGCAGCAUAUAUAUAUACUAAACAGAAGUUACAAUGUGUCUUUAGCAAAAAGAAAAGGGACAUAAGUUCCAGCAGCUUGAACACAACAACACUACAGUGCCAAGCUGUUGCAGUACAAGUUUGAGAUACCCCGAAAGAAAAUACAGCCCAAGUAAGAUUAAGUUACACAAGCCAAGAAUUAAUGUGUUCUUCAGUCUCAUAAGGGAUCUGAAAAUGUGUCAAGCCAGUUAGUCUCACGCCAAGCAAAUGCAACCUGCGAGAUGGAGUAAGGGAGUGUCAGAGAGACAGGUUGGUAUCAGACAAAGUUAAGAUAGGACGGUAUGAGAGCCACGAAACCUCAAAGCCGUCAAGGAUACCUAGAAAAUAACGAAAGAAGCCUUGUGAGAGGAUCUUGUCACUGCUUUUGCCACACAGUCGGCACGGUUAGAAAAACACCUUGGGCAAGAAGGAGGGCACGCAGUUCCCCAUGCUGAUUUUCCAACUCACGCUGCUUGAGAUUCAAAGCUUCCACUGCUGCUCUUAUUUCAUCAGGACCGGAAAAUGACUCCAUGUUGUGAAUAACGCAUGCCCCAAAUACAGCACGUGCUAAAUCUUUAACCAAGUUCAAAAGAAACUCUACCCGAAAACUUAAGGUCAUGGCUUCACAGAUUGCAUCCCGCCAGCAAAAGAGUCGAUGAUCUGUGAUAUCCAACAAAUGCAUGGUAUCCAUUCCAUGGAGCACCAUGCCAAGGGUCCGGAAAGCAGCGCACCGCGAAAAGGAAGAUGUAAUGCCAAUCAUGUCUAUAAAAUCCCCAUGCUUGUCUUUAAAUUUCUCUAAGGCUGCGACUGUCUCGGGAUAAACAAGAGCCUCCCGAAAUGUUGCAUAGCCAUUAAACCGAUGACAAAGUGGCAAAAGCUCAUCCGCCGAUCGAAGGACCUGAACACCACCAUCAAAGAAAUCCUUGAAUGCAGUAAAGGAAUUCUCCCACUCCAGCCAAGACAUGAUAGAUGAAUGCUCUGCAGAGAUGUUCCCGGCAGUAGUGUUAUUAACUCGGGCCUCCUCAUCAGCAAUUGUGUCACCAAAUGAAAUCGUCGGGAGAGAUACCAGGGAGCUGGGCUCUGGCCUAUGAAGAAGGGAUUGAACGUGGGAUGGAGUGGGCAACGUCCCAUGGAAGGUAAAAGUUUUGCUUCGGAGAGUUGUUGGAAAGGCUGACGGAAGAGUAGGCUCAAGGUCCCUUCGAAGGAAGUGCUGGACGAUAGGCAACAAAGGAUUUGUGGUUUGAGAGGUAGAUGCCUUGUCCUGAGAAUUCACUGGUGUCACAGUAAGAGAUGACUCGACAAGGGCUGCCUCGGCCAGUGUCUUGAGUGUGCCGAAGAAAGAGGGCACAACGGGCACGAUUUCCAUGUUAUGAGUAACGUGCCCAACCUGAAAAUAUAUAUCUACAAGGGUAAGUAUGAGGUAGUUAGCAUGUUAUGUCACAUGUAUUAGCAAAAAGGCAAGAGAGAGACGACUGCCCAAUUAAGCAAAAGUAAAAAAAAAAAAAAAAAAAAAAAAAAAAGAUAAAAAAAAAUAUGAGUGGAGCAAACAGUAGGUACCUCCUGGGCAUUCUGUGCAUGGUCAACAAUGGCAGCAGCAAGGUUCGAGCUUUCAGCAAUUUCGGUAACCUGCAAGAUAAGGACGGACGGUGAAUAGGCCGUUUGCGGUGCAAGGAAUGGAAAGAGAGCAGGACGUGAGAUAUGCCAAGUAUCGGUUCAAUAUUAAUAUGGCGCACACUGCUAUCAGAAAAUCCAGAGAAAGUAUAGAAGCCACCACAUUCUUCUGGAUAGUCACCAGAGUGUACAAAUGCGUCCUUAUUGCGAUCAUAGUAGUUGUUCUCAUCAAAAUCCUCAUGCAUGUCAUCGGUAUCACGUACGUCCUCUUGUUCCGGAACACUAGCCUGAGUCUCAAUAGUAUCGCCAUCAUAACUGUCAUCAUCAAUAGUCACCCUAGCCCUCGGAUGCAGUAGGCUUUGAAGGCUGUGGACGUUCUGGGGGAGUUGCCUCUUUAGUUCGAGGAGGGCCACUCAACGCCACCUUUGGAAUGAACUUUCUAGGUUUACAGGCAGUUUGCUCUUUUCCUGCACUUUGCUUCUCCUCCCGCUUCUGUUUACUCGACACCAGUGUCGUAUCUUUUCCAGAACUGUGAGGACUCUGCUUUCCUAGCUUUGGUCUCAUUUUGGAAAAUUCUCCAACGAUGUCACCACUUUUGGAAAUAAAGGGUAGAUUGCGUUUUUGACUUAGAGGGAUGACUUUCUCUUCCGACACCAAACCUGCAAGGCGAGCCGUCGUAGGUGGCAACCUGUCGCCAGGAAAGGACUGGAAUUUACUAAAACAGGCAAGGCAGUGGUUCUAGUAGGCUUGGUAGCCUCGCAAGAAGCCAAUAAUUCUCCCCCUGCCAGCUAAAACAAGGGGCCCACCGCUGUUUGGUACAUUGUUAAUGCUCUAAAAGACCCUGUGCAGCGCAAAGAGGUGAUCAUGGUUAGGACUACUUGGAACCCCUUGAUCAAGCCCAAACUGUUGCCUGACCUGGUGUGGUGAGUAGGUCACAGAAAUCUCUGAGCGGUUGUCUCCAAGAGUAGGGUAUGGGAUAGGUGCAACAUUCAACAAAGCAUACUUUCUGAAGUGGCCACCAUGCGAUAUCGCUGCUGGAACCGCAACAGUAUCACCAACAUCAGCACAAAAAGGCCCAAAGGUGAAGGCCUCUGCCAAGGUGCCGUAAGGGCAGAAGAUGAAGUUUUCAAUAUUAUCCAAUAACUUUAAAAAGUUUUGGACUUUCUUCUGCAUCUGUUUAAACCACCUGCAAAAUAGGGGAAGAUCGUCCGGCAUGAAAGAACCCUUGCCCAAGUCAGCCGACUACAUAGCACGCGAAUAAGGAAGUGGAUAUAUAUCCAGCCUUUGAGAUGUUCCCACAGGAACACCUGCAAAAAACCAGAAUUCAAGAGAGUCUCCAUGCCCAUGGUUCCUGAUGCGCUUUUCUCCAAAAGCUGAGUCUGAUCAAGUAGUCGAUAUAGGUGUCCCAAGAACAUGGGGGCUAAGGGGAUCGUGUCGCCUCGAGCUAUGGCCAAGGCCAAGGAAAAUACUCCCUCAUGCAGGCAGUCCUGAGAAAAAUCACAAAUCACGAACCGCCCAAGCCACAGUGCUAUAAAUGUCGCCAACCGGCAAGGUCCCUAUCUGUCUGCAUCACCAAAAUAUUGUAUCCAAUUACUGAAUAUAAGCGAGGUGCUGGGAGAAGUCAGAGCACUUUUCCAUAAAACUGCAAGCUUGUCUAUUUCUUCCGAGGUAAGGGCGCUGUCAAAAGGACUCCAGUCGCCACAAACUAGGAGGCAAGAGAUAUUUGCCACGUCUUCAAGAGUGGGGGUAAAUUCGCCCCAUGAACAUAUAAAGGUGUGAGUAGCAGCGCUCCAUCUCCUGACCACAUGGCGAAACAUCUUUGCUUCGAUAUGAAUAUCCCACAACUUGGAAAGGAAGAUGGCAUCAAGCACCUGUGGCCUGCGCAAAAUGUUGUAAGUAGAUGGAUCUAGCAGCUCACGGUCAACCCACUAUGAUGCUACAGGGAUAUUGGAAGAAUAAGGGAACCGCUGGAAACAUGCCUUUCUCAAUGCAACACCUGGAUAUGGAGGCAGGUUCAAUUACGGGAGUAGUUUGAGGCGAUGGCUCAUCACCAACAAUAGGAUUCUCACGGGCUUCUUCAAGCAAAAGGGGCCCUCUUGCUUUAAGAUUGUCGUCCAUGGAAUAGAGAUGGUCCAUCAUGAUCGGUGGGACAUCAGUGGAUGCCAUGAUAAAACCCAUAAGGUUAUAGAUACCUGCAAAAAAAAAAAAAAAACUAUAGAGGAGGAAAGAACAAAAUACAUAAGUUUCGGCACCUUCACGACUACUGAAUGCACACACAUCUCUAUAACUUCAUGCCAAGGCCAUACUGGUAGAAGGACGAAAUCAACACCAUCAUACGAUUUCGUCCUACGAGAGGAAAUGGCUAUUCGACGCAAGUACGAAUGGAAGCCCAAACUACAGGAGUAAAUCAUUUAAGGGGACCAUGGAUUGACUACUCCUGGAUAAAAGCAGGGAUAUUCGACACAAUGCAUGCUUAUGCUUUUUCUACCAUGCUUUGACACUAUCUAAAGGUCUUGUGUUCAACCAGGACAAAUUGUCACUUUUUUUGGGAGGGGGGGAGGGGGGUGUGCUUAAAAUCCCUAAUCAGUGGUUCAUAUCUGAAAUUCAAGUAAGGGUACAAGAAAUUAAAUGAACAUGCAGCAAAAAGGAUUGAGAAAAAUACUCUGUUCGUGAAGGAUUCUCAGAAUAUAUAGGUGUGAAUACUCUCAUAUGUGCAUAUAUGCAUGUGUGCAUGCGUAUGCAUAAAUGUAUAUAGUGAUGAGAUGAAGAAACAAGAAAAGAAAUAAAAGAACGACGCUUACCACUGCCCUUGAUUACAUUUUGCCCAGUAGCUUGCCAAAAUCGAGAGAAGAAGGGAACUGCCAUGCACAUUGCUCUCCAAGAUUGCUUCACGCCUUGCGAGGUGACUUUGCCAGACUGGACCUUUGAUGAAUUGAAGGGGAAGUCCAAGAAAUUUGAGGGUUUUUAAGGGAGAACGGUGGCAACUCCCAGUGGUUACGAACGGUUUCUCUGCACCUAACCAACUAGCAGUUAUGGGUGGUGUCUCUCAGCGAUUCCUUGUUUCAAGGGUUCUCUAAGCAUGGAGGUGAGAAAGAACCAGCAAAAAUCGAAAAGGGGUAACCAGUUUUGGGUUCGCACGCAAAAAGGAAAGAGGUCAGAGACGAAAAGAAGAAAGAAAGAAAAUAAAAUAAAACAGAUUUGAUGGAAGCACUUACCUAGGGAACGUAAAAGACUGCUGGAAGAUAAGCAUGGCAGCACACACGCGGGAAAUUAGAAGGUCAUGUCACCAACGUGGAUUUGAUUUUUCGUUUUGGGCCAGGUUUGAUUAUUUGGGCCAUCUCAAUAUCUGCUCAUGGCCCCAAUAAUCAAGGGGGCUAAUGUUGGAGCCCAAAAAUCCAAGGGUUAGGCCCAGGUUUAUUCUUAAGCCAGCACAAAUAAUUAAUAGCAAAAUAGGCCCGAUCUGGGACAUAAGAGAAAUUGGAGGACACACCUACAUAAGCCAUAGGCCAUGUGUCAUGCCAAGCAAGCAUGUGCAAAAGGGCCAAAAUGCACCGGCUUUAUAAAUUCACACUCACCAACCUAAUUUGAUGCUACUUGGCCCGAUCAUGGCUUAUCGUGGCAUAAUAAAAUUCAAGCACAAGCAGGCUAAAUAAACACGCAGGGUCAUGUGAAAAAUCGUUAUUUUAAUACUGACCCAUGCUACAGGCUUAAGUGGGCCCAAGCCACGUAAUUAUCCGGGGCUUACUGAGAAGGUUGUGGUGUGGAUGGGUACAAACGCUCACAAGGCCCAUUGAGGGGUCAAGGAAUAGGAGUUUUGGGUUGCUUGGGAGCACCAAAACUCAAGCCCGUUUCUUGGGCCCAAGCACAUGGGCUAGCAUGAGAGAGAGAACAUGACCCAAUGCCUUAGAAAGAAUACAAUGGUCUGCUUAGAAAACCCUAUGUUAGUUAGAGCACCCAAAUACUUUGUUAAAAAUGCAGCAGGCAAACUACUUCCAGCAGCCUGAUGAAAACAAGCUCACUGGUCACUGUAGAAUAGAGUACCACUGACCCAAAACUUUGGGAAAAGCCCACCCCAGUGCCCUUCGAAAUAUCUAGCAGUGUGUUCAGCCUUUGCCCAAAGUUCUAUGAUAGAGUUAACGGAAGCCACUGUAAAAAACCAAAAGAAAUUCGUACGAGUAAGAGGGAUACUCGUUGGGCAAACGAUCUGUCCAUUCUCCCUUUCCUCUGUUAGCUCCCACAGGAAAACCAGGGAAGAAAGUGGGUGGCGCCUCACCCCUAUGGAGAAGUCCAGCUGCGUCAAACCCUUGGAACCCGAAAGGGCUCAUUACCCAUGCGCCUUAGAUAGGAAAAUUGCACCAAAUAGGAUCGAAUGGGAAGAAGCGAAGAGAAAGGAGGGAAGAGGCUAGAUAAAAUUAGGGGUUCCUUGUGCCUAUAAAAGGGAGCUUCCUCUACUCAGAAAAACAAUCAUCGAGAGCCUGACCAAGCUUUGUCAAGCAAUUGAGAAUUUACUCAAGCCACCCAAUCUUCUCUUUCCCUUUUUUUCUUCUUUCCCUAAGAUAGAAAUCUCCCUAAUUUUCUUCUACCCCAUUUUAAACCUUUGCUCUCUGUAAGAAACUCAUGCUUUUCUCUCUCUCAAAUUGCUAAACUUGUGAAAGCUUAGCUCCCAUGCCACAAACUCCUCAAGCCAAGUCACUCAACAAUUUGUUAUGCUUAUUUGGUUAUUGGUGAAAAGAGCCUAAGAGUGUUUUUCUAAGGUUUUCAUCAAACUCUUCAAAAACUCUUUUGGGAGCCUGAUUCUUGAACUCGGCCACUUGGGGAAUUUUUUUUUGCUCUCUUCUUACGGCAGCCCAUGCCCAUUCGUCAGGCUGCUAGAACAAAAAGACCCCUACAACGAUCAAAGCCAAACACCUCCUUCUCAAUUGUAAAUAUCAUAGCCUUCUCAUGACCCUUUAAUGUCGUCUCCAUAUAACGACAAAGGGCUUGCAAAGAAGAACGCAAGACUAGGUUUGAGUAAUUUGGUACUUGUUGUUCCUUCUCAAAAACGUCUAAGCACUUGGCUUUCUGCUUGAAGAAAUAAGGAAAGAUAUAUAAUACAUAAGGAAAGAUAUAUAAUACAUAAUUGAAAAAACUAGAGGAAACUACACAAACUUAAACGUCGUGGUAAUUGGGAUAAACAAACGAGGAAGAGACAAAAAUGACGUGUAAAUUGAAUAACCACGACGGUAAGUAAAAACUGUCAUCAUAUGUAUUAAUUACGUCGGUAUAAAACAGAACCCUAGAAAAUUAACAAUUGCCAAUAUCAACUUAAAAGCAUGGUUUAGCAGAAAUACAAAUAAGAUGAAUUGCAGAUAAAGAGAGGGAGAGAAAGAGAGAGUGGAACAGAAUGAGUGAAGAAAGAUUGAAAAAAAAAAAAUUGAAAAUACAACACUAUCUGAAUCCCCAAUACUGUCGUGGUAGUUAAAUUCCGACGACGGGUUCUUAAAAAAACAAACGUGGUUAUUAAAUUCCAACGACGGGUAAGUAAAAACCGUCUCUUAUGUAUUUAUUACGUCGGUAUAAAACAGAGCCCUCCAAAAUUAAGAAUUGCAAUUAUCAACUUAAAGAUUGAAAAAGAAGAAGAAAAUACGACACUAUCUAAAUCCCCCAUACCGCCGUGGUAUUUAAAUGACGACAUCUUAUUAAAAAAACAGACGUGGUAGGAUAUUUAAUACGUCGUUAACCAAAAAACGACGUCUUAUGGCAUAUCUAACUACUAUAGUGAACCACAGCGACGCAGAUGUAUUUCCAAAUAAGAAAGAAUUUCAAAUUUAAAAGAAGUUACAAUUUCAUCUUGUUUUUCUGCAUCCUUAGAUUUCUGUUUUAAGAAAUAAAGAAAGAUAGAUAAGACAGCUUGUACAAGAAUGAAAAAAUGCACAAACGUACCGACGUGGUAAGGGAAUACACACGACGGUUAAUAAUAGAAAACGACGUCUAAUUUAAAUUGAGACGACGGUAAAUAAAAGACGUCAUUGUUGGUUGUUUCUAACGUAUGUAAUUAUGGUAACAAUGUCUAAUUGGUUUUCAAAAGCAGUAUGCAAAGUUCAUAGAAGUUACCAUUUCUUGUUGCUUUUCUCCAUCUUUGGCAUUAUCAUUCUCAAAAUUGAGGGCUUUGACAUCAAGCGCCCUAGAGCAGCUUACUUUAUCUGACAUUAGAUUUUUGGGACUUUGCUAUGGACCUUGGAUAGUUGUCAGUUUUAGCACACUUGGAUCAAAAUUUGGAAUUAGUUGGCGCAACCGAUUCAGCAAAUUCUCCCUCUCAGCUUCUACCAAUUGAUUGGUUCUGGCCUCCAUCUUCAAAGUCUCUUAUCUUGAUCUAGCCUCCAUCUUCAAGGUCUCUUCUCUAAGGACAUCUCUUACACUUUCCUUUAAUUGAUCAACAAAUUUUACCCUCUGUUGUUUAGGUAAAUUGAAGUAUUGCCUAGUGGAAAUCCUAGCCCCAACACCUCUAACUCUCCCUGGAUGCUCGGGACCCAAAGCCAUAGUCAACACAUCAUUAUUUUCAGAGACAGUAAGAGUGCCUUCACUUACUUGUUUUUGCAAUUCAUCCUAAUUAACACAAAGACACAUUAAAGUCAAUAAAAACAUAAAGUUAGUUCCAUAUGCAAGCCUAAUUAAAAUUCCAAUGCAGUUUAAUACAAAUUUAAAAUAGAGUGAAGUGAAUUUAGGCUUACAAUUAAUUUUGCUUUCUCCGCAACCUUUGGAUCGGGGAUGAUACCGUGUUUGUCUUCUCUAGCUUUCUUCCACAAGGUAGAUCGAUCAAUUUCUACCCCUGGCAUGGUUUCUUCCAAAUCAUCCUCCAAACCAACAUAUCCUUUUCGAGACAAUUGAUUAUUGUACUCGCAUUUCUCUCUCCUCUGUGCUUGUUCAGCAUGGACAGACUCAAAUUGUUCAGAUAACCUUGAAGCUACAAAGGCAUCCCAAUCUGCUUUCUCUAUGAAUUUAUAUAAUUCAGGGGCUUGUCUUAACUUCUCUUUCUCAUUGAUGAAUGGAAGGAUAUGAUGCAUCGUUAGUGUAGACUUGAAAUCCUUCCAUUUCUUGCCAACAGAUGAUAACACCAUUUUUUUACCCCCUUGCCCUACCAAUAAGCCAUGUCAACGGCUUCCCAAAUCUACUCUUUUAUAUCCUUGGGGAUUUUAGUCAAUUUCUUGUCCACAAUUAGGACUCUGGACCAUGCCAACACACCAAUGUAGGACUGCAUCUUAGUAUGUGCAGGGCCAUAUGGUUUCCCCUUUUUGUUGUACUCAAUAACUAGCUUGAUUUUCUGCAAUUUUCUUUUCACAACACGGGGCAUUGUGUUUAUACCACGACUAGACUUUGGCUCCUCAGAAAAUGUUGUCGUGCUGCCUGGUUCUGUCUCAGCAGAUGAAACAAAUUUCAUGAUGGUAGUAAGAAAACGCCAUGGUUUUACAUUACAAUGACGUAAAAUAUUAAAUAUUGUCGUCUUAUUAAAAUGCAAUACAAAAUACAGAGCAGUGUUUCCAGACCUUUUGGUUCUUGUCUUUAUAUUUGAAAAAACAUAAAUUGAUUUUCACCAGGAAAAAAGUAAAACUAUUUUUCAACAAACGUUGUGGUUUUCAAUUACAACGACGUUAGUAAUAAAAUACCAUCGUCUUAUUAAUAUGAAAUUCAAAAACUGUUCCAAGACCGUUUGGUUUACUACUUCAAACACAAAAAAACAGGGUAGAUUUUGUCAUCGUGGUCAAUGACACUUUGUUCUUUGUCAGUAGAUUAUCCAAAAAGUAAAAUGAUUUUCGCAUGAACAGGAACAAAGAUGAGAUUAUAUGCAUAUGCAAAACAAGAACAAAGAUGAGAAAUGCUUACCUUUUGCUUGCAAUGAAAGCUUUCACUUGGAGUUGGGAGUAUCAGUUCAGAGACGAAGACGAAGAGGAGAGGAAGCCGAUGAGAUUCAGACACCGCGCUUUGGGAAGGAAAAAUGAGAAGAGCGUGAAAUUUUUUCUCGGGUUUGGAAACAGUAUAAGUGUAGGUCAGGAAAGGCGAAAAGUUUAAAAUAUUAACGAACCGUUUCAUAACACGACGCUAUUAAUAACAACUGCCCUAGUAAAUGGUUUUAUAUGGCGAUAAAUAUGUAGUUAACGCCAUGGUAAAGAAUAUUAAACGACACACACCUUUUCGACAUGGUUAGUUUAUCUUAUGCGUCAGUAACGUUAUAGAUGUCAUUGUAAUAUAUUUUAAAUAAUAAAUCGGUAAGUUUAUCUCUAACGACGUCUUUACUUUUUACGUCAGUUACUUAAUAGAUUCUGUCUUUGGUUUAUGGCUCUGAGUGUAAUGAUGAAAGCCUUUUCAACAAGACGACGCAUUUUAGUUAUUUGCGUCGUGGUUUCUCUGAAAAAACCGCCCUAGUAUGUCUUUACUACAUCGUUAAACUAAUAGAAACUGACGUGGUUAGUGAUUUUAUACAACUAGAGGGUUGGUACUUACCGACGUAGAUUACUUUUGUUAGACGUCGGUAAGUGUAAUAUAACCGACGUGGAUGUGAAGAUUUUUUUAAUAAAUUGGGUUUUUUUAACGCAUUCUUUCAGUUUCAGUUUUCAAUUAGGGUUCUAACUUCUUCUUGCCCUUGGCUUUGUCUCACCUCUUUGGAGGCAAUAGUUUGGAAGUUGAUGUGUGUGUGCGUUUAUGUAUCUGAAAGACACAAAUACACACACAUCAUCAACUUCUAAAAAAUUCUCUUUCUGAAUGCAAAUCUGUGGCUGUCGUUGUCAAUUUUUAGAAGCAAAUUUUUUGGAUGUUGAUGUGUGUGUGCCUUUGUGUAUCUUAAAGACACAAAGACACACACAUCAUCAAUGUCUAAAAUAUUAUCUUUCUCUCACAUUUUAGAGGCAAAUUGGUUGGAUUUUGAUGUGCUGCUGUCAUCAAAUUUUAGAGGCAAAUUUUUGGAUGUUGAUGUGUUUGUGCCUUUGUAUAUCUCAAAGACACAAAGACACACACAUCAUCGUCGUCUAAAAUAUUGUCUUUCUCUCACAUUGGUGGUCCAAUUAUGAUGAGGAACAGAGUUCCUUCUGGUAAGAUUUCAUAUCUCUUGGGAUCUCAGAAUAAUCUGAUUCUGUCGGCGGUUUUCUAUAUAAACCGUCGUGGUUAUUCUCAAUUCUUGUCAUUAUGUUAAUCUACCGUCGUAGGAUACCAAAAUCCAAGAAAUAAAUCAAAAAAUAAAAUUAAGAUUAAGACGACGGUUUAGAUAUAAGGUUAGCCGUAUAAAGUGAAUAAAUACGACGGUAAUUUUAACUUUAGAAAAUUUGGUAUAAGUCCAAUUCUUAUGAUAAAAUUUGGGUGCAAUGCACACAUUUGUUGUUAGUAAUUCAAGUCCUCUGAGUUUUGUGCCAUGUAGGAUUACUUACCUUCUUUUAAUUUCUAAGGUUUAUAUUUUCUUUUCUUAAUUUUUUAAUUUAUGUUGUGCUUCCAACUUUACCCCUAAGAUAGAAAUCAGAUAACCUAAAAGCUAGCAAAAUAUCAAAAAUCGCGUUAAACAAUCUUCAGACGCCAAGAAUAGAAAGAAUCGCAGAAAUCAUAUCUUCUGCAAUCAAUUAUGGCCCUGUCAAGCUGAUUUCUGCAGAUUUCAUGCUUCUUAAUUGUCAAGGGUUUUGGGUUGUAUUUUAGAGUUGAAUUUGUCUUUUGUCUUCUUCAAUUGCAGCAGGUGGAAUUUGCCUUCGUUUGGGGAUUCUCACCUUGCUUCUCCAUCAAUUGAAGGGUGCAUUUUUGCUCACCACUUUAACCCUAGGUGUACCCUCACCACCCCUCCCAAAAGUUGACACAUGUCCAUGGGUUUAACUAUAGUUAAUUCUUUAUUUGUUAUUUAUUUGAUGACAUUAUUAUGAGAGAGAAACAAUACUUCAAUAAGAUUUUUCCUGAUUUACUCUUAUUCUAACCUAGCAAACUUUCCACUUUUCUAAAUUAAUUAACAACAACCCAAAUAAAUAAUUGGCAAUUGACAGGCUUCAAUACUUUGAAGAACACGCCCAAAUACUUUGAAUCUCAAUUGGCUUUAUGUUAACUCCAUUUUUGCUCACCACUUUGUUUUGUCUCAUUUUGUUUACAAGAGACGGUUUUGACUGGCCUUUGUUUGAAACCUUUGUUUUGGUUGGAAGAGAAAUCUGGAAAAGAUGGUAACUUUUAGCUGCUUCUUUUGAGUGCUCGCUGAUUUACUUUUACAUAUGAUAUUGGUUUUAGUUGCAUUUGAACCCUUAUUUUUUGUUUCCUUAACGUUUCUACCAACAUUGGACUCGAAAAGUGGAAAGUGUCAAUUAUUUAUUUGGGUUGUUGUUAAUUAAUUUAGAAAAGUGGAAAGUUUGCUAGGUUAAAACAAGGGUAAAUCAGGAAAUUUUUUAUUGAAGUAUUGUUUCUCUCUCAUAAUAAUGUCAUCAAAUAAAUAAAAAAAUAAAGAAUUAACUAUAGUUAAACCCAUGGACAUGUGUCAACUUUUUGGAGAGAUGGUGAGGGUACACCUAGGGUUAAAGUGGUGAGCAAAAAUAGUGUCUAUGUUCCAGGUAUGUUGUAUAUUUACCUCUUUUGUAGGUGGAAGCCUUUGACGUUAACAAAAUUUGCUUCUUGAACGAAUUUGUAUAUGUAACUACUGCUUCCUGAACCAAUUUCUUUUUGUUUUCGUUUUCUAAUUGAGGACCCCAACCCAACUAUGUCUUUGACGAUAACUAAACCUGCUUCCUAAACGAAUUUCUAUAUGUAGUUCCACUCAAAUUAUAGCACCUACUUACUAACGAGUUUUCGUUCUGAUACAGAUUUUCUUAGUGACCAGUUUUCUUAGUUUUCUUAGUUUUCAUAGAACGAUUCUAACAAAAAUUGAUUCCUGUUUCAUGGUGGUUUUGGGGACAGAGUUCAACGUCACUAAUAUAGAAUGAUGGAAAUAGAGUUUGGUCCUCUACCUACACCAUAGGAAGAAGAUGAAGAAACCAAUUCAUCUUUGUACUCUGUUCCUUGUAUUCCACACAACGAAUUCGUUUUCUUUUCCUUUUAUAGCCCCCUCUUUUUCAAAGGUACUCUGUUCCUUGUAUGACAAUUUCAAUCACGCCAAAUACUACGAUGGGCCCGCUGUUGUUGAAGAAAUAGUGGUAGUUAUCAAGUAUAAGAUUAGCAAUAUUGAUAAAGUUAGAAGCACAAGCUUAUAACGAGCUUCUAAGCCCAUGGGGUAUUAUUUCUGUCCUUUUCCUGUUGUUGUUUGUCCUGUUUGAUCUGUAUUACAGUUCAGUAAGUCAGUCUACUUUGAUUUAUUAUUUUGCUGCUUUAGCAAUUUGGUUUAUGUAUCUGAUCUACGCUUGGCUCUUUUGUUACAUAAUUUAUUCUGUUCCUUUUAUUCCACACAACGAAUUCGUUUUCUUUUCCUUUUAUAGCCCCCUUCGUUUUCUUUUCCUUCUUUUUCAUUUUCUUGUCCUUUUUGUAUUGAGAUUGAGAGUUUACUUCAUAGUUAAUAUAUGACAUAAUUUCAUUAACAGAAUUAUUCUAACAAAAUUUCGUCCCUGUUUUGAUGCUGUAAAUAGGAAUUUUUUUUGCUAUUUUUUGUUCUGAAAUUUGUUUUGCUGGCUUAAUUGGAUGUUCUUUGCCUUCUUAAUUGUAUAUCAUCAUUUGCAGGUUCUUUAUGGCUAGGAAGGAGUAUCGCUCCCUCGAAUACAGGUUGGACCAUGGAACAUGAAUCAAGCGCGCCGCGUAACAUGAGCACGAGAGNNNNNNNNNNNNNNNNNNNNNNNNNNNNNNNNNNNNNNNNNNNNNNNNNNNNNNNNNNNNNNNNNNNNNNNNNNNNNNNNNNNNNNNNNNNNNNNNNNNNNNNNNNNNNNNNNNNNNNNNNNNNNNNNNNNNNNNNNNNNNNNNNNNNNNNNNNNNNNNNNNNNNNNNNNNNNNNNNNNNNNNNNNNNNNNNNNNNNNNNNNNNNNNNNNNNNNNNNNNNNNNNNNNNNNNNNNNNNNNNNNNNNNNNNNNNNNNNNNNNNNNNNNNNNNNNNNNNNNNNNNNNNNNNNNNNNNNNNNNNNNNNNNNNNNNNNNNNNNNNNNNNNNNNNNNNNNNNNNNNNNNNNNNNNNNNNNNNNNNNNNNNNNNNNNNNNNNNNNNNNNNNNNNNNNNNNNNNNNNNNNNNNNNNNNNNNNNNNNNNNNNNNNNNNNNNNNNNNNNNNNNNNNNNNNNNNNNNNNNNNNNNNNNNNNNNNNNNNNNNNNNNNNNNNNNNNNNNNNNNNNNNNNNNNNNNNNNNNNNNNNNNNNNNNNNNNNNNNNNNNNNNNNNNNNNNNNNNNNNNNNNNNNNNNNNNNNNNNNNNNNNNNNNNNNNNNNNNNNNNNNNNNNNNNNNNNNNNNNNNNNNNNNNNNNNNNNNNNNNNNNNNNNNNNNNNNNNNNNNNNNNNNNNNNNNNNNNNNNNNNNNNNNNNNNNNNNNNNNNNNNNNNNNNNNNNNNNNNNNNNNNNNNNNNNNNNNNNNNNNNNNNNNNNNNNNNNNNNNNNNNNNNNNNNNNNNNNNNNNNNNNNNNNNNNNNNNNNNNNNNNNNNNNNNNNNNNNNNNNNNNNNNNNNNNNNNNNNNNNNNNNNNNNNNNNNNNNNNNNNNNNNNNNNNNNNNNNNNNNNNNNNNNNNNNNNNNNNNNNNNNNNNNNNNNNNNNNNNNNNNNNNNNNNNNNNNNNNNNNNNNNNNNNNNNNNNNNNNNNNNNNNNNNNNNNNNNNNNNNNNNNNNNNNNNNNNAUCGUCUGAUCAUUAGGGAUUUGAUUUAUUAGGGUAAAUCAAAUUUCUAACUGUGGUAGGUAUCAAAUCAAAUCCUAAUUUAAUUAGGUAACUCCUCAUUUAAUUGGGAAUUGUGGUAGGAAUAAAAUCAAUUCUCAACCUAAUUAGGUAACGUUCAAUUUAAUUGGGUAAUCCCCAAUUAAAUUGAGUAACUCCCAAUUAGGUUGAUUAAUUCCCAAUUAGGUCAAAUAAUCCCCAAAUGGAAGGAACUAUUUGACCUAGGGUCUGAUUUAAUUCGGUUCCCACAGUUUCCUUUUUAAAAAUUUAAAAAUUGAUUUUGCAUGGCACUAGCUGUUGAUUUCUAUUUGUUUUUAAAUUAAGAAAAAAAAAACCCAAUAGUAUAAUAAUGGAGUUGUCUUUUAGGUCAGCUUUUUGCAGCAGCUAGGGCUCAUUUGGGCUCUAUGGCUCUAGGCUUUAGAGACCCAAAUGCAUCGCACUUGUGUCGACUUUUUGGGUCGUUAUCUAGUUAGAACACUUAUGCGCGAACGUUAUAUGAGAACCAAAUCCAACCAUCCAAAUUAUCUGAACGGCUAAAGAGAAAAAGCAAGCUUACGGUAAAAAAGAGUAGGCUGCAGUUCCCGUUAGCCCAAGUGUCAAGUCGGGCCUGUUUCGAAAAAACGCGCCUUUCUUCUUCCUGACAGUGGCCAGUCGCACCUUAAUUGUCAAUAAAUUUAUGAAUUUAUGAAUCAACCCUAAACACCCAAAAUACCUACCAGACAUAAAUUUGUGUAUUUCUCUUAUCGCAGAAACUCCCUGGUGUACUCUGUCUCUUUCGCUUCCUCCAUCAUCUAAUAUUUCUUAUUUGAACGUCUGAGAAGGUACGUUUCUCUCGAAUUCCCUCUCUUUCAUUCAUAUUAAAGUUUGCUUGUUAUAUUGCAUUCAGUUAAUGUUUAAAUCACUUAAUGUUUAAAUAAUGUUUAGGAUUUUAGGGCAUUAAUUUUCUGGGUAAGAGUAGUCUGUCUCUGGUGUAGGAUUUUAGGCUUUGAUUUUCUCGGUAAGAGUAGUCUGUCUUUGUAGUAGUUGUGUUUGCAAAAAUAUAAAUUGGCUUCAGUUGUUUUUUUGCGUCUUUUUCUAGUUUCAAGUAAUUUGUUGAAGCAUAGUAACUAAUUUUUAAAGUUUUUCUGCGGUUUAAAUAUUAUUUACUUUUUCCAAAAGUUGGGUUGUCUUUUUAUCGCAAUUUUUUGUGGUAAUUUGUUGAAGUGUAGAUUCACAGCUGUUGGUUGUUCCUUUAUUUUUUUUGCAUUGUGCUUGCUUGUUGUCUUUUCUUAAAAUUCCAGGAACCUUCAUGUGUUGGUCAUUGUAAUCCUGCUUUGCCCAUCUAGUGGUGUGAGUGUAUGGCAUCAUUUUAGGGAUUUAAUGGGGUUUGAAAAAUAAGGAAUAAGUACCAUUAGAAGUAGAACGCAGAAGAGAAAAUUGAAUCUUAACAGUGAAUAUGAGAUGAUUUGGGAUGCAGAAGGAUCAAUGCAUCUUGUAGUAGGUAUCAAUUCUGUAUGUUAAUGUGUUGAAAAUAGUGUUGGUAGGUAUCAGUUCUGUAUGUGAAUAUGUUGAAAAUAGUGUUUGCCGGUGAAAAUUAUACAUCUUAAUGAGUUGAAAAUAGUGCAUCAGUUUUGCAUCUUAAUAUGUUGAAAAUAGUGUUAGUAGGCAUCCAUUAUGUAUCUGAAUAUUUGAAAAUAGUAUUUGUAGGUAUUAAUUAUGUAUGUUAAUGAGUUGAAAAAAAUGUAUUUGUUUGCAUCUUAAUAUGUUGAAAAUAGUGUUAGUAGGUAUCCAUUAUGUAUGUGAAUGUGUUGAAAAUAGUGUUUUGUUGUUAAAAUGUUAACUCGCAAUUGUACGGGCCAAUUAGUAGUAUAGCAAGACAAGUACGAGGUCGUACCCACGAGGACUGAGAAGUUAAAAUUAGUUAUGUACUUAGAUUACCAAAUUCAAGAAAGUAGGAGGUUAAGUCUAAAAUAGAAUUUAAAGCAAGAGUGAUUGUAAUUGUUGAACAAAUGAGGCAAAACGAAAUUUCAAACAAAAGCAAAGUGAACAAAUGUAACAAAGAGUACUUUUGUAGGCUGGAAAACAGAUUGGGAGACUAGGGCAUUCGAUUCACCAUAAAAAUUCAAUUCUGGGUUAUAAGGAGUCAAGUGACAAGUCUCAUUCGAAUUCAAAGAUUGAUUCUAGCUAAAGUAUGAUUAGGCCAUGGUGUUUGGUCCUAACCCUGUGCUCCUAAUUCCCUAACUUGAUCAUUUGUUGUCUAAUCUAAAUUAAGCAUUAGGAACCCAUUAAGCAUAGAAGAACAAUUUAAACAACCAAGCAUGUAUCUAAUCCCUGUUGUCGAAUGUCCAUACAUACUUUUCUUAUUCAUAGUUCAAUUCAAAUCAAAGCAUGGUGUCUACUCUUGAUUCAAACCAAGGUAGCUAAUAUACAAGUUCUAAUGGUGAUCAAUCAUCCAAACAAGCAUAUUAACUGAUAAGCAUAAAGAAUAGGAAUAUGAAUCAUGAAUCAAACUUGAAACUCAAAACUUCAACUUAUAAACCCAGAAUAUUCAUGUUAGGUUACAUCAUAGCCCUAGUUAUGAAUUUAGCUACUCAUAAUGGAAAUGGAACUUAAGCAAAAAUGAGAAAACAUAUUGAAUGCAAUAAGAGUAGAGAAACCCAAUUCUGAAGUUGCUUGUGGUUUCCAAGGCUUCUCCAGGUGCUUCUCCACAUCUAAUGCUACUCCAAGAACUUUCUCAUGUCUAGAGUAUGGCAACUAAAGAGGUGAUUUGGGAUGAGUUUGGGUGGUUGGUGAUGGCAGAGAAAGAACAAAUUCGUAGGAAAUGGAAGGAAGGCUUGUUGGAGUUGUUCCUAGGACAGCUCCAAGGUCCCUUGACAGCUCCAAGCUCCCUUCUCUCUUUGUGGUGAAUCUGAAUGUGUGUAUGAGAGUAAUGGAUGAAGUGAAUGUGUGUGUCUACCCUCCUUUCUUGAAUGAGUGUGCAACUCUCUAUUUAUAGAGUGCAAUUUCGUGCUCCCCUUUGGCUGGUGAAACACACCUCUCUUAGCUGCUCCCAAUUGCCUAAGCUGCCCAAUAAAUGCCAACUCUUCCAGCUGCCCAAUAAAUGCUUUGGUGGAAUUUUCUUGGUUUCUUUAUGGAAAGCUUGACUUUUAUUCAUCUUUUUGACUUCCCAUACUGAUUUGUCUCCCAUGUGUAGCCUACCAGAAUUCCUGGCAAAUGGUCCUUGAUUUGUGCAGACAAGAUCCCCAUAAUUAAGCAUGCCAUGUUUUGCUCCUUUAUGACUUCCAUAGCUGAAAUGCCUCCCUAAUUUGUUCAACAUGUCAGGUCCAAAGUCAAAUAAUGCUCAAGUGAGGCACAUGGCUCAAGGGAGGUGUGGAGCACAAGGCUCACCAGUUGGCAGCUACAUAUUAAAAUCCUCCUAGAGCAUGGUUCAGUGUUUGACAGGCUAAGGACUCUAGCUAUCAUUAAUUGGGCUGAUAUGUGGAUAUGUUAUACUAGACACCUAUUGGAACAACUUCUGUGAAGCAUGUCUCCUCAUCCAAGCAGUGUAGGUUGCUGAAAUGAGGCCUGCAAGAUGACCCACGAAUUUGGACUGACAAGGAGUGUGGCCCAAAUUGGUUCUGUCAUUAAGCUCAUAUUCCUCUUGUGCCAAUCAACCCUUAACAUGCAUGAAUUGUAUCAAAUGUGAUCCCCUUGCUGUCCUAACCUACAAAACACACAAACAUAGGUAAGAGACUCAAAAUAAAAAGAAACUAAACAAAAUUACUAAGCAAAGAAGGCAUGCAAAUGUGUGAAAUUAUGACCUUAUCAUACCCCCAGACCUAGAUUUUGCUAGUCCUCGAGCAAAACAAAAGAGAAUAAAGUUGAAAACAAAACAAGAAGUUAACUAAACCACUUCUGUAGGUAACUUGAUUGCAAUGUGCAUAUGCAACAAGUCUUUAAACCUCUCGGCAUCCCUAAUCGGAAGAGUUGUGUCUCCUGAGGGUUUAACAGAAACGAUACCCACAAACGCUUUACUGACUCUCUAACACCAAAAGGUUAGAAAACUAACUUUGAAAACAACUAAUGAAAGAAAACUUUAAUCAUGCAUCCAACACCAUAGAGUUACCAAGAUAGAUGAUCAAUAAGUGUGUAAAUUGGAAGCUAUAGCUCAAAGGCACACGGCUUCAAAGUAAACAGACUCAAAUCUUGAAGGAAGAACAUGCUUCAACUCUAAUUCUCACAUCUAGCACUCAAUCACUCAGAACCUAUGGUUUUAUUCUCUCAAACAAGCAUAAGUGAGUAUAUGAAAUACAAGCACAAUAUUUGGUUAGAUCUCAUGAAGGGAAUCAAAUACUAAGAGUAGAGAUACACACAUACAUACCAGCACCCAUGAAUACAUCCUCAAAGAUCAGCUAGGUCUUUCACAAGGUUGUAAUGAAAGGCUAAGGUUAAGGGAAGUGGAAGAAUUGGAAGGAACACAACUAACUUAAGAACAUACCAAGGUUGCAUUCUUCAUUGAUCUGCAAGGUAUCAUUGAUUUAGAAUGGUAUGGCUGCAACUUCAUAGCAUCAUCUGGCAUAGACUUUAUAUUUCACAUUUAGAUCAAAUCGAAACACUUUCUCUUUAUCUUUCUUUUUUUCUUUUUUUUUUGACUUGAUCUACUUCUUCUUUAACUUUAUUGCAUAGAUUCACACCAAUUUACAUUUGGGCAUGUGGCAGCAACCUCCUUGCUUCAAACUUUAUCUUCGCACACCUUGGUAUAUUUCUAAGCUAUAGGGUAUGGCUAUAAUAGGUUAAAUAUCUCUGAUUGAGAUACAAAGUUAGGGGAAUUAUGAGGGUGAUAGAAGAAAAAGGCUUGUAGUGUUUGGCUGCAAGAGAGCUGAUGGAACACACGAAUGGGUAGGGUGAAAAGAAAGCACAGAAAAUGGUUAUACACGCAGAGCCUAGCAUCACUUCAAUGAGUUCAUUCAUGGGUGAGAGCACGCACCUGAUAUCUGCAAAGAGAAUCAUCCUUAGUAUUCAAUCAAAAUGGAACAAUGAGAUCAUUUAGAGUGAAUUGAAGAAAAUAAGUAGAGAUGAGGAAUAGAAACACUUUAAACCCUCUCAAGAAAGCAAUUAGGCUCGAAAUAGCUCACUAGGGUAGUCUCCACUAUUCUCCUUCAAGAAUCUGAGCAUGAUACUUUAGUCACCAGAAUUCUAAGAGCAAAAGCUUUGUGAAGUGUAAAAUUUCUGAUAUGAAAAUCUCAAUGGCAGCUCCAUAGCAUUGGUUGUAUGAAAUUUUUUUUAUAAAAAAAAAAAUAGUGACAAGCGAACGAAAAUUGUAAACACAAAUGAACAAAAAUUGAAAACCUCCCCCCCAGACCUGAAUUGAACAUUGUCCUCAAUGUUAAAGCAUAACAAAGAUGAGUGAGAACAUGUGAAUAAUAAGGGGAAAGUUUAAGACAAAGUAUUAGAGAAACUCCCUCUUGAUGCGAUUAGGUCGACCGCUACCGAGCACCUUAUUCUUCAACACAUGGGUUGCCUCCCAAGAAGCGCCUUAGUUAAUGUCUUGGCAAGACAUUAUGCCAUUAGCUAACUUGAUUGUACGAAGGGAAGAUGAUCCACCACAUGACCAGUUUGAAUUCCAACUGACACUCCCUCAUAGAAUGGCUUUAAACGUUGUCCAUUUACUUUGAAAGUCGAGCCAUCUUUAGGAUUUUGAAUCUCCACAGCUCCAUAGGGAGAUACAUUGACCACGGUGAAUGGGCCAAGCCACCUAGACUUCAAUUUUCCUGGAAAGAGACGCAAACGUGAGUUAAACAAAAGAACUGACAUACCUUUGGUGAAUUCUUUCCGUUGAAUGUUCCUGUCAUGGUAACUCUUGGUACGUUCUUUGUAUAGCUUUGCAUUCUCAUAGGACUCAUAUCGAAUUUCUUCCAAUUCAUUGAGCUGAAACUUUCUAACAUGGCCGGCCUUGUCCAGAUCAAAAUUCAACUUCUUGAUGGCCCAAAAAGCAUUGUGUUCAAGCUCCAUUGGCAAGUGACAGGCUUUUCCAAACACAAGACGAUAAGGGCUCAUUCCGAUGGGAGUCUUAUAUGCAGUCCUAUAAGCCCAUAAUGCAUCAUUGAGCUUGGCAGCCCAAUCUUUCCUUGUACUAUUCACCACUUUCUCUAGGAUCUGCUUAAUUUCUCUGUUGCUUAUUUCUACUUGACUAGAAGUUUGAGGAUGAUAUGGUGUAGAGACUCGGUGGGUGAUAUUGUACUUCUUCAUGAGUGCUUCAAAUAGCUUGUUGCAGAAGUGGCUGCCUCCAUCACUAAUGACAGCCCUUGGAGUACCAAACCUUGUGAAAAUAUUGUCCCUCAAGAACUUCAGGACCACCUUAUGAUCAUUGGUUUUGGUGGCUAUGGCUUUCACCCAUUUAGACACAUAAUCAACAGCAACAAGUAUGUAGGUAUAACCAAAGGAAGAUGGGAAUGGUCCCAUGAAAUCAAUACCCCAUACAUCGAAGAGUUCCACAAAGAGUAUGUUCUUCAAUGGCAGUUCGUUCCUGCGGCUUAUGUUUCCCAUCCUUUGACACCUAUCACACUUAACACAAAAAUUAAAUGCAUCUUUGAAUAGAGUAGGCCAAAAGAAACCUGAUUGCAAAAUUUUAAGUGCUGUUUUCUUGGCUCCAAAGUGGCCUCCACAAGCCAAUUCGUGGCUAUGCCUAAGGAUGCUUUCUUGUUCUUCUUCUGGAACACAUCUUCUAAUGAGUUGAUCUGGGCAAUGCUUGAAUAAGAAAGGUUCAUCCCAGACAUAAUGUUUCACCAUGGAAAAGAACUUCUUUUUGUCCUGAUAAGUUAGAUCAUUUCUAAGAACACCACAAGCAAGAUAAUUAACAAAAUCAGCAUACCAUGGCUCUUUGACUUGGGCAACAUAUAGUUGUUCAUCUGGGAAAGUCUCAUUCAAUGGUAGUACAGCUUCUCCUUGCUCUUCAACCACAAUUCUGCUCAAAUGGUCAGCCACCACAUUUUCACAUCCCUUCUUGUCUCGAAUCUCCAAAUCGAACUCUUGCAGCAAGAGAAUCCAUCUGAUCAAGCGAGGUUUGGCGUCCUUCUUAGCGAGCAAGUAUCUAAGAGCAGCAUGGUAAGAAUAAACAAUUACUUUAGAACCAACAAGGUAAGGGCGAAAUUUUUCUAAAGCAAAAACCACAGCAAGCAACUCCUUUUCGGUUGUGGAGUAAUUGAGUUGGGCAUUAUUCAAGGUCCGGCUCGCAUAAUGAAUCACAUGGGGAAGCUUGUUCUUCUUUUGACCUAAAACUGCACCAAUAGCAAAGUCAGAGGCAUCACACAUUAUUUCAAAUGGUAAAGACCAAUCUGGAGCUAUGAUAAUAGGGGCUGAAGUUAGCUCUUUCUUCAAAGUCGUAAAGGCUUCCAUGCAAAUCUCGUCAAACUCAAAAACAGCAUCCUUAGCAAGGAGAUUACACAAUGGUCUUGAAAUGCUUGAAAAAAAUUUUAUGAACCUUCUAUAGAAUCCGGCAUGGCCCAGAAAGCUUCUAACUCCUUUAACAGAGGAAGGGGGUGGUAGAUUUGUGAUGAUAUUUAUCUUGGCUUGUCCACUUGAAUUCCCUUGUUUGAAACAACAUGGCCUAGCACAAUUCCUUGUCUUACCAUGAAGUGACACUUCUCCCAAUUCAAAAUCAGAUUUGUUUCCUGACAUCUUGUAAGCACUAGAGACAAGUGGUGAAGACAAUCAUCAAAAGAUGAACCAAAAACUGAAAAAUCAUCCAUAAAUACCUCCAUGAAUCGUUCCACCAUAUCAGAAAAGAUUGCCAUCAUGCAUCUUUGGAAAGUUGCUGGAGCAUUGCACAAACCAAAUGGCAUCCUUCUAUAAGCAAAUGUACCAAAUGGGCAUGUGAACGUGGUUUUCUCCUGGUCUUCCGGAGCAAUGGGAAUUUGAUUAUAACCUGAAAAUCCAUCAAGAAAACAGUAGUAAGCAUGGCCAGAUAAACGGUCAAGCAUUUGAUCAAUAAAAGGCAAGGGAAAAUGAUCUUUUCUCGUGGAUGUGUUCAACUUCCUGUAAUCAAUGCAAACUCUCCAACCAGUGAUAGUGUGUGUUGGAACUAGCUCAUUCUUCUCAUUCUUUACAACGGUGAUUCCGGACUUCUUUGGAACCACUUGCACAGGACUCACCCACUUAGAAUCUGAAAUUGGGUAGAUGAUUCCCACAUCAAGUAGCUUUAAAACUUCAGCCCUAACCACCUCUUUCAUAUUGGGAUUUAGCCUCCUUUGUGCAUCACGAGAUGGUUUGCUGUCUUCUUCCAUUAAAAUUCGGUGCAUGCACAUGCUUGGACUAAUUCCUUUGAUGUCUGCUAUGGUCCAUCCAAGGGCUGUUUCAUGUUCUUUCAGAACUUCAAUUAACCUGUCCUCUUCAUGUGAAGUGAGACUUGCAGCAAUUAUAACAGGGAGAGUUUCAUUAGCACCCAAAUAAGUAUAUUUAAGAUGAUUGGGUAGAGGUUUAAGUUCUAGCUUUGGUGGGGUGAUAAUGGAUGGCUCCAAUUUUGUGGAGGAUGACACAAGAGGCUCAAGUGGUGGCCUAAAGGAUGGUGGGUAUGGCUGAAACACUUCUAAGGCAGCCAUCACUUCUUGGAACUCUGAUUCAAAGAGAUCUUCCUCUUCUUGUGUUAGGACCGCUUCCAAAGCAUCAUUAGACUUUUUCUGCACAAUUUUAGAAGAAACCUCAUGAUCCACAACAUCAAUUGAAAAACAAGUAUCAAGAGUGAUAGAAGGUUGAGACAGAGCAUCAAACACUUUAAAUUCAACAGUUUCACCCAAAACAGUCAUGGAGAGGGUGCCAUCUUUCACUUUGAUGAUUGUGUCUGCAGUGGCCAUGAAUGGUCGCCCGAGGAGAAUGGGAUCAACACGGUCUUCAUAUGGGNNNNNNNNNNNNNNNNNNNNNNNNNNNNNNNNNNNNNNNNNNNNNNNNNNNNNNNNNNNNNNNNNNNNNNNNNNNNNNNNNNNNNNNNNNNNNNNNNNNNGAAUGAGUGUAUUAACUUGAACUAAAAUAUCUUCUACAAUACCUUUUGGAUAUUUGAUAGAAUGAUCAGCUAGUUCAAGACGAAUUGAGGUUUUCUUUAUCCCUUCUAAGCCAAGCGCCUGAUAAACUGAAUAUGGCAUUACAUUGAUGCUUGCUCCCAAGUCCAACAUGGCUCUUCCAACCGUCUUAUCUCCGAUGUUAAUGGGAAUGUUAAAGCUGCCAGGAUCUUCUAGUUUUGGUGGAAGCUUCCUUUGCAACACAGCACUCACAUUCUUGUUGAGCUUUACUUCUUCACUUGGAGUAAAAUUGAGCUUGUGAGUCAUCAAGUGCUUGAUGAACUUUCCAUAUGCAGGAAUCUGUUUAAAAACAUCAAGCAAGGGCAAAUUGAUAUUAACUUUACUCAAAAUAUCAUAAAUCUCUUUAAAAGCCUUAUCUUGAUUUGCUUUCUUCAAUCGGCCUGGAAAUGGAAUCGGUGGAAUAUAUGGAGGAGGUGGGAUGUAUCUAUCUUGAUGAAGAUGUGAUGGCACAAAUUUGUCAUCUCUUUUAUGCAAUUGAAAUGGAUUGGGUUCCUGAGAAUCAGAUUUGGCCUUAGGAGUAGAUUGGGACGUUUUGGGUUGUUCUCCUUCCAUAGCUGUGGUUUCUUCUUCAUCUUCAUCCUCUACAACCACAACAUCAUUUGAUAGAUCAGAACCAACUUUGUUAUCAACAAUCUUACCUGAUCUGAGCACAUGAACGGCCUUGGCUUCUUGGUUUUUUUGGAUUGAUCACGGUUUGACUUGGCCAUUUCCCAGGUUCUCUUUGAGCUAUUUCAGUAGCUAUCUGGCCCAAUUGGACUUCCAACUUGGAGAUGGCAGCUUGUGUUGUUUGCUGGAAAUUGUUUUGGUUGAUUGCCAUUUGCUUCACUAAAUCCUCCAACGAUGAUGAUUGUUGUGGCCUUUGGAGUGAAGGGGGAUUCGCUUGAUUCUGUGUAUUCCUCCAUGAAAAGUUUGGAUGAUUCCUCCAACCUGGAUUAUAUCUUUGAGAAUAUGGGUCAUUUAUUGGACCUCGGUUGUAGGAAUUCACCAACUUAGCUUGCUCUUGCACAAAUUCUGGAUAUGCAGCCCCAAAGGGACAAGAAAUGGUAGGAUGAUCAUGAGUUUCACAGAUGCUACACACUUCCUUCAAAGGGUCUUGAGUUCAAUGCAAGGAGGGCAUCUAGCUUUUGUUCCAAUUUGGAAAUCUGUACACUAGAAGAAUCAUUAGAACCACCAGCAAUACGUUUACCUCUUGUAUCGGUGUGUUGGGUCUCCAUUGCUAUCUCCUCAAAGAGUUCAUAUGUUUCUUCUGGAGUUUUAGUCUUAUAAGAACCACCUGCAAAAUUAGUGACAAUAUUAUGGCUAGAGGGGGUUAGUCCUUUAUAAAACAUACGCAUCUGAAGCUUCAAUGGAAUCCCAUGAUGAGGGCAUUGAUUGAGCAGCCCGUUGAAUCUCUCCCAUGCUUCACAAAACGACUCAUCAUCUUGUUGUGCAAAUAGAAAGAUCUUGUCCCUAAGCAUGUCGGUUUUUUGCGUGGAGAAAUAUUUCUCCAAGAACUUCUUUUGAAUGGCUCCCCAAGUCAUGAGUGAACCAGGCUUCAAAGAAUUCAACCAAUAUUUCGCCUUAUCUUUCAAAGUGUAAGGAAACACUCUCAUUCGAAGUUGCUCUUCCGUCACACCUGUCAAGGGAAAAGAGCUCACAACAUUAAAAAUAUCCUUUAUAUGAGUUAAUGGAUCUUCAUUAGGUAAACCAUAAAAAGAAAGGAGCAUAUUAAGAUGAGAAGAUUUAAGCUCACAGUUUCGAGCUGCGGUGGGCAGCAAGAUGCUUGAAGGGGAUGCUGGAAUUGUUGGGAUAUCAAGGUCUCCCAUGAACUCAUUGGCAGCCAUCUCUUCUUCUUCUUGGUCUGAACUUGAUUCCGAAUUUGAAGGUGAAGACCCUGGGAGGUCAGUGUGGAUAGCAAGACCUUCACUUGUUCAAGGAAAGGAUUACUAGACAUAAACUACCUGAAACAGAAAAUAAUUUGAGUUAAUUAAUACUUCUAAAAGAAUGGGGUAACCUUGGGCACAUAACCAGGGAAGAACUUUCAUUCAGUCCCCGGCAACGGCGCCAAAAUUAGUUGUUAAAAUGUUAACUCGCAAUUGUACGGGCCAAUUAGUAGUAUAGCAAGACAAGUACGAGGUCGUACCAACGAGGACUGAGAAGUUAAAAUUAGUUAUGUACUUAGAUUACCAAAUUCAAGAAAGUAGGAGGUUAAGUCUAAAAUAGAAUUUAAAGCAAGAGUGAUUGUAAUUGUUGAACAAAUGAGGCAAAACGAAAUUUCAAACAAAAGCAAAGUGAACAAAUGUAAGAAAGAGUACUUUUGUAGGCUGAAAAACAGAUUGGGAGACUAGGGCAUUCGAUUCACCAUAACAAUUCAAUUCUGGGUUAUAAGGAGUCAAGUGACAAGUCUCAUUCGGAUUCAAAGAUUGAUUCUAGCUAAAGUAUGAUUAGGCCAUGGUGUCUGGUCCUAACCUUGUGCUCCUAAUUCCCUAACUUGAUCAUUUGUUGUCUAAUUUAAAUUAAGCAUUAGGAACCCAUUAAGCAUAGAAGAACAAUUUAAACAACCAAGCAUGUAUCUAAUCCCUGUUGUCGAAUGUCCAUACACACUUUUCUUAUUCAUAGUUCAAUUCAAAUCAAAGCAUGGUGUCUACUCUUGAUUCAAACCAAGGUAGCUAAUAUACAAGUUCUAAUGGUGAUCAAUCAUCCAAACAAGCAUAUUAACUGAUAAGCAUAAAGAAUAGGAAUAUGAAUCAUGAAUCAAACUUCAAACUCAAAACUUCAACUUAUAAACCCAGAAUAUUCAUGUUAGGUUACAUCAUAGCCCUAGUUAUGAAUUUAGCUACUCAUAAUGGAAAUGGAACUUAAGCAAAAAUGAGAACACAUAUUGAAUGCAAUAAGAGUAGAGAAACCCAAUUCUGAAGUUGCUUGUGGUUUCCAAGGCUUCUCCAGGUGCUUCUCCACGUCUAAUGCUACUCCAAGCACUUUCUCAUGUCUAGAGUAUGGCAACUAAAGAGGUGAUUUGGGAUGAGUUUGGGUGGUUGGUGAUGGCAGAGAAAGAACAAAUUCGUAGGAAAUGGAAGGAAGCACUUUCUCAUGUCUAGAGUAUGGCAACUAAAGAGGUGAUUUGGGAUGAGUUUGGGUGGUUGGUGAUGGCAGAGAAAGAAUGACUCCUUUGCACUUGAGUAGCUGACACACCUCCCUAAAUUGCUCAACAUGUCUGGUCUAAAGUCAAGGAAAGCUGUGGUGAGUCACAUGGCUCAAAGAAAGUAUCCAAUUGCACUUGAGUAGCUGACACACCUCCCUAAAUUGCUCAACAUGUCAGGUCUAAAGUCAAGGAAAGCUGUGGUGAGUCACAUGGCUCAAAGAAAGUAUCCAAGGCUCAACAACUGAAAACUACAAUCCUAAGCCUGGUGUGUAUAUGGGCUCACGAAUUAGGCUCAACUUCAUUAUCUGAUGCAUUUGAGUAGUCCAUCUUGAAGUUCAGACUCUCAUCUUUCCAACUACAUAUUAUUUGGGCCAAUCCAAGUUCGGAGAAAGAUGUUAAGGCCGAAAUGAGUUGCCAACCCCGUCUGCUCGUUUUUGCACCAUUUUGCAUCUUUUCUUAUCCAAAGACACCAUUGCUACCUAAGGCCCAAUGAACUGAAUGAUAAACAGAAAAGGGAUUAAAAGCACACGUUUGACUCAAUAACAUAACCAAAUCAUAAGCUAGAAGGGUACAAAAUGAUAUACAAUUGUGAACUGAUCAAAGCUGACAUAUUUAAGAAAUAUUUAGAUGCCAACAACCCUAUGUAAGUUUUGUAUGAAGUUAUCAAUUUUAUUUUUAAAGUCAUCCUCUUGUAUGUUUGUUUCUUUGUUUCUGAUCCUAUGAUUUGUCAUCUGUGUUGCUUUUCUGUCAUCAUAGGGAUGCCUUCUGGCAUGGCGUGCGUUCUGCGGUGUAUCGCAAAGAUGCACUACGACUCUUGAAUGAGGAAGCAGUGAGUAUACAGGUAAUUAUAUCUGCACAUGUAAAAUAUGUAUUUUUUUGCUUUAUAUGUACAGUGAAUAAUUUGAGGAUAUGUACUGAUUUUAAAGCAGGUAUAAAUAUUCAUUUGUGCUAUGGCCCUUGUAGGUAAUGGAUUCAUUCUUAGAGAUUCUUACUAUUGAUCAAAUGGCUGUACCGAGGGGCCAAUUGAAGUCAUGUUUUCUGCCAACAUUUGGUUCGGUAUGUUCAAUUACUAACUCAUUCUCUUCGUUUCCUACAUAAUAUUUGAAAGUGGUACCAGUAGCACAUGUUUUUUUACCUGUGAGCAGAUAUAUAUCUAUGUCCAUUACCUAUUAAUCUCGUUUAUUUCUGUUACCUUCCUGGUUCCUUGCAUUGUUUUAAAAAAAAUUUAUUUCUUUGUUACCUUGCUUGUACCAUAUGUUGUAUGAGUGGUAUUUUCAAUGAUUUUUGUACCAUAGGGUAUGUUUUUUGUAAGGUCUAUGAAAUAUAGGCGUUUUGGGUCUUCUUUGCAGGCUAUGGAUUGAUUAUUAUCUAAUCUUCUUCAUUUCCUAGGAACUUAUGAAAUGUAGGGACGAAGUUGGAAAAGUUGCCAUGUAUGUUGAAGUGGUUUUGAAGAAUUUGCAAGAGAACGAUUUACUGUUUAUUCCAAUUAUUCAUGUCAAAGAGGAACAUUUUACAUUGUUAGUCUUGAACAAACAAAGUGGCUGUGGGACUACUACAAUAAUUUACAACCAAAUGAUAGCACAACUACUGACCCUUACUUGGAUGAUGCAUUAAAAUUAGUAAGUACCUCUUACCAGAUGCUCCUUCACUUAUAUACAGUUACUACUUUGAAAUAUAGUAACAACAACAUUUGUCACAUUGUAGCAAGCUAAAAUUACCAACCACUUUCAGUUCACCAAAAGUAGUGUUCAUACAAUUUCGCAAAAAAAUGAAAUAUGGAAACAUGUUAUGAGGAGGGGUGAAGUCGUAACAUAAUAGUGCAACCUUAAACAAGAUGAUCGGGAAAUGCUUACAUGGUUGACAGAGAAUUGUGUUGAUUAUCCUAUGAAGUCAAAUACAGAAUGCCCACAACAAAAUCCUCUCGGGUUUGUGAAUAGUUUUUGGGAUUUUGGAGUUGUUACAUUAUAAAGAUUGUUCUUUCAAACUGCUUGCUUUAACAUGUUGUAGUGCUGAUGCUGGGGUUGCUGUGAUGUACAUGAUCAAAACGCUAUCUGAAGGAAAGGCAUUGGAGAACGUAUUCCCUAUUGGAGCAAUGAAGAAUAUGAGAGUACAUGUGCUUGGGAAGUUCAUAAACGAUGAAGAUGGAUGUUGGGAUGCAUACAGAAUAAACUAGAUUGCUUUCUGUUUUAAUGGUGUUUUUCAUUUAUUAGUGUUUUCCAUUUAAUGGAUGUUGGGAUGCGUACUAUAUUUUCUCAUGUUUGAUCAUUUUUAAUGAUUUUCAUUUUCAUUUGUUGGAGAAUGGAGAAUGUUUUUGUUGGAUUUUGCCAUUAUAUAUUGGAGAAUGUUUGUUCAUAUAUUGACAGACUUAAUCUGUUCAUUUGCACGAUGUCCAACAAUUAUAAUCUCACUCUUGUUCUGGGUACAACCUAUCGUAUAGGUAAGCUCCUGUCGUAUAGGUAAUUGCAGGUACCUAUGUCACAGGUAUAAGCCAAACUUCAAACCUAUCAUAUAGGUAAGCUCUUGUCGCAGGUACGUAUAGGUAAUCGCAGGUAAAGAGAAUAUCACUCCGGUUCAUCCCCGGAAAUCAGUUGAUUUCCCCAAAUCAGACUUGACAGAUUCUUCCUCCCAAGAUCAACGACAUAUUAGCUAGAAUUGAUUCAUAACAUAUAUGAGAUUAUUGUACUUACCAUGUAUUGCUUCUUUCUGUAUAUAGACUUGAGAAAGUCUACUCUCUGUACAUUAUAUACGGCUGCAAUACAGAGACCAAAUAUACUGGUUGAUUCAAUUACUCUCCUCCUCUAUCUCUCAUCUCCCUUCUCCCCCCUGAACUCUGUUUCCUAUAUGGUAUCAGAGCUCUUCGGAGCCAAAGCUCACGUUUUUCGAUCCUACCCAAUCAAAUGGCAAACACACCCAAGUCUGGAGAAUCAAGUCAUAUUGAUAUGACAAAACUGAUUUCUGAAAUGUCAAAGCUUGCCUCACCCUCAUUCUCAUUCCCAUCCUUGCCCACCUCUUUCAACAUCUCAUCUCUGUUCCCAAUUCCCAUGGACAGAACCAACUAUUUGAGUUGGAAAUCACAAUUUGAAGACGUAUUGGAGAUGCAUGGCCCUGCAGAGGUCAUCAAGAAAACCACAGACCCACCCAAAGUGCAAGAAGAUGGCUCUGUGCAUCCUGAGUUCGCCAGAGACAAACUGGUCCUGAGUUGGAUCAAGGCGACUUCCUCCUCUUCCAUAAAGAUUCUACUCAUCCCGUGUACCACGGCCUAUCAGGCUUGGAAUCUUCUGGGCAAGCGCCUCUCACCCCUUGCAGGUACCCGUGUGCGGAUCCUUCGAGACCAAAUUCGCACCCUCAGGAAGGAUAACACCACAACUGUGACUGACUACCUCAACCAUGCCAAAUCACUUCUUGAUUCCCUCACACAAGCUCGUGCAACAAUGGAUGAUGAUGAAUUCGUUAGCUAUGUUCUAGACGGACUUGGGCUUGAAUACAAGGAGUUAGCCACCACACUCCACUUGCACCCAGAUAUUGGUUUUGACCAGUUUUAUGAUCUCGCUCUCAGAGAGGAACAAUUACAGAAACGCAUGUCGCUCAACGUGGCCUCAGGUGUUGCUAUGGCUGCUGAUCGAAUGCCCAAUGAGCGAAAACCUCAUUCAAACUCCGCUGGUCGCCAUUACAACCCCUAUCACGGAUCUGGACGAGGACGUGGACGUGGCAGAAAUUGGAUUCAAAGGCACAAUGGGCAAACAGAUCCGUGGAAAUCAACCCAAGGAAAUUGGCCACAAGGACACAACACUCAGCCUCGCGACCAGCAGAUUGCACCAUCUGCCCCUUCUCACGCAACUCUUACAGAUGGCCGCCCACCACUCCUUCCAACACCACCUGGCAAUUCUCCAAAUACCCAGCGCUCAGAAGUCAUUUGUUAUCAGUGUGAUAGGCCUGGUCACAUAGCCUGCUUCUGUCCAGAUCGUAAGCCUCAUGCCUACAUGGCUGAAAAUGCUGUCAACCCGUCUCCUUCUACUGAUGAUAUAGCAAACCUCAAUUGGUGUCUUGACUCCGGUGCUACCCAUCACAUGACCGCCCACACCGCUUCUCUACCGCAUGCCCAGCCUUACACAGGUACUGAUACAAUUGUUGUUGGCAAUGGGAAUCAGUUAGCAAUAACACAUAUUGGCAAUACUAAAGUGACCGGGUUACAUAAGUCCUUAAACCUUAAUGAAGUGCUAUGCGUACCUGCAAUACGAAAGAAUUUGAUAUCUAUUCGUCGUUUUUGUCGUGAUAAUGAUUGUUUCUUUGAGUUGGAUGCUAAUGGUUUUCAUGUCAAGGACAUCAAGGCGGGGACGGUACUUCUUACUGGCAGUAGUUCUGAUGGGCUUUAUCACAUUCAGGCAACCCCACAUCUUGCUCAUCAACUUGCAUUCUAUGGAGAGCGCACGACACAGGAAGUGUGGCAUGCACGCCUUAGACAUCCAUCUCAUUCAGUUUUUACAACCUUGUUGAAUAAGUACCAUUUACCUGUUAAUGGUACCAUUAUCUCCAAUAAAAAUUGUCAUAUUUGCCCAUUGGGAAAAUCUUGUAGACUGCCUUUUGAAUACAAACAGCUUCAUGCUCAAUCCUCAUUAGCACUUUUACAUCUUGACGUAUGGGGGCCCGCGCCAGUCCCCUCAAAUUUUGGAUACCAUUAUUAUUUGUCCAUUGUUGAUGACCACACUCGGUUCACUUGGUUAUAUCCUUUGGCUAAGAAGUCAGAUGUCUUUCCUACAUUUAUUACCUUCAAAAAGAUGGUGGAAAAUCGGUUUAGUUCUAAAAUCAAGCAGUUGCAGGUUGAUGGUGGGGAUGAAUUUAUCAACAAAUUAUUCCUCGCAUUUUUACGUGACAAUGGCAUAUCGCAUCAAAUUUCUUGUCCCUACACUUCCCAACAAAAUGGAGUAGUGGAAAGGAAACAUCGCCAUAUUGUUGCAAUGGGUCUCUGUCUGCUAGCCCAAUCACGAUUGCCUUUUAGUUUGGGUUGAAGCCUUCUCCACUGCAGUUUUUCUGAUCAAUCGCUUACCAACACCGCAGCUUGAUAACCUGUCUCCCUAUGAGAAGCUCCUUCACCGUUCACCAGAUUACAAAUUUCUCAAAAGCUUUGGAUGUGCUUGCUUUCCCCACCUGGUGCCAUACAACAAGCAUAAGUUAUCUUUUAAAUCUCUUCCAUUUGUAUUUCUUGGUUAUGAUGAUCACUAUAAGGGUUAUCGCUGUCUUGAUCCUUUUUCAGGUCGCAUCUAUACAUCUCGGAAUGUGACCUUUGAUGAAACAACCUUCCCUUACAAGCAGCCCCAGCUUCCAUCUCCUCUGCACUCAAAUGGGCUUCAACCUCUCUCUCUUGCCGACCAGCCCAUAUCUCUUGGGCCCUCUAAUCCUCUGGUCAGCCCUUCUCCCUCAUAUCCCUCAUCUCUUAAUCCCACAGGCCCAUCACUUCCCCCUAUUUCUUCUGACCCUAUUAGCUCCCCCCAUUCCUUCGACACCCCCUUGUUCUCCCCUCUGUCCUCUUCUGUAUCCCCAACAACACUGACCACGAACCCAGCCGAUCCUUCUCUGGUAUCCAGCAUCCCCCAUUCGCCGCCUCUUUCGACUGAAACCUCGUCGCCCCUUUCCACAGAACCCUCGCUGCCCAUUUCCACAGAAACCUCGCCGCCCCUUUCCACAGACCCAUCGCCCUUAAUUUCCCCAGACCUAUCCUUCGACUCUGACGGAACAACCCCACCCCUUACCCCACCUCCCACUUCUUCACCUCUUGAUCCAUCGAUUUUCCCUAACUCUUCAGAUACACCCAAUCCUCCACAAAAAUUCUAGAGUCUCCAAACCAUUGUCCCAUUUGGUCCAGAACCCAAACCCCUCUACUCUAAAACCAGCCCCCAUCCCUUACCCCUUGCCCUUUCUGCUGAACCUUCUGAUCCCCUGUCCCUUGAACCUACCAGCUUUACCCAUGCUUCCAAACAUAGCCACUGGCUCGAUGCUAUGCACGAUGAAUAUGCUGCACUCAUGAAGAACCAGACCUGGUCCUUAGUUCCUGCCACCUCCCGCAUGAAUAUUGUGGGGUGCAAGUGGGUCUUCAAAGUUAAACGGAGGGCAGAUGGCUCAAUUGACAGAUACAAGGCUCGUCUUGUUGCCAAGGGAUUCAAUCAGAAGGAAGGCUUUGAUUAUGCGGAAACUUUUAGCCCGGUGGUCAAACCGGCUACCAUUCGCACUAUAUUGUCUCUGGCACUUUCCUACCAUUGGCCUCUUCAGCAAUUGGAUGUUCGUAAUGCCUUCUUGAAUGGGUACUUGCAAGAGGAGGUCUACAUGAAACAACCCCCUGGUUUUCAUGAUCCCUCUCACCCUCAGUAUGUUUGUCGGCUCCACAAGGCUCUGUACGGCCUUAAGCAGGCACCUCGAGCUUGGUUCCAACGCCUUAGUGCCUUUCUCCUUGCCCAGCACUUUGUUCAUAGUCACUCUGAUGCAUCGCUCUUUAUUCGUCGCUCCUCUUCCUGCACAGUGUAUGUUCUAGUGUAUGUGGAUGACAUCAUUGUUACUGGCUCUCCCUCACCAAGUGUAAACCACUUCAUUGAUCAACUAUGUUCAACUUUUGACAGCCGCUGUAUGGGUGAGCUCAACUUUUUCCUUGGCAUGGAAAUUAAUCGGUUUUCUGACCAUUUAUUUCUCUCUCAGACUCGCUAUGCAGUGGAUUUAUUGACCCGGUUUCAUUUGACUGAAUGCAAACCAUCUCCUACCCCUUUGCCCUCUGACACUCGGCUCUCUUGUCUGGAUGGUGAUCCCUUGCCUGAUCCAUCCACCCAUCGGAGUAUGGUGGGUGGCCUCCAGUAUCUUACCUUGUCCAGACCUGAUAUUUCCUUCGCUGUCAACCAGGUGUGCCAGUUUAUGCACAACCCUCGAACCUCUCAUCUUCAAGUUGUCAAGCGCAUUUUUCGGUACAUUAAAGGUACACUUGAGCAAGGUCUUAUCUUCCAUAAGUCCACUGAUUUUUCCUUACGGAGUUUCUCUGAUGCUGAUUGGGCUGGUUCUGUUGAUGAUCGCCGGUCUACUACUGGUGCUUGUGUUUUCCUUGGCCCCAAUCUUCUCACAUGGACUGCCAAGAAACAGUCUACUGUUUCUCGCUCUAGUACUGAAGCUGAAUAUAGAGCUCUUGCACAUACUGCAGCCGAACUUCGCUGGUUUUGUUACUUGUUUCGUGAACUGGGCAUUCCCCUUCGCUCUGCCCCCUGCAUCUAUGUUGACAAUCUCUCUGCUCUCUAUAUGGCUGCCAACCCUAUUUUUCAUGCUCGCACCCGGCAUAUCGAGAUCGACUACCACUUUGUUCGUGAAUUAGUUGCUCGAAAGGCUCUUCGUACCUCCUAUGUUCCUUCCUCUCGUCAGCUUGCUGACAUAUUUACUAAAGGUCUCGGUCGUGAUCGGUUUUCACUUCUCAAAUCCAAGCUUAAUCUCCGCGUUGCUCCGCUACGCUUGAGGGAGGGUAAAGAGAAUAUCACUCCGGUUCAUCCCAGGAAAUCAGUUUAUUUCCCCAAAUCAGACUUGACAGAUUCUUCCUCCCAAGAUCAACGACAUAUUAGCUAGAAUUGAUUCAUAACAUAUAUGAAAUUAUUGUACUUACCAUGUAUUGCUUCUUUCUGUAAAUAGACUUGAGAAAGUCUACUCUCUGUACAUUAUAUACGGCUGCAAUACAGAGACCAAAUAUACUGGUUGAUUCAAUUACUCUCCUCCUCUAUCUCUCAUCUCCCUUCUCCCCCCUGAACUCUAUUUCCUAUAGCAGGUACCUGUGUCAUAGGUACACUUUCGGAAGUUACCUGUAGGAUAGGCUCUCCGUGAAGCUCCAUAUCAAGCCACUGCAUAGAGUACCUUCGCCAUAGGUACACUAUUUAUAGGUUACCUGUGCCAUAGAUACUAUUCGAGGUUACCUCUAGUGCCCAAAACUAUAAGUAAAGCUGGCUUAUAAUUCAAUGGUAGGCUAUCCAAUUUUAGCUGGCAUGUAACUCACUGGUAGGCUAUCCAAUUUUAGCUGACCCUGACAGUCUAAUUUCAGUUGUUCUUUUGAAAGUCACAAAAGACUCCAAGAUACAAUUCUCUAAGCUCUAGUUGAAUAAGAGCGACAGAAGAGAUGAAGUUGCAAGUGGAAUCUUUUAACAGACUUCAUUCUCUCUCUGUCUCUUGAUAGCAUUAAAGAACAAUUAACACUCUAAAAAAACAAUAGAAGAGAAAGAUAUUUAAAAUGAAGAAUGGAAAAGUCAACUAGGAGUGGAGUAUGUGUACUUUGAAUUGGGCAGGAGCUGGUUUUCCCCCUUUGUAAAUACUUUGCUUUUGUUUAAGAUCACAUGGGUUGUCAUCUACUAUUGGAAUUUACUCUAUCAUUAGUAGUAAUUAGCUCACACUUUUAUUCAUUUUGUAUCCCGCUUAUAAGCAUUUUCUUGACCAGUGCAAGGAGAGGAAGAAUUUAUUUACCACAAGAUGAACUUGCAGAAGCAGGGCUUACUGAUUCUGACAUAUGUGCUGGAAAGGUCACAGACAAGUAGAGGAGUUUCAUGAAGAAUCAAAUUAAGAGGGCAAGGAUGUUCUUCGCCGAGGCAGAGAAUGGUGUGACAAAGUUGAGUGAAGCCAGCAGAUGGCCGAUAAGCCUCACAUGUUUUAGAACCUAUGUUGUAGGUACACGGUGGUAAGUUACCUGUAGGCCAGGUUCCAUAUCAAGUUGCUGUAUAAAGUACCUGUGCAAUAGGUACUGUCAGAGGGUACCUGUGCCCCAGGUACACUGUUAGAUGUUACCUGUGGUGUUAGAGUUAUGCUGAUAGAGAUGCAAUUAGCAUGGCUAAAACGACAAAAAUAUGACUUUUAUGUACUAUCCAUAGCUGUUGGACUCCGAUAACAUGUCCCAAACCUAAAAUCAUAUUCUGUAAAAUGUAAAAGCCUACACCCUAUUUCUUAUUCUCGAAUUGGGUUGUGACAAAAUUAGAGAAUCACUCCAGAAAUGUUUACCCAUAAACCCACCAUUGGAAAAAACUGGGGGAAAUCACUCCGACCAGGCGAUCCACCAAGUCAAGAAGAUUCUUACAGAAAAAGUAAUCACAAGCUCAAACAAUCAUAAAUCUAUUUAGGAAAUGAGGACUACCUCCCUGUGCAACCUUAUUUUCCAAACUUAGUUGAGCAAGUAGCUUGUCCUUCGUGGAAAUGACAGCUAGUCCAUCAGCUUUUUCACCCCAUGGCACCGCAACUCAGCUUCGGAUAGUCAUCCAUGAACGAAAUAUAGAUUCUAGAAUGAAAUAGUCAAUUUCUUCAAGAAAUCAUCCUCUUGAAGAAAUCAACAGAGAAUUUGAUCUACCUAGGAUGAUAAAGUGUUUAAACUAAACCCUAGAUGCAUAUUUCAAAAAACCACAAUAGAUUUCAAAAACCAAUUUUCAAAAUCUCAAAAUGAAAAUCCAAACCUACCAAGUAGAGAAUGCAAAGUAAAAGUUUUACUCUGAAAAAUUCUCAAUGGAUGAAGUGGAUUUCAAAAAUAGAAGCAGAUUUCAAAAGCUAUUUGUAAACCUCAUUUCCAGAAGCCAUGAUCAUUCUCAGACAAACCAAAGAGAAAACUAAGUUUUCCAAAAUUGUGUAAAUGAAAGAGAUGAGAGAUUAAUACUUUGAUAUGCAAAGAUAUGGUAAGAUUUUCUCAAAAACAAGUAGCUUUCAAAAUGAAAGCUUGAAAACCCAUUCCUAUGCCAUGAACACUCUCAGACAAACCAAAGAGAAAUCCAAGUUUUUCAAAAUGGUGAAAAUGAAAGAGAUGAGAGAUGAAAACGUUGUAUCACUAACAAAAGUUUGAGAAAUGAAAUUUCAAUGAAAGUCCAAAAGGAAUUCAAGAACCCAUGAACUCUUCUUCCAAAAAUCAAAACCUAAUUUAUGCACCAUCUCUCACUAAAACUCUCUCUCUCUCUCUCUCUCUCUCUCUCUCUCUCUCUCUCUAAAACCCAUUUGAAAAAUGUAAAUAAGAGAGUUGAUGAGUCCAGACCAGCCCCAGCCAUUUUGGUAGGUCAAAAAGACACUUGACAGUCAAUGAUUAGACUUAUAACAAGCAAAAUCAAGUGCCUUGGUUGAAAAUCCCGUGCUGGAAAUAUUGGCCCAUAUGACUAGUCAUCUCGACAAAAUAUAUGGAUGCAAAUGCUGAUUUUCCUAAUGAUGUCCAUUGUAAAUGAAUGCACAAAUUAUCUUGGUUUUGUAGGCUCAUAAGCUCUUCAAUGUACUUCAACUUUGUAGCAAAUACCCAAUGCCUAAUUUCUAAAGAUGAGCUAAGAGGAAUUAUGACAGGACCCGACCCAAAUUCCACUUUGGAAUCUGAGCCAAACUCUGUGCGUGUCCGACACCUGAUAGGUGUGGAGCACACUUGACCAAAUUUCCCUUCUAAAGAAAUCCAAAGCUUCUUUAGGGUUUGACUUCUGCUGAAAAUUCGGCAGUCUCCCUUAUAAAUUGCUCAAUUCCCAAACUUUUUCAACUGUACAACAAGCAAUAUAAAUAUCCACAACCGUUCAGCAUGCACAAUAAUCGAAUUCAUGCAACCACACAUCAAAUCUUUAUGGCCUCAAGCCUCUUUAAAUCAAAUAAAUCGUUCUGCCAACUGAAAUUGAUCCCAACUUUUGGAACAACAAGAAUACGUUAACGUAUUUCAAAAUAACUUAACUGAUCAGCUUUUCAAUCACUUGGUCUCACGACUGCACCUAGUAACUCUAGGUUGCCUACGUACCCUUAACAAGGGAUCAAGCCACACGUAGUUCUUUCUCUUUGUUUUAUUGAUAAGUUAUGUAUUCAACUUUUAUGUUUACCACCUGUUUUGCAAAAUCAAAUAUGAAAAGAAAAUAAAAAGGAAAAGAAAAUAAUGAGAGGAUAAUAACUUUUAAAUUGGAAAAGAAAUACAAGGAGAACACAACGGUUAUAUAAAAUCAAGUAACGACAUGGUAAAAUAAAACUUCACUUAAGAAAAUAAUCGUGAAUUAUACAAAAUCCUUAAAACUUAGAAAACUCUUAAUCCUUGUCUCUUAAGUAGGAAAACAUAUAUUAAAACCUUCGCCCAUAAUUACCAAGAUAAAAUCCUCAAUUUUUUAGUUUAAAACAUCUUAAACUUAAAUACUCUCCACCUAGGCGUACCCCCAUUCAUAUUCCAUCAAUUCCUAGUAUCCUGUUUGUUACAUCCUUGCAGGCCUCGAAAACACAAAGUUAACCCAAGCCGCAUUCCUCGCAAGACUCAGGGGACCCUUAGUCAACUUGAGCUGCAUUCCUUGCAGAACUCGGGGUACAUGUUGUCGGCCCAAGAAUGCAUAUCCUCGCACCACACAGUUUAGGCGCCCCCGAAACUCGUGGGGCAUUAUCAUAAAGGACAAAACUGUUCAAGGCAACUGGGGGGGGGGGGGAGGGGGGGGGAGUACUUUUGUGGUGGGUUUGAAAACCAUAUUAUGAAACUUAUUAUAAACUUUCUCUUAUUCCACAAAUCAAUUUUCCAACUCUUAUAUCAACUUUCCAAAAAAAAAAAGGGAAAUAUGCUGAUAUAAUCAGUUUUCAUAAGUGGUGUUCUGAAAUGAUCAGGUUACAAAUUCAACAUGUCUUAUGACGUGUCAUUUUCCCUUUAUAUGAAUGCUAAAGUGGCACAUAUGUCCUUCUUCUGCAGGUGGUCCUUCCAGCUUCAUACCCAUAUUCACAUCUCAGAUUAUGUACACGUAUGUGAAAGAAGUUGCAGGCUGUUUUGUCGUAUUGUGAAUCUUGAAACUGAAUAUGAGUUUUUGCAUAACAUGGCACCAUUUUUGACAUUUUGCUCACCACGCGAUAAAGUGUGGUGAUUUUGUAGUAGGUUGCAGGGUGUUCAUUUCUGUAACGGAAUUCAACUGUACUUGUCUUCCAUAGUAGAAGGGCUGUACUCACUUUCCUUUGUUAGAACUAAUUCUUGACAUUCUGUGCUUAACACAGAUUGUAAAUCCAUCAUUUGGCACAAGUUGCAGCGAAAUGCAAUUUUUUGGGGCCACCCACAUUGUAGCCUUUUUCCAUUAUUUUAUCGCCACUAUAGCGAAAUAUUCGACUCUCAUUUGGCAAUAUUUGUGGUUGAGAUAUUUUCGUGACAGUUGAAAGUAUAGAUUGGGUGGCUAUGUCAUGGGACUUGCUUCGUGAGACGACAGUGCAUUGUCGACUGUUUAGUUUAGUUUAGUUAGGUUGAAUACUUAGUUUUGUAUAUGCAUUUUUUAAAUCCGAUCCGGACGGAAAUGUCGGGGUUGGUUAGCACAAACAAUAUCAUUAACGCUCGGCUGGGCCAAUUACAAGCUCAAAUAUUCUAUUGUUUGACGUCAUUGAGUUGUAGUUUUGGGAGGUCCCUCACCGUCAAAUAUUUAGUUCUUUCUCAUGUUUUACGUGGAAGAAUUGGUCUAACGAUUGAGGCUCCAUAAGAGUUGAUACCAAAAUACCAGAGCCUGGGGUUAUUGGCUAUGCCUUUUGUGUUAGCCUUUGAAAACCAAGAUGAAAUAGAAAACGACCAUGUCUGCCAUCACUGAUUUAUAAUAAAUCAAACCUGUUCCAUUACAUCCAUAACCUAACCAACUUUAACCUGCCAACUGUAGAUGAACAAACCUCCUAUUACAUUUGGAAUACAACAAAUAAAGGACCAUUCCAACCAUGAAAACAGAGACCCAAAACCAUGGGUUUUUCAUCUUCCCUUUUCCAGCGUUUUGUUCUUCUUCCAAGCGGUUUAUUUUCCUAAGCAAGCCUGGAAUUAUGUGCUUCGAUCUGUCACACAUCUCUGGGUCAGCCCAUUCCCAAAAUGUACAUCCAUUCCUCUGCAUAAACGGAAUCAAUGUUUUCAAACAAAGACGGCCAGCAUCAGAUUUGGAAUACAGACAAUUUCCAAAUGUCAGCUCAAACUUACACAUAAAUAAACUUACCCUUGCACAUACUUGAAACCUCCUUCCAGGAUGAGAAACCGUCCACGAUGUAUGCGUUUUGACAACGUUCCCACAGUAGCACAGCCGUGAACACACUGAACUCGCGGCUUCCAUUUCCCAGCGAGAUCUUGAAGUCGCCUCUUGACCGGGCAACCGAGACGUCACUGACUCACCCUCACCGGUACGAAGGCUCCUCCUACUCAUCUUCUUGUUUUGGAGGGUAUGAAUUGUUGUUCACGUUGUGCGAUAUUUAGGGUGCUGAAGAGGGUCAUCGUGUAUUCAAAGGGUUACACUUGCAUGUGCACAAUGUUUCAGGAACAUGGUGUGAGUGCACAAACAUGAAACCUGGAGUUAAUGGGGUGUUUUUAAAAAAAAAAAAUUCCAAUAUUUACCAUUGCCAACAGUAAGUAUAGAUUGGAAUGUUAUUCAUAGCCUUAGUUUAUGACAGAUACGGCAUGGUAUACACUUGCAAAUACAGUAGAUGCCAUUCUUCGUUGUCUGUAUAUUGGUUUAUUAAUGACGUAUUGAUAGUAUAGUGGCACUAUAUUGGUAUCCUAUUGUAACUUUAUUGUAUUGCUAUUGCUUUGUAUUGGUUUUAUAAUGCCCGAUAUUGGACUUAUAUUGGCAUUCCAAUGUAACCUCUACAUUGUUUGCAAUUGGUACAGCUAUUAGAACUUUUUUUAUACUAUCUUACGUAUUGGUUUUGCAAUGUCAUUUAACAAGUCUACAAAUCUGAACUAUGUGGAAGGUAAUUACGUUAUAUCGAAUAUGAAAUGAAUGCAGCCAAACUACAUCAAUUGCAGUUUUCAAAGUUCCUGCAUACAACACAAAAGAAAGGCACCUGAAACGUACAUAUAAUACAAAGGCCACCUCAACCUGGCAGCAUACAAAAUAAAAUAACAAGCCAGGUGAAACUUACAGAAGACAAAAUUUACAAAGAGGUCACCUCAAACUUACAUAAUACAAUCUUAACAAAGACAGCACCUGCAGCUUACAUUAUACAUAUGUACCAAAGAGGCCCCCUCAAACUUACAAAAAACAAAAGAAAUAAAUAAAAAGGGCACCUCAUACGUAUAUAUUACAAAAAGAGGGCACGUCAAAAAUUUCACUGUACUGGGUUUGUCCCCAAUAGUAGCCAUGGUAAUAUUACAAGGCAAACCUUCUGGCUGUGGCCGAAUUUCGAGUUGCAUACUCGUCAAAUGCGGCGACCGCGACCCAUUAAGUUCAUGACCCCUCCCACAGUGAUGUCCCACUUUCCUUCUGCAUCCACAAUUUGUGCAAACUUCCUAAAUAGUUCGAAGCCGGAUUCCAGUUGUUGUUGCUUCAGCUGAGCCAUUUCGUCUGAUUCUUUGAAUACAAUAAUUGCACUGGCAGGGGCAUUUUCAAUUCUAGCUCUGACAGCCUUCAUAUGUAGGAGAUGCAUCCGGGCUUGAUAACGCGCCCGAAUUGUGCGCUUUUUUAUGACACCCCACCUAGCUUGGCCCUCUUUAAUUUUGAUAACUAUGUCUGCAUGGAUAUUUUUCUAGAACAUGGUAUUGGCUCGACAUUGCUGCAGUCCAUGGACCCAGUCUUCAGUGUCUUCUGUUGCUGCUUUGGCAGGUGUUUCGGUGUCCCCUCCUUCAGUAAUGGCAAGGGUUGGGUUUGGUGUGGGGUUGGGGUCCAUGGGUGUUGGGUAUUUACUGUGGGUUGAUGUGGCCAUUAGUUUGCCCAAACUGCCAUUCAUUGUGAUGUAGGUGAAAUAGCUGCGCAGGCAGGGGGGUUUGACGGAGUAAGUGUGAUGGAAAUGUUGGGUGGAUGCAGCUGGGUUACAAUUAAAUAGUGGAAGGUAUUAAUGACCAGGAGUAAAUGACUGUGAUGAAGUGGCGGGAGUUAUUGGCGGCAGUUGUUGGGUCCAAUUUUAGGCGGGAGUUAUUGGCGGGAGUUGUUGGGCAACACGUUUGACUUGGGCUGUGCGUAAUUGCGUAUAUAACUAUUCUUUACCAUUGGUUGGUGGUUGUUGUAUGGGACCCUUGUUGAAUUUACAAUUUAUUCCUUUUGUCCUCUUUCCCAAUUUCCCUCCUGUACCAAAACUACAAAUUGUCCCAAAUGUAUGAGUAUGGUAAUUUGACAAUGUAUGGGCCAAUUACAAAAAUGGACCAUGAAAGUAUUUGUGUUUCCAAUUUCCUUUUUGCUGUCUUCCAAAUUCCUUGAUAUGAGUUCCAUUUUUGUAUAUAACGGUGAAUUCCUAACUCUGAUUUUUUACCAUUUGCAAAUCUUUGUAGGUGUAUUCAUCCCACAUGACGUUUUAUUCGCCUUGAAAUUUUGGUUGGGACUGUAUAUGACUGUUUUGGUGGUAUUAUUUUUUUUUUAGAUGGACUUGCCUAUUGUCGUCAUUUGUAGGGAAUACUUUGUAAUUUAUGAACAAGUGUGUACAGUUGGUAAAAUCAGAAUUAGGGAACUUGCUACUAAGCUAUUAUUCAUAUGGCAGCACCUUCAAUAUUAAUAUAGUAUAGAAUUGUGAUGAAGAUUUUGUGUAAUUUGUGUAGUCACUGUUGUUCAGGUGUGUAUAUUGCUACGGCCGAUUAUUCCAACGUUGACAUACAUUUAUUCGUAUUUGGUCCGGCUGUAAUGGGCAUAUUACAAUGCUGUCACUGACAGAGAGGAGUAAUGAGUGAAGACUGAUUUUGUAAUGUAGUCAUUGAAAGCAAUAUAAAACACACAACUUCCUCUAUAUAAGAGGGUCUAACCUACUCAUUCAAUUCCAUAUAUAUCAGAGACGAAAGCUGUACUAAAGCUCACCCUAUUGUUGGUAACGAAAAGAAAGCUCCAGAUUCAACCUAACGUUAACUAUUUUUCAGGGUGCAUGUGUGCAUUAUCCCCAUUUGAAGUUGAAGAUGUCAGACGUAAUCCCUCCAAACGAGGUUGUUAGUUACCCAGGAGACCAGCCAUGGCAUGUCCCUUUCCCAUCUCCACCUGGGACUCCAAAUAACGAUCCGACGUCAUCCGAAAGUGAGGCUGACAACAAUGAUCCGCUAAAGAAAAUAGCUGAAGUGAAGCAUCACCUCCAAUAUUUGUGUACGGCAACGGAUUGGUGGGAAACCAAAUGCGAUAUUCAUGGCUAGGUGAUGGGCAACUUGACGAACAAGCUGAACAAAGCAUUUGCUAGAGAAGUUAAGCAAACAAUGAAAGCACAAACUCGAAGCGCGAAGUUAGCCUCGUUGACGUUACAAUUGGAAGAAACAAAGAAAGACGCUGUCCACAAAUUCACUGAAUCUGAAGAAUUUAACCAUGAACUGGUUGAAUGUUUUAACAAUGGGUUCGAGAUGUUCCGGGAUUAUGCUUCCGUCAUGUCACCAGACUACAAUUGGAGCGAAAUAGAUGUUGGUGGUGUCUGGCAGGUGCUGAAUAGGGUUGGCCAGGGAAUGGCUGAUCAUAGCCUUGUGCAUGCAGCGAGGAAGAAGACCAAAGAAUUGGAUAUAUUCAUGGACCUGUAAACAUGGUGAUUUUGUGGAAGGGUUUCUGUAGCUGGGUCAGGGUAAGUACGGGUGGAAUCAUUUUGUAUGUAUUUGGUGGCUUUUGUAUGAAUGUGGUGCCUUGUUUACGCCUUCCUCUUAUUCUCACCGUUGAGUGGGAAAUUACUUAGUUUGUAUAAAUUUGAAGUGCUGUAACGUGGAGGUGUGCUUAUUAAACGUUUAUUGGCCUCAUAUUAGAAGCAUUAAGCAUGUAUAUUGUGUUUGUAUUGUAUAUUUAUUGACUCAUAUUGCAAUCGUAUUGUGCUUAUAGUAUGGUUUUAUUGCUGCUUUAUGGAUAUACAUCUCAUAUUAUAGCCUCUACAUCUGAGUAAUGAUAAACAAUGACUCUAGCAACGGUCGUAUAUAUGGAGGGUUUCGGACAGAUCGAUGGUUCUGACGCGCGGAAUAUCCAUGGAAAUAUGGGACAUAUAUCGAUUCCAAUAACAAUUGGAUACAAACCACGGACACUGUAAAUACAUGAAAUUUUUUACUAACAAGACAAAUAAAGUUAUGAAAGCAAUAAUUAAAUAGGAACAAAAAAAAGGAUUAUCGACAUUUAAGUAAUGAAGUAACAAUUUGAAGGGAUAGGUGGUAAUAUUCAGUACUUAUUAAGUUCAGUAGUUAUUCAUUUCAGUACUUAUAAUGAACAUUGGAAGUAAAUAAGCAGUAACAUGAAAUGGAUGAAAUAGGAAAGAAAUAAAUGACAUUAAGUAAUGAAUUUUGUGAGCAACAAUAUAGAACACUAAUAAAUGACUUUGUUAUUUUGCAAAACAGGUUGGAUUGGAAGACUUAUAAAUACCAGAGUCCAUAGGCACUAAUCACACACCGAUGGGGUGUGCGUGUGUAGCUCAGAACCUAGAAGAAGGGAAGGGUUUCUUCCUCUGUGUGUGUGACUUGAAGUGAAUAAUUAACUAUUUAAAAAGUCCAUAUCACGAUAGUAGCGAUGUGUUCACCAUGUGUAGCUGCAUGGAUAGUUUCCCAAAAACUAUAUAUAGUUUGGUCUAUGGCAAUCAGAACAAUGAGAAAUCAUUAAGUACAACGACGCUCCCAGUAAUUGCGUAACAUUUGCAUUUGAAGGAGUUUUAUGUACGAGAUGCAAUUUUAGUUAGCCUUCUAGGCCCUUUCAUUUUGGACACAAACCGUUUUCAUUACACUACCAAUAGGCGUGCAACAAAGUUACAAUACAAUACCAAUACGGUGGCAACAAAGUUACAAUACAAUACCAAUACGGUGGCAACAAAGUUACAACAGCAUGACAAUAGUGUGAAUAUAAAGACAGGAAUACAUAACGUGUGUAGGAAAGGAAACCAAGUGAUGCCAACGUGACUACAAUCACAUUUCACAACACCAAAUCGAAUACAAUUUAAAUGAAAAUAAAAGGUACAUCAGAAACGAAUAGAAAUGCUAAUCUGUAAGACACAUUGGCCAGUGGAACACUGUUAAAUAACAGCUGGUUUCCUUUUCACAGGUGGAACUGUAUGUUCACCAAUUUGUACUAAUAAUAGGCUCUCAUUGCAAGGAACUUGUUACCUUGUUCCAUAUUCUUCACAUGACCAUUUAGUUGACGGACUUCCAUCCCUGCAGCACCACCGAACCUAUUCAUGAACUUCACAGUUGAUGACAACUGAGGUACAAACUGAACAACUGUAAAAUCUGCGCAAAUUGACACUUCAGUUCUUGAGAGGGACAGAUUGUUUGCAUGUAUUUCGGUAGUGGCCCUUCACACCACACCUUGAGCAUUAUUUUUGCCGGGAGUCCUCUCCUUUGGAAGGUAUUCUUUGCAUUUUGCGACGGCCCAGCAUAACCUUACAAACAAGAGGAAGGAUUUUGACAUUGUUCAAAUGUUCGGGAAUAACCCAUGUGCCUUUAGGUGGAACAGAAUAAAUAGAUUCAGCAUAUGCAGCUGCCCAUGUAGCUCGUGUAUAAUAAGAAGACGCAAAGGAGUAGGGGUUCAAUUUCAAGUGCCGACAUACCGCAAUAGCAUGCUUGCACGGGAGUUGCUCCAAGUCAAACUUCCUGCACGUACAACUACGGUUUGCCAAGUGCACCAGACCAUUCAAAUCACCAUCCAGAACAUUAUACUCGACAUCAUUGAUUUUGACCACAUUCAUCCUUGACGCAGCAUCUAACCUCUUCCUUAACUUCUGUUCACCCAAAUCAGGGCACAAUGUAGAAUGACAUUUCAUUGCUAAAUCUCGACGUUGAUUAAACCAAGUGAGAAGUAGAUUUGUGAUUUCAUCGAUCAAGUGUAGCACCGGAAGCAUCCUUGCAAAACGAAGAACUGAAUUAAUGGACUCCACAAUAUUCGUUGUCAUCACAUUAUAUCGUCGUCCAUCACAGUGGGCCCGAGACCACUUCUGGAUGCCUGCACGUAGUAGAUAAGUUCGCACUCGCUCAUUGUUUAUCAUCGAGAAGUGACGAUUGAACUCCGCUAGACGAUAAGACUUCGCUGCCCUUACAAAAUACCCCAAUAUCGGAUCCCGUUGCUUCAAGUGAAAUGAGGCUUUCAUAUUGCCCUUCAAGUGAUAAAAGCAAAUCCAUGGCUUGCCCCAGGAAAAACUCUACGCAACCCAUGUUGUAUGCUAACAUUGCGAUCAGAUAUGACAACAAGAUUCGAGCAAUCACCAAUUGCACAAUGUAAUUUUCUCAAAAACCACUCCCAUGCUGCAUCCGUCUCCAAAUCUCCAAUCCCAAAGGCAACAGGAUAUAUGUUGCGAUUUCCGUCAAAUGCGGUCGCAACAAACAAAACACCUUUAUACUUGCACUUCAAAUGGGUAGCAUCAACAGCAAUCACGGGCCGCAUUGACGACUUAAAUCCUCGUAUGCAUGCACCAAUUGACAUAAAAAAUAUAAGAAGUGGUCGGCUGCAUCAGUCUGAAUGUAUGUCAAAGUUCCCGGAUUUGUACGCUCCAAUUCAUAACAAUAGGAAGGGAGAAGGGAAUACGACUCUUCUGCAGACCCUCUCAUUGUUUUGAAAGCUAACUCUCGGCUUCUCCAAGCUGUAGAGUAGCUUAUGCUGACACCAAAUUUUUUUUUUCACAUCUGUCUUUAUAUCAGCUGCAGUAUAAAUGCUGCGCGAAUCCUGAAAUCUCCAUUUAACACAGUCAGACACCAAUUCGGCCGUAGCUUGAGGAUGGUGACUACUUACAAACCUCAGAUCACAUUCAUGAAGUGGAUCGUAUUUAACAACCUUAAACUCAUGUAAUCCAACUUUAUAUGCCCGAACUUUCCAAGGGCAAGGCACCUGCCAACAGCGAACACACAACCGACGCUUCCCAGAUUGGACUGUUCUGAACCAAAAGUGGCCUCUAAUUGCUGCUAAACUGAUGGUUUUUAAAAGAGCAAUCUUAUUUGGAUAAACUCGGCCAACCUUCAAAUUUGCUUCCCAAUUUAUGCACGAAAGGCCUCCACCAUAACCAAUAUAUUCCACACUCUCACCAUGCUUCGAAUCAACUCGAAUUGUAUGCAUUUCACUCGAACUUGAUUGCCGGGGAGGUUCAGAUUGCACCUGUCUACACUGCAUAGUGGAGGGUUCCACAUUGCUGUCCUCAUGAGGAUGCACAAUUGGUGCAGAGUACGGUUCCUCCUCAUUGCUAGGUUGAUACAAAUCAACAACUAUGUUUUCACCGCUUUCAAAAUGAACUUCUUGAACCCAAUCACUCCAAUUAAAACCAUUCCCACCAUUUUCAGUUUCAUUGUCCGAAAUUACCACAUUUCUUCGUUCCACAACAAAGGUAGCAGGAGCAUUGCUACUCUCAACGCUUACAAUGCCAUUGCACCCUUCAAUACCAUGACCUUCGAUAUUUUUCAAGCUUGCUACUAAAGGGGUUACUUUAGAGGCCAUAACAUCUGUGUUGUACUUGAGAAAAUAUUGAACAUCAUCAUUGUCUUCAACCCUUAUGUGCUUACUGACAGAUGCGGAUACAGGAACUGAAUACUUCAAUGUGACACUAUAUUUCGUGGGCUCUGCAUCCAUGAUCUUAUAAAUGCGAUGAACAAGGUCAGAAAACGUUACGUUCCGUGACACUAUUAUGCCUUUAGCCUCCCCACCUUCAUAACUCUCAAUGUUAUCCUUCUUAACCCAACUUCCAUUGUAGCAUACCAAAAUUCCAACUGUAUCCAUUUCUGCAAAUAACAUAAAUAAUGACUACACCGAUUCAUAACAAUUAAACAGAAAAAAUUGAUGAAUAAAAACAUACACAACAAUCAUUCCACUACACAUAUCAUCUUCUAAAUCCUCAAAUCUUCAAACUCAAAUUUUAGCUGCUUCAACAAGGAACUUUUAUUCCUUUUUGUUUUUUCUCUGAUUUUGUACAUAUCUGUGGGUUCCAAGUUAUUAACAAACUAACAUACACAUACAAUGGCAGAAAUAUGAACCCUCUAACCCUCCAAGGCUUUUGCACAAAUGUAAACACCUUCAACAAAAGGAUCAGGUUGUGAUAGAAAACGUAUAAUGUAGUACAAGCUCAAUUACCAAAUUCGAAACCAAAACACACAAACUAUACUUCUUACCAAAACAAACCCAUAAUGCCAAUAAAUUCCCCACAUUAGCAUCUAAAUUGAGCCUAACACUAGCCGUAUUUACAAAUUUUUAGGCCAGACAAAGUUAACAUAUGAUUUUUCUGUGUGCUGUUAUUUUCACCAUUAUCAAACACAUUGCACUACUUUAUACACGCAUUCGGUCAAUUUUAAACAAAAUUCAAGUUCACCAGACAGAUCCCACUGCAGAUAAUAUCACAAACUAUGAAUUUUAACAUAUCAUAACUCCUUCAAACUGAAAAUUUAAGCUUUUAUGCCCUCUGUGGUGAAAAGGGGCUGAACGAUUUCAUAAUACACAUACACUACCAAACCAAUAUCACAACUCACAUCCAUUCACAACGAUGCCGGAAGUCGCCACUUUCGCUUCUCUGUGGACUCGCAGCAGUCACCUCGAUCUGGAGGUCAACAAUGGAGGCCGUGCCUUCCGGCUUCGCUGCGCCCAGACUAGGGUCCCAAAUUUGAGGACAUCUGGGUUAUGACGAUGGAUGGGUUGCGAACUGGAUUGCUCAGUGGCAACAUGUCUCGCAACCUGGAGUUCCCCUAAUUUUUGCCAACCUUCCAACAUAGAGGAGAGAGAGUUUUAGGAGUUCAGACAAGUUCCCUUUCAGAAAAGGGGUGGCAAAGGGUUGCUACAUCUGCUUUUAUAUGGAGGGCAGUUUGGUCAUUUCUUAUCCACAAGUGAUUAUAUCAGAACACAAUUUGUAACCUGAUCAUUUCAGAACACCACUUGUGAAAGGUGAUUAUAUCAGCAUAUUUCCCAAAAAAAAAUUCAGUUCCCAACUAUAUUUAAAUUGUACCACAUACUAUUAAGUACUAGCAUUCAUAAUUCAUCAACCUCAAGCCACUGAGUAUAUAUAUUAAAUAUAAGCAUAUAAUAAAAUAUUUAAUUAAUUUCUUGUAACAUCCCACAUCGACCAACGGAGAGGGGAUGAUGUGCCUUAUAUGUACAUGCCCACCUCUAUCUAGCAUGAAGCAUUUUGGGAGCUCAUUGGCUUCGGAGUCAUGGGAACUCCGAAGUUAACCGAGUUUGGGCUAGAACAAUCCCAGGAUGGGUGACCCACUGAGAAGUUGCUCGUGAGUUCCCAGAAACAAAACCGUCAGGGCAAGGGGGCCAAAGCGGACAAUAUCGUGCUACGGCGGAGCAGAUCCGGGAUGUGACAUUUCUUGUCCACACCAAAAUCCAGUUAAUAAGCCGUUCCCAACUUUACACAACCAAACAUAGUAUAAUACCUUUAGAAAAAAAAAGCGAUUAACUAAUCACCUAAUCCAGUAUUACCCAAUCAUAAAAUUUAAUAAUACUCACAAUAAUAAUAAAUAAAUGAAUGACAAGAUAAACUUCAAAUAUCAUAAUAAGACCCAAAAAUAUCUCAAAACAUUAACCUAAACUCACAAUCUAAACAUAAACAAAAUAGUUCAUAAACAAUCAAGCCUCGUUUACACGGUCGUUCUAGCACUUCUCGAAGGGUGAAACUACUUUGGAAGACUCACGGUCAACCGAGGGUCAAACUUUCUAAAUUGGGUCAACCGGGCCCGCAGGGCCCACGACCUCCGAUUUCUAAAACGAGAGUUCCUACUAGUUCAACAAGGUUUACUAUACUUGUCCGGCAAGUUUGGUCUGAAUCGAAUGAUCGGAUCACUCACGAUCGCACUAUCGGACGGUUAUCGUUUAUCUAUACUUUAAAUUAUUGAACCGGAGUAUCAAGGACUCCGAUUCUUGGCCUGCGAAUUCCUGUAUGAUCCUAGAAGUGCCUAGAUCAAUAUAUUUGAAAAUCAGAUCAAUCCAACGGUCCGAACAAAUCAAACCCGGAUAUCACCUAAUAUGCUAUAUCUAAUCGACAAUCAAACGGUAACCAAAAUGAAAUCCGAGCAUACCGUUGUGCUUGGGACGACAUGAGGAUCAUUUUAGGACCAAAGCGAUUCCGGAGAUAGGAAAAUCUCCAAACCGCCAGUCAAGACCUAAACCUACAUGAUCAGGACAAUGAAUGGAGCAACUUUGUUCUUGGACCAACUCCAAAAAGUGGACGGAGAUGGUCAAAAUCAAGGGCCGAAACUGGCCAAAACUUCAAUUGCUUAAUUGACAACCAAAACGCAGAAAUUGAUCCUAAAUGACCCAACCAGCAGCUAGAACACACUCAGAGGAUGAAAAAGCAUGCCUCUAUCGCAAAAUUUGGUAGCUAGCAACGUCCGAACAAGCUCCGAAAAAUCUGGGUAAAAAUCGGCCAAAAUCGAGCUCAUUCCGGCCACAGACGGUGGUGGCUGGGGUGGCUGUGGGGCGGGAUGAGUAGAGGGGAGCUAGCCGGUCAUUUUGGGACUAGCCCCAGCUUCGAUGGCAGCCGGAGGUGGCCACUACAACCACAAAACCAACCGGCAGACUGUUUGGGGGAGGGGGGUGUCGUGUGAAGGAGAAGACUGGGGAGAGAGAGAGAGAGAGAGAGAGAGAGAGAGAGAGAUUUCAUAUUUUUAAAAACCCUUUUGAGAAAAUUACGGUUAUGCCACUAGGCUUCUGUAGAUCAUAACUUCUUCAUUACAACUUCGAUUUGAGCCCACUACGUGUCUGUGGACUCAUCUCGACGUGCUCAACCCAACGGUGCCCCCAAAAUUCCCAAAUUCUUUCCCGAACAAAACGUCAACUUUUAACCCAUUAAAAUAUUCUCGGGGUAAAAUUGUCUUUUAUGUGAUUAUUUUAUUAAUUAAAUAUUAAUUUAGGAUCGGGUUAUUACAAAUUACAUAAAAGUGUACAUUUGGCAAGGAAAUCCAAUUCUAAGAAUCCUAAACCUAGCAUACUCAUGCCCCUUUUUUUGUAUGCCCUUUUGGUUUAUGAAUGAAAUCUUAUUCUCAUAAAUAAAUAAAUAAACUUUCAAAAGACAAAAGCCUCACUAAUAACUUGGUCCUCUCAUUCAAUUUUUUCCCACAAUUUCUCAAUUUCUCUUACUCCAUAUAAAAAUACAUCUUUCGCACAAAUAUACUAAAGGGCAAAGUAAUAUUAUUAUUUUGUUUAUAUUUUAAAAAUAUUUGAUCUCUUUUUUAUUCAUAAAAAUAAAUAAACUUAAAUGAAAUUAGUGUUUAUAUCGAAAUUUAACAUGCUCCUAUGGGUUUAUAUUUUCUCACAAUCCAUAAAUAAAUAAAAAAUACAUUUUUCUUCCAAAUAUUCAACCCCCAAAAUAAUAUUCUUAUUUGGUUACGUUUUUAAAUACUUAAUGUCUUAUUAUUUUCUCCAAAAAUUUCAAAAUUUCUCUUAUUCAUUCAUAAAAAAAAAUUACUAAACUUAAACAAUAAGUGAGCAUAUUCUGUAAGUAACGAAGUUUAUUGACAAACAUUAUAUGUAAUCUUAAUCACACAAUCCCACCAUGAAAGUAAGUUUUAUAAAUUUGUUUUGUUAAAUUAGUAGAUAAUUGAUUAAAUAAACAUGUGUCAAAGUUUCAUUCAAAAUUUCAAUAUUUUCCAAAUGAUUUCCAUGAAUUUUAUUACAUUUUUACCGAUAUUUCAGUUGAAAUUUACGAGUUUUGGACCCUCGAUAUUUCUGAAACGACUGAUAUUUAAUACUUUGGAUUGAACGAAUGGAAUGAAGGGCUAGGAUUAAAUCAUUUAGGGUUACAGCUGCAUUUUGAAUGGCUGAGAUUUGUACACUUCAGUGAGGUAGUUUUGCAUCAAAGGUCGUGAUUAAAACACCACAUAGCUUUCCUAUUCCAAUUGGAAUUAUAAGUUGCACUCCUUAGCCCAACUAGCUUGCAAUUAGAAAUCCAAAUCCAAUUUGUUUUCCUCUUCUUGUGAUAACUAACUCUCCUAAUUGCAUGACUGACUAAUGUAACUUGUAACCGACUCCAAAAAUGUCCGCCUAGGUCAUGUGAUCAGCCAUAUAGGCUUGCUUGAUCACUUGGAUGAUGACAAGGCACUUUGACAAAGAUUCAUCAAAGAUACUUCCAUAAUGAGUCUUUCUUCUUAUUCCAACUUCAAGAAUGCAGCAAGAACGUCUUUUUAAUCUUCAAGGCUCCAAGAGUAGGUUUCUUGAUCAUCAAGAUAGGUUCUUGAUACUUUCUAUGCACGCCACCUUCCAAGAUUCAAUCUUUAAUGCUUCUUUCACACGCACCGGCCUUCUUCUCACUUUAUUGAUUGCACCAAUGCCCUAAAUCGGCUCCAUUUUCACUUUUGUGCUCAAUUGACCUACAAAACACAAAAACAAAGUAAAUGAUAGAAAAAAGCAGGGAACUAUGCAUAAAAAGUAAGUAAGACUAGCUAAAAAGAUAGGAAAUUAUGAACUCGUCAUGGUAAUGACGUGGAAGUAACAAGGAAAUACUCCAGUUGGAAAUUUGAAAUAAAUAAUUUAUAAAAAAAAUAAGAAAAGUCUUUGUUGUUGGAUAAAAUUCUAAGUCUAAAUUGUUCUUAGGGACAAUUUGGUUAUAUAAAAAUUGCAUUUAAUGUUGGCCUUGGUUUCCCAUGGGAAGGGAAAAUAAAACUCAAUUUGAGUGGAAGGUUUCAUUUUCCCCUUUUUUUUCCCAUGUGCCAGGAAAUCAUUUCCUAUACCUUGACUUACCAAAUGAUUUCCAAAGAUUUACGCACCCUAAUCUUUUAAUUAAAUGAAAGAGUAAUUGAUCUUUGGGACACUACAUAAACUUUUUCGUCACCUGACCUAAACUUUUACGUUCUCUCUAAAAUUUUCAGUUUUCUCUCAAUUUCCCUCUCAUUUCCGAAAAGCUGCGUGUCUGAUUCUCACUUUCCCUCUCUUUUACAUUCUUCCUCGUCUUCGUCUCCAAAAUUUGAUAACGAAGAAAACUUUCUUUGCAAGCCAAAUGUAUUUUCUCACUCCAUUUUUUUUUUUUUUCAGUUUCCCUAUCAUUUGAAGUUUUUUUUUUUAAAGAACGAGUCCCACUUAUACGGAUGAAUUCUGCAGCAUGGUGAUAGCAGCACAUCAGAUCACUAAGGGAGUUGCCAUUGGGGUGGCAAAUUCCCUUACUGCUCUUUUAGCUUCAUCCGCCAUAGAUGGGGGUGUCGGAAAAAUCCAACGUACCUGAAAAUAAAAAUAAAAAUUCUAAUUAAACUCUGAAUUAAAAUAUAUUGAUAUUAAUAGAAAAUAAAACAGUCCCCGGCAACGGUGCCAAAAACUUGUUGUGAAAUUAUUGCAAGCGCACAAUCCGCACAAGUAAUAUAGAAAUAAGUAGAGUGUUGUUCCCACAAAGACUAUAAUUUUCUAUUAACUACCAAUUAUGAUUAAUUCAAAAUUUUAUUUGAACAGUUGAUUAAAAAGAUUGAUUGACUUAAGUAAACAAAAGCAAUUAUGAAAAAUAGCAAUUUAAUUAAUGAUGGAAAAUCAAGUUGAUGAGGCACUAGAGCAUCUGAUUUCACCAUAACCAAUUCCACUUAAUUCUUAUAGCCAAUUAACCAUAAUUACUACCCAUGCUGACAGUUGGUUUUUCCUAAUUCAUUUGAUAUCCCCUCUCGGGCUCAACCAAUAGUAUUCCUAAUUAACAACUCAUUCUCUCUCAAGCAAAGGAUUUAGAAAAUCAAGAACCUAUUAAGUUCUAUGAGAACCUGCAUGAGUCCAGUUAGUCCCUCUCGGACACUCAUUCAAGACAUGGUAUUUAUUACGAGAAGCAAACACCAAAUAUCUCCUCUCAGUCUCCGCUUUGAUCAUCAAAUCAAUUAAAUAUUGCCCAGGUAUUCAAAGCAUUAAGAACAGUAACAAAUACUCAACAUGGAAUAAUAAUCAAAAAUUAAAAUAACUAUAAAAAUUAAGUAUUCAUGGUUAGGCUACAUCGUAGCCCUAGCAAGGAAAAUUAGGUCAUGACAAAAGAAAAGUGAAACAAGAGAAUUGUUGUCAUAAAACCGAUUUGGCCGAUGGAUUUGAUCGCUGGAUUCUCCACAGAAACACCUUCGAAAGCUCCUAAAGUAGUGCAGCAGCAAAUUCUUGGCUCUAUAUUUCUUUGGGUGUACGAAAGUUGGUGGAAAAAUAUAGUGGAAAAGAUGAUCGUCCCUAGAGAGAGCUUAGGGUGACCUUAUAUAGUGUAAACAACUAACCCUACUCUAAAAAGGUAUGGAAAAACUCUCCUAAAGCAAAAUAAAAUUCCAAACAAUUAAGGGACCUCAAUUAGGAUUAUAAAGCGUUUAAAAAGAUUUUAAAAAUCUGGAUGUAUUCAAUUUGGAUGUAUUCAAACUUUAAAAGAGGUUUUACAAGUCUGGGUGUAUUCAGUUCGGACUUAUAUGAACUUUUAAAGAGUCCAUUCAAAUAUGGGUGUAUUCAAUUAGGAUUAUAAAAAAGUUGAAUCAAAUCUAGGUGUAUUCAAAAGGUCAUAUAUUUGGAAGGAUUUCAUUAAGUGAUAAAUUUUCGUAGGUUUAAAGGGGAGAGUUCUAAAUAACAAAUACCAAAAUAAAUCCAACCUCCCUCCCAAGUAUUUCAUCAGAUGUUUUUUUGUUGCCCUAGCUUUUCUCUCUGCGAAGACGAACAACUUCCUUCCUCCAUCUGUGAAGGUAUGCUCCCUAUUUUUUCUUUGAUAUACCUUGUUGGGUUUUCUUUUUCCAUUUUUUCUUCAUCGUGUUUUCCUUGUUAAUAGGUUUAUGCUUGUUACUAGGGUUUAUGCUUGUUACUACUUUUUCUUCUGAAAUAUCUAUAUAUGACUAGAUAGAAAAUUGAAAUAAUUGACAAGCUUUCUAUAAUCAAACAAAAAAACUGAGACAAAUAUAAAUGAACAUUAAAAAAAUGAAAAUCCAAAAAUUUUAACUUUUAAAUGCUGUUUUGGAAGCCUAAACGACCUCAAAAGCCUAAAAUCCACCAUAUGUCACGGCAAAGCCGUGAGUUUGACUCAUGGCAUCAUUCCCUUUUCAAAUCAUACACCCCAAUCAGAGUUCGGACGCCAAAUCUGCAAAUUCCUACUGUGUCCUUUUUCCAUUCAACAUAAGAUGUGUCAUGUUUAAUCUAUGGUUGAUGAUGUACAUUUUUUGUUUAUUUUUUAUGCUGUAUUUUGUGAUUGACAUGAUAAAAUUCAUAGCUGCACUCAAAUGGAGUCUGAAAAUACACAACAAGUAAAUGGAAAAGGGAAGAGCAAACAAGAUUAUAAUGCUUGGACUGUGGAAGAGAGUAGAAUGUUGUUGCAACUCAUGGUUGAUGCUACAAGCCAUGGAUGGCGUGAUGCUAAUGGAAUGCUAAGCAAGGCAACUGUAGAAACCAAACUACUCCCCAAGAUUAAUGAAAAACUUAGGUGUCACAAAACCUAUUCUCAAUACCAGAGUCGGCUGAAGUACUUUAAAAGAGAAUACCAGAAAUACUCACAGCUUCUCCGUCACAGCUUUGGGUUUGGGUGAGAUCCAACCACAAAGAAAUUCACUGCUCCUGAAGAAGUUUGGAAAGACUACUUUAAGGUUAGGUUAUUAAAUUUUCUUUAAAUAAUUUCGUUUGGUAACUUGAAUACAUAAUCUGUUAAAUAAUUAUUUUUUUAUUAUUGUUUUUGUUAUAGUCCCACUCAAAAGACACAAGUAUUCAAACAAAAACUUGUGAGGACUACGAGGAUCUGCAAAUUGUAAUUGGGAAUGCAACUGCUAUUGGAAGAAACUCAUUAGGAUUGGAUGAUGAUACUGAUGGAAGAACUUUUAGGGCGGAAGAUAGAUAUGUUGGAAUAGAGGACUUUGUCUUUGAUGAUGAAAGUCAGGAGGAUGAAGAAAUUUAUGAAACAAUUUAGAAUUUAUUAAUGGCGAUUCAAGUAGUAGCUUAUGCAUUGAAUGAGAUUAUGAUGCAUAGUGAAGAAAUUGAACAUCCAUUAACUCGGCGACCAAUUACUAUGAAGGGAUAUAAUUAUAUACAACAUGUAUUGAAUGACGAUCCAGAGCAUUUCCGAGAAAGGUAUAGAAUGUAUCCUGAUGUGUUUCAAAAGUUAUGCAGUAUUAUUAGAGAAAAAACACUCUUACAAGAUAUAAGAUUCAUUUGUGUAGAAGAAAUGGUUGCGACCUUUUUGCUUAUUGUGGGUCAAAAUAAUAGAUAUUGUCUAGUACGUAAUACAUUUGGCCAAUCGCACUUCACUGCUAGUAAAAAUUUUAACAAAGUUUUAAAGGCCUUGAACACAAUAGCACCGGAGAUGCUAGCCAAGCCUGGAUCCGCAGUACCGGCAAAAAUAAGGGAAAGUACAAGGUUUUACCCAUACUUUAAGGUAAAUGUGUUAUCUGGUGCAACUUGUUUUAUUCAAUUUUUUUAUGUUUAAUAAUAUCUUUUAAACUUUUGGGUUUAUUUCAGGAUUGUAUCGGAGCUAUUGACGGCACACAUAUUCCAGCAAUGGUAACGAGACGCAACGUAAGUAGCUAUCGUAAUCAUCACAGUACGAUAUCACAAAAUGUAUUAGCAGCUUGUAAGGGUGGGAGGGCUCAGCUCAUGAUUCAAGAGUACUACAAGAUGCUUUAACAAGGAGGAAUGGACUUAAAGUGCCACAAGGUAUUUUUAAAUUUUCAAAUUUUUCUUAUAGUUUACAUUAGCUCAUACAUUGGAUACUAACAUAUAUGUAAUCUAUUAUCAGGUAAAUUUUUCUUAGUGGAUUGUGGAUUUCCAAAUCGACGCCAAUUUUUGGCUCCAUUUCAAGGUGUUCGAUAUCAUCUCCAAGAGUUUGGUGGUCAAGGUCGUACACCUGCAAAUGAAGUUGAGUUGUUCAAUCUUCGUCAUUCGUCCUUGAGGAAUGUCAUUGAGAGGAUAUUUGGUAUAUUUAAGUCACGAUUUACAAUUUUCAAGUAUGCACCUCCAUUCCCAUAUGCGACACAAACAGAGAUAGUGUUAGAUCUGACGAAUUUCCUGUUGAAUUGGAGGACGAAUCUUCUUCAUCUUCAUCGUUACCAGCUAAUGAAAGGGAUCCUGAACUAGUUUUCCAAACACAAGAACAGCAACGAUGGAAUGCUAAUGAAUGGAGAGUUGGUAUAGCUUUGGAUAUAUGGAGAGAUGCUUGGUACAAUGACAACAAUGAGAAUCAAGGAUAAUGAAUGAACGUUAAAUAUUUUCUUAAACUUUUCUUUCAAAUUUGUAAUACAUUUGUCACUAUAUUUCUUAUGAAUUUUGCUUUUUGUUAGACAUAAUUUUAUUUCAUGUUGUUAAAGGAAAAGAUGUUAUGAAUUUGAUUUUUUAUUUCAUCUUUUUUAUAUACAUCAAUGUUACUAUAUACGUUGACAACAUUGAAAGUACUGUGCAAACAGGUACUAUGCAUACGAAAAGUACUAUGCAUAUUUGACACAGCAUUCAUGGUCAAAUAGGUACUGUGCAUACGAAAAGUACUGUGCAUAUUUGAAACAGCAUUCACGUCAAAUAGGUACUGUGGAUACAAAAAGUACUGUGCAUAUUUGACACAGCAUUCUUGGAUUAUUCUUUUCAUUUUGAACUGUGCAUAUGUUCUUCCAUCGCAAACAAGUACUUUUUGUUUUUGCUUUGGGUAACAAAAACAAAUUUGAUUGAAAAAUUUCAAGUUUCUUUCUUUAAAUGACAAGGAUGGGGAUAAAAUGAAAUAUACUGUCUACAUAAGUCUAGAAUAAAAGCCUAUCAAGUUCUAUGAAAGCUUAAGAAAGUUUAUUAAAAAAAUUAUACAGAAGUCUUCUAAAAGUCUAUCAAGUUCUAUACGAAUUAUAAAGUUCCAUCAAGUUCUAUGAAAGCUAGCACUUAAACAAAAUCUUUUUAAACGCUCUAGAAUCCUAAUGGAAUACACCCCCCUAAGAAAACAAACUAGGAAAGAAUCAUUCUUUGACUUGGAAACAUGUCAGCCAACUUGCAUGCAUGUUUUGGGAUCAUUCCACUUCCUAGAAAAUUCUGGAAAAAUAUGAGAAACGUAGCUUUAUGUCUAAGCUUUCCUAGAAUAUAUUACACGCCACUAGGAAAAAUACGAAAGGUCUUCAAAUCUUCAAUCUUCCACAACAGUGCAGUUCUGGCGGGAUUUUAACUUAAGCUAUCUUGACUUGCAAGUCUGGAGCAUUUGGCUUGGUAGAAAAUUAUGAAACUUUGACACAAUGAUCUUCAAUGUCUUAACUUUCUUUUCCAAUUAGCCUUAAUCUAAAAUUCAUUCGAAAAGUCAAUUUUGCAGUCGAAAUCCUUCCAAGAGUGCAGAAUAGCUGAAAAUAAGGAAAGUAAUGUAAUAAUGCUCUUUUUAAUUAACUUUCCCUAUAAAAAUCAAAUAUAAGAUGUAUAAAAAUAUAGGAAAUAAUGCACUUAUCACUUGAUCCCUCAGUAAGGGUACGUAGGGAGCCUGGGCUCUCACCCAAGUGCAGCCGCAAGAUAUACCAUAUUUUUGGACUUUAAUUUGGUUUGUGGUUGUGACGGGGCGGAAACCUGUUUUAGAUUGAUGAAUGAUUGUUGAAGUCUUUACAACUACUUAUGACUGUGCAUGCUGAGGUUUGGACAUUUUAAACUGCAUUUUAACAAGUUGAAAAUUUUGGUUAAGUCUGUUUUUUAGGGGAGACUCUGCCGAAAUUUCAACAGAAAGUCUCGACCGUCUCCUCCUUUGAUUUGGAAGAGAGAUUAGGAUGUUAACAAGUGGGCCCGGCAUCGGUUGGAUGUUGGAAAAACCACAGAAUUCGUCACAGAUUUCGAGGGAUUCGGGGCGGGUCCUGUCAUCUCCCCCUGAAAAGAAUGGGUCAUCGGAGCCAAGAAAUAAGCAAUAUUUUCAUACUUCAAGGUAAUGGGGAUACGUCAAUAAACAUAUCAUUUGCAAAGAGAAUUCAAGCACAAGUCACAAGAGAACCUGGCUCUGAUACCAAGUUAAACAAAGUUAGGCAAAUAUUCAGUUAUGCCCAUAUGUGUAUUCUUCUCCAAUGUAGAGGUAUUUAUGAAGAAGUAUAAAGAUGUGUUAACCCUAAAUAACAUAAAAAAUAGAACUAAAUUAUAAUAGAAAAUAAAUCUCAAUUAUAAUAAGACUAGCCAAAUAAAUAAGUAACCAAAUCAAAGUCCUAACUACAUAAGAAGUCGCCAACACUUCUCACUUCGAAGAGUUCUUUCCUAUAUACACGUUCAGGUGCUAUUGCACCAGUGCUCCUGACAAACUGAACAAAAAACACCAAAUAAUUCACAUGCACAUCAAGACAAAAGCACUCAAAAGCAGAAAGCUUAAAAUAAAGCCAAAAGGUGCACUCGUCAAGGGAAUCACAGAAAAUUUGAAAUAAAGCCAAAUUCCCUCAUAUCCAAAACAACCAACCUCUCUUCAAAGUAAAAUGGAUGAAAGAAAUAUAGAUUACAAGAGGAAGCCAAACUACAAUAAUAUCAUAGAAAAGGAAAACAACAAGCAUAUCAGCAUCAGAUAGGAAUUUGGAACCAGAGCCACUUCACUCUUGAGACACAGGCAUUCAUUUAAAUGGCACUGAAAAAAGAACUUGGACUGGGAGGGGUUGGGAUGUCCACGGUCCCUUCCAGCAUCAGCAGAACUUUCUUCAUAGAGGGACGGAGCGAUGGCUCAUCCUGGAUGCACCAAAGUCCCACUUUAAUCAUCCUUUCAAAUUGCCUUCUCUCUAUCUCUUCAUCACCCGCUAAUUUGCCAAGUUCACCCUUCUCAAAACAAUGGGAGGCCAAUUCAUCCAAAAUAGCCUCCUCCUCAGGAAGACUCCAAUCCACGUUCCUUCGACAACAUAUGAUCUCCAACAGCACAAUUCCGAAGCUGUAAACAUCUGCUUUAACCGUUAUCGGCAUUUUCCUAUGCCACUCCGGUGCAACGUACCCCUUGGUUCCUCUGAUUCCAGUAGUGGUUCUAGUUUGGUCUGCCUUAAGCAGCUUUGCCAAUCCAAAGUCGGAGAUUUUCGGGCACAUGAACUCAUCUAGUAGUAUAUUUUGAGGCUUUAUGUCACAAUGGAUGAUCUGUGUAUCACACUCUUCAUGGAGAUAAAGAAACCCCCGCGCUAUGUUACGAGCAAUGCCCAUUCUUUCUUCCCAAAAUGGUUGCCUUUCACGGGUGAAGAGCACAUCUGCAAGUGAGCCGUUGCUCAUGUACUCAUACACCAAAAGCUUUUUAGCUCCGUCAAGGCAAUACCCAAGUAAACGGACUAGAUUCUUGUGAUGGGUUCUCCCAAUAACUCUGAUCUCAGUCUGAAAUUCUGUUUCCCCUUCAGCUGCAACUUUCUCUAGUCUUUUGACAGCAACUGGUUUUUGGCUACCCAAAAUCAGCCCUUUAUAAACUGUUGACGAGGCUCCUCUACCAAGCUCUUCCUUGAAAUUAUUAGUCAUCUUUUCUAGCUCUUCAUAAGCAUAUCGUCGCAGUGCCACACUCUCAUUCAAUUCAAGGUCACCAUUCACAGCUCUCAUUCUUUUAUAUGCCCAGACAUUGUGUUUCCACAACACAAUCACGGAAAUCACCAACAAAAUGGAUCCAAAAGCAGUAAAUGAAAGACCAAUAAUCAGGAUGUCAGUUCUACCUUUUUU